rnacentral:lncRNA from 1 species
UCAUUUUUUCUGCUUCCUGAUCUUAAUUAGGUCAUGCAUUUGUGUUUAACAGGUGAUUCUAUUAUCUCUCCCGGCGCCAGGCAAGGAUUGAUUCCCCUUGCUAUACCACUGUCGAAAAACAGCUCAGGUAUGGGUUUGUGAUUAAGUAGCUUUUAGAAAUCUUCAACUUCAGUAUAGUUUUGUAUGUAAGUGUUUUUUUUUUCUUUACAGGUAGUGUGACGGCAUUGCUGCGGUGGCCAACGGCUCCAUCCGAGUGAGGCUCGAUGUUCAUCCUUUUCCUUUUGGUUGUUUUUGUUUUAAUCAUGUUAUAACUGUAACACAACUGCAGAAUGGAAAUGCCAGUGGUGGAAGUCAGAAGUUAUGGAGUGUGGCUUUUAGCCAAGACUGUAAGUGGAGCAUGCUUGGUCUUUUCAUUUCAUUGCUGGCUUUGUUGUUAAUAUUGAUCAGUGGACACUUUAUCGUGUGUCUAUUAAGAUGGUGUGAUGCCAACUGUUUAUUUUCUAUGUAUAGGUGGACCAAUUUAUUCAUAGAAUAUUGGUUGAAGAAGAUGUAAAGAACAGUCAAGAGAGAAAUGAAGAACUCUUUUAUGCUUCAGCUGAUGCUGGGGAGAAGCUUUAUAGAAAAGGCGAUUUUGCACAGUCUGGAAUUUCUAACCUAGAUGGCUAUCUUUUGAAAAAGGUAUUCAUAAAUUUCUAAACAGUGUUUUUUAUUCUCACAAUAAAUUACCGCAAGAAUCUAAUUUGUUUUCAGGUUGGUAUCUUUCCAGAUAUCCUAGAGCGCAAGGUGAAACGACAUUUUGAGGAAGGGGAUAAUGUAAGGUCCUCUUGCAUUUUUUUAGAUAGGUCCUCAAACAUUAGUCAUAAGUCACUUGAUACAUGUUGGUUAUGUCUGUUUGUGGAAGGUUUCAGCUUUGGUAACGGGGGAAUUUUAUACUAAGAAGGAACAUUUUCCAGGAUUUGCACGACCUUUUGUGUUCAAUGCUGAGGUUUUGUUGAGGUUGUUGGUAAACGAUUUCUGUUACUUCUUGAAGUUGUUCAAAAUGGAAAGACUGAACUUAUAAUUAUCAUCUUCUAAGAAGCUUUUCUUAAAUAAAAAAAUUACAGGGUUGGGCGUAAUACAGAAGCUAAAGAUGCUGCCAGGGGAGCUUUGAAAUCACCAUGGUGGACUCUGGGCUGCAAAUAUCAUGUAUGAAGUCUUUAAUCAGUUUGGUUUUCUGGUUUAAGUGCAAGCUUGUGCUAGGUCUCUUUUCCUCCGUUUACCCCUUUUCUAAGUUUGUUCUGUCAUAUUCGUUUCAACUAGGAUGUGGCUAAUAUAGCACAAUGGGACGAUGAGCAAAUUGAGUACAUUAAAGAGAAAGUGACUGAAGAGGGAAGGCAAGAAGAUCUUAAAAAGGGGAAGGCACCUGCACAGGUUCUGUUUAGUGUCAAGUAUCAACUAUUUAUUAAUUUAAUUGUUAUAUGAUCAUUGCUACAACAUCAAACAUUCAUGGCAAGGGCAUAUAUUGAUAUUCAUAUUUUUUCUUUCUUGUUUUCAUUUUAAACUCAAUUGCAGGUUGUACUAGAUGAAGCUGCUUUCUUGCUGGAUUUGGCUUCUAUAGACGGAAAUUGGGAUGACUAUUUGGACCGGAUUGGCAAGUGUUACGAGGAAGCAGGACUAUCUGAUGUCGCAAAAUUUAUUCUUUAUAGAGAUUAAUAUACUUGGCAGAUUUUCUUCCACCUGCAAGCUUCAGUGCCUUCCCGUUUCGGCAUUUUAUACAAUUUAUUCUACAGGCACGAGUAUUUUUCCUUGAGUUAUGAUUUCAUUGUAAUAAAUUAACCUGAACUCCUCACAUGUUUCAUGCUCUGCAUGUAAUAAUAAUGAUAUUCUUACACUCUUAACUCACACGAGGCUUAUUUUAAUGUGCGCACACACUUGGCGAGUAACUCUCAAAUAAAUAAAAAAUUAAUAUUCAAAUUUAUUAUCAACUUAUUAAGAUAAAACUCUUUUAAACAUAGAUUUUUUUCCACUUCAAAUCCAUUACUGAUUAAAAUUAACACAAAAUUUGCAAAUAUUUAUUUAAAUAAACACUUAAAUGUUUGGGAUUGUGUAUUUAAAAUUGAUAGGGUAAAUAUUUAAUACCAUGAUUCCAAAGAUACUAUUUUCUUACUGAAGACAAAAAAGAAAGUAAACAUGUCCACCAGUCGUCCACUCUAAUAUAAUAUGAUGUGUAGAAUGGAGAUGCUAGCCCUGAAGUGGCUCCCCAAAACUAAACCUAAAGAUAAGAAAAAUGGUAAAUAUCAUAAGUAUGUAUUUUUUUAUGAAAUGUGUUAGAAUAAUAUGGAGUUAUUUUAUCUUUCUGUGUGAGAAAAACUGAUUGUUGUGGGUCAGGGAGUACUAGAGAUUAUAUAUGUAUCUCCUUGUUCCAGUUUCCGUAAUGAUAGUUGACAGUAAGUUCUGGUAAUAUUUAGUUUGUUAGUUAAUCUUUCAGCUACUGGUUAGUUGGAUGACAUAUUUAUAUUCAGCUCAGCUCAUCUUGUAAAUGGAAAUGUCUUCCAUUUUCACUUUCUGAUCAAUGAAAAUUGCUGCUCUACACGAGCUUCCCCCUCUCACAGUUCCAAGGAAAGGUAGAGGCUGAAUCAUUUCAUUAGUGGCUUUUUAAUAAAAUCAAUUUUGGUGUGAACGAUCAGUCAAUCACCACUUAAAGCUAAAACAAAACAAAAUCAAAUUUGAUACUUUGCCAUAGCCGGGAUCUAACGGCACCAGACAUCCCAAAGUGGAAUUCUGGUGUAGCAUAAUGUUGUUUGCGCACAUUAUUUGUCACAUUUUUCAAUUCAACUGAUCAUCACCAUGCCCCCUCCCCCUUUUGCUGUUUCCUAGGUAUGCAUAAUUACAUAUCAUAACAACAAUGUUGCAUGCACUCUAUUACAUGCAUUUUCAGUUGUUAGUUUUCAGGCACGUAUUCAAUAGCCAAGAGAAAAACACACAAAUAUCACUCAACUAUCUCCAUCAGAAAUAUAGCCAAGAUAUGAUUGUUCCCUCCCUCAGGAAGUACAGAACAACACCAGAAUUGCAUUUCAUGUGUUAAAUGGAACAUGUGCAUUCUUUUUGGCUUUCUUCUUUCUCUCUAAGAGUAGCCUUCGCCACAAAUUACGACCUCUAGAUUUCUUGGCAGGUACGAUGGCCAAAGACUUAACAGAAGCACUGUCAUCCUGGCCUUGAAGUCUGUUCAAAACUAAUACCUUUUCCAGGGGCUGUAUAAAACCAGGAAUGCAGGUGGGACUGGAGCUUCUGUUACUUACUUUGCAAACCUUGGCUUUGUGAUUAUCUUCAGCCAACAUCCGAUCCAAUAGAGAAAGUCGAUUUUUCAUCUUCAUUGCUUUCUUUGGGAAAGUAGUUGAGUUUGUAAUUGCAUGGCAUUGGGCAGCUACAGCGUUGUCAAAGAGGGAGGCAUCCUUUGGUGCAGCCAAUGCUGAGUUUGUAAUUGCAUGGCAUUGGGCGGCUACAGCGUUGUCAAAGAGGGAGGCAUCCUUUGGUGCAGCCAAUGCCUUCAACUGCUUCCCAAGGUUAAGGAUGGUCUCUUGACACUCUGCCAACUUUUCUGAAGCAGCUGUUAUCUCCCAGUCCUGUAGGAUUGGUAAACAACCCUCAAACUCAAUACAGGUACAUAUUGCAACAGAGAACUGUUUGCACAGUAGGCAAUUAACUCCUUAUAUUAGUUACUGCACUGGUGUUAUUGGAUUUAUACUGAGUAGCAGUCUUGGUGUUGGACAUAUUCAUUUUCAAUUAUAUUUAGCCAGAAGGAAACAAAUCAUGAGAAGUCAUUUUCCUCUCCACUUCUUGUAUUGAGGAUAUUUUUAUAUCGGAUGUAUCUAUGGCAUUCAAAGCUUAAAAAAACUUAAAAUGCAUUUGAAGAGCGGUGAAGUAAUUUGUUCAUCAUGCUCCAGUCUGGGAUCUCCCAGUUUUAGUUUAAAAAUCAAGUUAGCAUCAUGUAAAAUCAAAUACCAUUCCCCGCCAAAUUUGUAUCUAGAUGAAUAAUACUUCAACAUGAUUCCAUUUUAUCCAGAAUAUAUAGGAAAAUAGUGUUCUGAUCUGACAACAAACAAAUGAAUCAACGGAAUAUAUAAACUUACAGUUUGCAGCUGCUUAUCUGUCUGGUUAAUGUCAUUAUUUGUACACUCCUUUGUCAUCCUGAGAAGAUAAAGUUUGAUAUGAGUAUGACAAUAUUCAAAGAAGAGAUUAAAAGCUAAAUGCUUGGAAAUCAUAUGCACAGUAACAAAUAUUGAAAUAUUAGAUUACUGAUACCUUCCAAGCUGGAGCUGAAGCUCAACAUAUCUAGUCUCUAAUUCUUCACAAUAGUGGUUCUUGUUCUCCAGUUCCAUUUCUAAUGCCAAAAUCUUGUGAUGAGCCUCUUUUAAUUCAGUUUCUGUAAGCUGAGAGUCAAUCUCCUCAUUCAUUGAUGCGUGAUUUUGCAUUUGAUCCUCGAAUAUUCCUUUGGAUUCUUUCAUGGUUUGUAACUCCAAUCUCAAGCUGGCAAUAGUUUUCUCCGAUUCCUGAAGUUGAUUCAUUGCUGAUUGAAGCCUCCGUUCCAAGGAUUCCUUUUCAGAUUCAGAAGGGAUCACUUUACCUUUAAUAUUUUUAAGUUCUUCCUUCUCAUCAUGUUGCAUUUCCUUAGUCAGAUCAUGACAAUCUGAAUUAGUUAGUGCAGGAAAACAUGGUAACUGUUCUCUGGGAAGAUGCAACUUAUCUGUGUCUGCAAACAUCUCAGUUUCAGCUUCAUUUUCACUUUGUGUCUCAUCCCAAUCAAAUUGUUUUUUAAUGGCAUCCCUCAUACUUGAAACAUCCUGAAGUGAGAAGCAGUGAUUUAUAACCCAAUCCAAAGCCGUAGUUAGUUCUGUGGCAAAUUUUUCAUGAUCAGCUUUGCCAUUCAGUAAAUCGUAACACACGUGAAGAAAUUUCUGUAAGACAUUACCAAGAUCAGAUGUUUUCCACUGGAAAACUCGUGCCAUGUAGCCUGUUGGAAUUCCUUCAUUCUUAUGUGCAAGGAUAUUUCCAUCUCUUUUGCACAAGGGAUCUGAAUUAUCAAUAUCCUCAUCAGGUACGUUGAUCCCUUCAAUAAGCUCAAUUAUCUUGCCUAUUGAUUUACUCUGAUCUCUCUCAGAUUGUUGUUUAGUUCUCUUUACUGAUGAAAUCUUAGAACCAUUUACUUCACCUGAUGGAUCUACUGCAGAAUUAUGCAAAGGUUGCUGUGAGGUGUGAUCUACUUCAUCAAAUUGACCUGAGCCUUUGUUUGAAUCAAACCCACAUCGAUCUUGAUUAUUUAGAUGCUUCAUAGCCAAUUUAAUAUCUUCAAUUAUAUCAUCAGGGUUCUUAUGAGUGGCACAGUUUUGUUCCAAGAUCACUUUAACUACAUCCUUCAACCAACCAGGAACUUUGUGCUUUAAGUCACUGGAACAUGUUUCCUGAUUUGAUGUUGAGAACGCUGAUAAAUGAUCAGACACUGGAAUGAUUUCCUUACCUAUUACUUCAGAGGUAAUCUCGUUUGAUCCAGUCUCUGAGAAGCCAUUUACUUUAUUAUUUCCUUCUGAAGAAGCAUGAGAAAUUUCAGGGGCUUUUUCGACAGAGACCACUGCUAGUUUCUCCAUUUCAACGAAGUCAUCCAUAAGUUUUAUGUCUGAAGGUCCAACACUUCUGCAUGCAAAUGAUUCCUUCUGUUUUUCACUUCUGAAGUGCUCCAACUCUGAAAUCAAUGCAGAAGCCCAGGAUUCAGCACAGCUAACCUUGUCAUCACUGUCAAUGUCAGACAUCGAUGCCAAAGAGAUCUCUUCCAAUGCAAGAUUGCUUCUAGGCUGCUCCAAGGUCGUUUUACCUUUAGAUUCAAUCUCUGACUCAAGUUGCAACAGUUUAGAAGCUGUGCGAGAAAGCAUUGCCCUGGAGAAUUGGACUUCAUUUGUUUUCCUAUUUAGGGAUUCUCUCAAAGUCUUGUUUUCUUCUUCCACAGAACAUAGUUGCUCAGUCAAAGUAGUGAUUCUUCUAAUGGUAGUCUCAGGAGUGUUUUUUACUGAAGAUUCAAUCAUUAAACCGGUUGAAUGCAACUUGUUCCUCCUCAUUUCAAGUGAACCCUGUCCCAACAUUUCGACUUCCUUUUUCAUUUUUGCCAGUGCAGAGGGACUUGGCAACCGUUUUUUAACAAGAAGACGCAUCCUCUGACAUUCUGAUUCUAACCUGGCAAUUGUUUUCACACUCUCUAAGUGCUGCUUAUGAGAAGCAUUAGCUACUCGACGAGUAAAUUCUCUCUCCUCAUUUCGAAUAUCAAGUUCCUUCUGAAGCACUUGAGCCUCAUACUUCAGAGAAGCAUUAUCUUUCUCAGUUGACUCAAAUCUAAUCAUCAGUGCAAUAUGAUGUGCCUCUGCUUGAGCCAAUUGUCUUUUCAGAUCUUCAAUCAAAUUUUCUUUAGCAAAAACAGAUUUGUUAAGAUGAGAAUUUUCUAUCCCACAUUUAGCAAGCAUUUUACUGGUCUCUGAUAGCUGCUUUUCGAAAACCACACGUGCUUGUUCAAACUCUUUUGAAGUCUUCAUCACAGCGUCAUGAAUCCUCUGCUCUUGUUCUUCUCUGACAAAAUGUAACUGUUGCAUGCAUUCCUUGAGAGAAGCAUCCAGAUGGGCCACUCUUUCUUCAUAAACUAAUAGCUGCUGCACAGAAUCAUCAAGAUGUUGCUUCAUUGACAACAUUUCAGCUUCUGCUUUCUCCCAUCCUUCAAAGGAGGCUUUUAUUAAGAGACUGGUAAAAUUACUCUCAAGAAUAAUUCAUAAUUGAUUAUUAUAAACAAUGUAGAAAUAUUACCUUCCACUGCUUCUUGCACAAUUUUUGUUUGUUUCUUCACCUGCUCAUCUUUUGCAUUACAGUCAGAGAGUGCAAAAGCAAGCUUAUCAUUCAACCUUUUCAAGUCUUUCUCCAGUUUUUCUUUAUCAGCAAGUAGUGCUUGCACCUAAGACAAAAAGUUAAAACAAGACAAAACACCAAUUAUUUUUAUCAAGUAGAAAACAAAACACUUCCACAAAGUUCAGGGGAAGAGUUCCAGGUCUCUAAUAAAUAGGACUCUCCAGAAUUAUUGUGUAUCUUUAAUAACUGUAAACCAAUUCAUCCAUUUUACUGACAAGGAUAGAGAUAGUGUGGAUUGAUGAAGUAUGGAGUUAGUACUCUUAAAGAUGUAUAAGGUUGAGGGUGGAAGGAAGAGUAUUAGAAACCAGCUAAAUCUACACAUGAACCUAUAAAUUCUAUAACACUCAAGGAAAGAACAAAAUAUAUGUGAUCAAAACAGAACAAUUGAUGUUAGUCUUAAUUAAAUUACCUCUUCAUUUUCUUUUGAAGUGAGAUUUGCUUUGUCAUUUGCUAAAAUUGUCUUUUCCGUGGACUUUUUUCCCCAACGCCAUGUCUUGUGAUCCAUAGUUGUAAGAAGGCUUCAAAUGAUGAGAAUCCUCGUGAGGAAAAGGUUUAUGCUACUGUAGUCUUACUGGAAGGAUGAGCUCACUGAACCGAAAUAACAAUAAUGAUAAAAAAUUAUUAUGUACAUGGAAUUUGAGCAGAAGUUAAUCAUCAUACAGAAGCAUAUUACGUAGCAGAAUUUUUUUUUAUUUACAUAAAUAUCUCCAUUGAAGGCAUAUGACAUUCAUUAAAUUUAAACAUAAUAUCAACAUUCUUUUUAAUGAACCUCUGCAUCUUUGAAGAUUUAUUCCAUGCAACAGAAAAGUUAAGAGGAAAUCCCUUUUUUAAUGAAUAUUACCAUUAAAAUGAUGGUAGAGGAACAUAAUUGUAAGAGGUGAGUGCUUUGUUUUCUGACCUCUUAGAAAUGAAGUGGGAGGUUGUGUUUCUUGUGCAUGGAUCACCAAAGACAAAAGGCAGCAGCUGAGACCAAAUGAUGAUGAAAUUCAAUUCUGCCAUGUCCAGUGAAAUUUAGUUCAGGAAAACAGAAAAUGUGAACCAGUUUAGAGUUGAGUGAAGCUAAGAGAAGGUUAAAGACAUAGACAUAAACAAUUAACAUCAUACCAUGGAAUGUUUGAGUGGCAGGAAAAUGACUCAGCUUGAAACGAGCAUAGGCACCACUACUCAAACCAACAACUACCUCAGCUUUUUCUUGAAGUGCAAAGUGGUGGGUAUGGAUACCAAAAAGGAAAAAAAAAAGGAUUAUGAAGUGUAGGAUUAGGAGUCAAGAGCCAACUAGAAAAAUACUAACGAAGUGUUCACUUAGUUUUUUCACAUUUAUUUCAUUUACAUUGGGAUGGGAUGGUAAAAAGAGAUUGGUGUGUUAUGUACUUGAAAAAGAUAACAGAGAUAUGAAAUCAGUGUAAAAAUAUGUGAAGAAAUUAGCACUGCCUCUGAUGAAUACAGAUGACCUUUUAUUAUAAUUUUCCCUCAACAGGGAAAAAAAUCCGGUGAGGGAAGGAAAAGUGUCGGUUUGGUAUGUUGGAUCAUGGAUGAAUGAGUCAUUUGAUGGAGUAACGCAGGACAGGAGUACAGACACUUGUCAUCAACCACAAGUUUGUGUACUCUUACGUAAGUUCAUUACAUGACUAUUACCCGCUUACCAUUAUCACAAUUAAACUGUGAACUAAAAUAUCUAUUAUCUUCUGAUAUCUAUUUAUGACUGUUCCCUUAUUAGACUCAUGUAACCUCAAUUUCAUCAAUCCUAGAAAUUAAGUUAUUGUUUGACUGAGUAUUUAUUCAAGCACUAGAUCAUUAUUCAUUUCCUAUUAAAGUGAAGUAGGUAAUCUAGUUUAAACUUCAUAUUCAAUAAGGAAAAAACUCAUCUGAGUCUGAUAUUUCAUCUGUUAUGGACAUGACAUGUUGCUGCUCAUUGUUAAAGUUAAAACAUGGAUUUUUGACUUUUUUGAAGGAUGCAGAUAGGUGCAUGUCCUUUUCACUUCUAGGAGAUGUUCACCAGGAAGGAACAAGACAAUGUGUACAUAAUGGUUUUUCACUUUUUCUGGAGUCAUUAGUGAAUUUCCAGCAAAAUGACAAGAACCAAAACCUUAUAUACAUGAUCACCCUUUCUCUUGAUACAGGGGAGAAGGGUAUGUAUGUUAAAAAUAAGGUAGCUGGAAUUGUCAAAUUACAUUUGGUCACAAGCUAGAGAGACUGAGGGGCCAUAUAAAUGUUAUCAAUCCAUUAAUAAAGGUUUUGAAGCCCCCAGGAGCAAUGAAAAAUUCACAUUCCAAUGAAUUUUUUUUUAAAAAAGUAAAACAUUAAAUUAGCAUUUAUUCAACAUUUUGUUCCACUUUCCAGCAAGAGAUCAAUACAAGUUCAUUUAGAAGUAUAAAAACAAAAAGUGAUUGUGACAACAAGAACAAAACCUGUGAUUAUUGUUUAAAAUGGGACGAGUUAACUAAGAUCUAUUGCUUCAUACAAUAUAAGCUGUUUAGCCUUGGAUUUUACUCUUGGUAUCCUAUAAUGGCUAUUUUGAUAAUCAUUGAUUGAUAAAGUUGAAUUGUGGGCCCUAAUCUGCCCCUUAUCUUUGGUAGUUAUGAGCCAACUACAACGAAAAGUAAAAUGUGCCAUAGUUGUUUGCACCCACUCUAAUUAGCUUAUGCAGUUAUGCCUCAACCCCUUGUUUUUUUGGGACAGCUUUUGUCGGUCACAACUUUAGAAUAGUCAAUAUAUAUUGUAAAAGCAAAACAAAAUAACUCAAAGUCUUUAUACUCUAAUGUUAUAUUUUGAGUUCUGUAUUGAAAAGUCUAACACAACUCUUCUUUUUUUAUCUAACUUUGGGAUCCGCUUGCAUGCGAAGUUACGUAUUGUUAAAUGUUGUAGUUUGAGUUAUUUUUUUCAUAAUCUAGUUUUCUAUCGAGCUUCAUGAUGUAAGGGGGUUUGAUCUCAUUUAGGGUAUAUUUGGAUACUCACUAUCGCUAAUACUAAUAUGAGUUUAGCAUCGGCUUCGAGGUAAAAAGUAUAUGAAUUAUUAUUUAUAUUGGGAUAUUAUAAAAUUUCUUUUCCAUUUAUGUGCCCGAACAUGUGUUUUGGUAGAUGAGAAACUAAACUAAAAAUAGUGCAUUUUUGUGGUUACGUUGGAUACACCUCAACCAUAUAUGCCUAUGAUUAUUUUUUGUAACACUUGAAUGGCGUUGUUGGGCCAUUAAAUUUAAUAGGAGUUAGGUUGCUGCUGGCCUUGCGAUCUGUUGCUCCAUUUACUGAAAGUGUCAGGAAAUGGCCCACGCUUUUGCAAAAUACAGCCCUUGUCAGACCCUACUAUAUUUCACCAAAUUAAAAAAGACCCUGUCAUAAAAUCCGAAGCCCCACAAUUUUUUUGUCUUUAUUGUUUCUUCUCAUUAAUAUUUUAUCCACACUCAUUUUCACUUCCUCACCAGAAUGAGAAAGAAAUAAAAAAAUCAUUAAGAAAUAUAAAUAUAAUUUCGUAUGUGAUAUAAUGAGAUAGGAAAUCAAACUCAAGAGUCAAGAUGUUGUUUAAGAAUUAAGAGAAAUUAAAAUUUGUAUCACUUGAACCAACUAUCCUUCAGCGACUUUUGAUUUAGUAAAAGAUGUUGUGCCUUCAUUCGUUGUGUUUAACAUCCAUACUACAGAGAUGAAAGAAAAACAAAAGGAAGAACCUCAAUACAUGCGUAGCAUGCCCUUCACUCUUUGGUCUUUUCACAUGUUUUGUCACUCCGUUGUUGGGCUUCUGCCGUUUAUUAAUCCACCUGGAAUACGUUGAGCAAUGCACUUGAAUGUAAAGGAUGACACAUUAUUUGGGCCUACAGUUUGUUGAAGUGACAUCAGAUUAUAAGCCCAAGUAUAGAUUAUUUUUCGGUCAUAUAUGAGAUUUUUUAUUAAACGUUUGAGUUUAAUUUCUAUGCACUGACGGUGUAAAGAUUUUUUACACCGUCAACCAAUCAGAUUUCAAGUAUGCAAGAAAAACUAUUUUUUUUAUUUAAUUUUAUUAAUUGACGUGACACAUCUUACAAUCUGAUUGGUUGACAGUGUAAAAAAACUUUACAUUGUCGGUGCAUCAUCAUUUUUCUCUAAACUUUUAUACGUCGGUAAUCUUCUUUAUUAUUAAACUUCUUUUUUUUUUCUUGCAAUGAAACAUUUGUCAAAAAAAAUGGUAAGAAUUAGGGGACAUGUAGGUUUGGUUGGGGAGGUCCUAAAUGGUGCAAUUUAUCUUUCCGAUGUACCAAAUUUUUUUUUUGUGAAAUUGAAAUAAAAGCAACAAAACAAUAACAUUUAUCCUUAGCUAAAAGUGGGAUAAGAUCCUUAGGGGGUAGGGACCAAAGUGUAUGGAGGUCUAUUGAAGCCAUAUGAUCAACACAAUAUUUAUACUUAUUAUAUUAGUAAAAUUGUGUGGUACAAACAGUAAUGAAGUAAAUAAUUAUCAGCUAUGUUUAAAAAUUUUUAAUUCAUGUAUUUCAUGCAUAUUAUUUGUAAGAUAUUAAAUGAUGAAAUCAUUGGAACAGGAAGAAUUUUGUCGUCAAUAAAGAUCAUAUCUGGCUCAAAUAUGAUUAUCUUAAAGUGCGGUAUGUCUUUUCUUAUUUCAUAUUACAACUUAAAGUACGGUAUGCAUAAGGAUGACAAAAAUAAGUGUGGGAUGAUAAAAAUAGAUUUUCCUUAAAAUGGAUUUGAGUUGCCAAACACUAUAUAGCCUUCAUGCUUAGCUUAGCAAAAAGAAUAUGGGAGUGACCACAUACAUCAAUUCACAAGUUGGUAAAGAGUUUGCGUUUGAACCCCAAACUCGUUCCAAUUAAAGAAAAAACAGUGCACCCCCAAAAUUCAUUGCAUUCAGCAUCGAACCUAAGUAAGAAAAGAACCUUGUGAAACAUUUUUCACCCUACAAAGUUUUGCUUCUUUUGGAAAAAGCAGGUUCCUCUCUCACUCUACUUUUAUUUAGUCACUCACCAAGAUUAAUGUCCAUGACUAGACACCAACCUCUUUGUUUUGGCGAUAACAACGGUUAGAAAACAUUGCAAAAGUCUUGCUAUUUCCAUUAGUAGAAACUCGUAUAUAAGCUUCUUUGAUUAUCAUUAGCCAAAAUGGAAACAUAAACUGUUUGCUUUUGAAAUGAAGCAACAUUAUUGACAUUGAAAUCAAGCAAACAGGGCUGUCCCUCUUUCACGGUCAGUGUCCCUUCUCAUUAUAUUCACUGCUAGCUGGGUAACUCAUGGAUUCAAAAGUGUCAAAACAUCAUAAUUGAUUAUGAAUCUUCGUUGAGAGUAGGGAAGUUUUUCGUUUUCCUUCACACGUAGAAACUGAAUUUUCUAAUUGCCAUUUUAGGAAAAGCAUUUUCGUGUCCACUCAAGUGGAAUGCGAUGUGAAAUCCUAAUCAUAGUAACGUAGUCAUGUGACCAAUCCAACCUAAUAGGCUAAUGUGACUCAAUCCCAAAACCCAAGCAAACGCGUAUACUAAAACAAUUCAUAUGUAUUUAAAUUGGAUGAAGUCCUCUUUUGGGGGGUUUUUAAGUUUAGUGGCACUGGUUCACGUGAAGUAAUAAAUUAUCCUAAAAAGUUUAAGUUGUUGGGCAAAAGUUACGUGAAGAUUUAAUGUCAUGUUAAGUAACUAAUUAUUCUAAAAGUUUAAACUUUUUAAUAAAAGCCACAUAAAUAAUUUUAUAUUAUUAUUUCAAACAGCUUACAAGUAGUUAAAUUAUGUGUUGGGAAUGACUAAGUUAUCCGGCAAUGUUUCGGUGAAUAAGGAUCAAAGCGUAAACGUUGAAAAUCCAACAUCUUGAUUGGUGCCGAAGUAGGAUAAAAUAGGAAAUAAACAAGAACUAAGAAAAAUUUGAAAAGUAAUAAAACAAAGUGUGAUUUGAUCAAAACAAAGAUAAAAAAUGGCUUAAUGACAUCUUGUUUUCAGAGUGUUUAGUAUUAAAACGUCCAACCAAUUGAACAUGGGUGAAAAUUUUCCUUCGUGUAAUCUCGAAUUGAUUUAGCCUUCGAGUCAAAAUUAAAUCCUUCAUUCUUCUUCAAACCGCCCAUAUAUCAAUAAUUCACAACUAUGACCUCCAAUUCUAUAGUUCUCAAAACAAGCUCUCGGAGGUUAGUUUUCUAUUAUUGAUUAGAGUGUCUUGCCGAAAUUUGUUCUGGCUUGGAUAUAUGGAAGUGUCAAUGUGAUUUUUUUAUGACACUUAUGUCAAGUGUAUCUAUAUUUUGUGUCUUGUUAGUAAUCUACUAGCUGAUUGAACUUUGGCGUUUUCGGUUGGUGGGCGUGUUUUGACUCAGAGGUGGGUGGUUUAGGAGAGACCUCUUGCGGAGUUCGUUGCUCUUAAUGUUGAUGGUUACUUUACAAGUAAUCUUGUUAUUGCGGGGUUUGGUAAUUUGGUUCGUAAUGUCCGCGAUAGGGGAAUGUCACGAUGGAUUUCUUAGCCAAGUCUUUGUUUGACUUUGUUCUCCAUGCUUUUCUUCAUUCUUCUUAAUUAUGCUUUGUUUGUGAGCUUUUAGGCUGAGGAAGAGAGCGGGAACGGGAGUAAGCCCUCCUCUUAUUUGAAAUUUCAAAAUUACACAAAAUCCCCAAGUUGAGUAUACUCCACAAAAUAACUAUAAAAGGGUCAUUGAUGGAUCUUAGAUGCUGGUUUCUAUAAAUUCAUCAAACUCUUCUCCCUUAAUAAAAAAGUCUCGAACAAAGAGAUGCAUUCUGGAUUUCUCAUAAGCCUCCUCAUUCAUUUCUUCCCCUUCAAAACUACCUUGCAAACAGAACCUUUAAAGAGUGAUAUUCCACUAUACGCCCUAGACAACUACUAAUAUUAUUAUAGGCUCGAAAUUGUCUAUAAUAAAUUAACAAACUUCAAAGCUCACAAACAAAGAGUAAAUAAAUAAAGAAAACAAAUAACUCAAACGUACAAUUUCAGUUCUGCAAAUGGCAUGAGUUGGUCCCGCAUUUCCCAAAAUAUCUACGAUGAUGCUCCUGAUGAUGCAAGCAUGCAUCUUUUUUUAUUCAUUUAGUCAAUCAAUGGCUUAAGAAAUGUUUCUAUAAGCAUAAAAGAUUUAAGAAUGAGCUAGGUAAUGAGUAUUUUAAUUUUUCUAGUUAAAUAUUAAAAAAACCCUGUGUAUUAUGAUUUUCAAUAAAAAAUUAUUUUAAUACAACUACACUUGUCAGCACGCUAAUCUAGUCAGCUAUACAGUUUUUUAUACAAAAAUAUAGUCAACUAUACCAGGGGCGGACCCACUAAGGGGCCAGGUGUGGCCACACCGGUUUUUAUUGUAUUUUUUUUAAAAUUUAUAUCGUUAAAAAAAAAAGAAAAAUUAUUUAAUUUCUAUCACCAGUUCUCAAACACGCACGCUUCUUCUCUGUUCUCAGUCUCACUCUGCUAGAAGUGCUUCAAUCCUUUGAUUUUAUUUUCAUGUUAUACAUGAUGGUUGAGAUUUUAGGAUUUACAAAUGAUUUAAGUGAAGCACUACAAAAGCGUGAUCAAGAUCUUUUGAAUGCUUUAUCACUUGUCCAAGCCACCAAAGAAGAAUUGCAAGAAAUGAGGAAUGAUGGAUGGGAAGAACUUAUAUCUAAGGUUAUGAAAAUUUGCAAUAAGCAUGAUAUUGAUGUGCCUGAUUUGGAUGCACCGUUUGUGCAAGGGAAGAAACCUAGACGACAUGCUAUCACUUCUAGUGUUUCUAAUUUGCAUCAUUAUAAGCAUGAUUGUUUAUUUAGUGUUUUAGAUUUGCAGUUGCAUGAGCUCAAUGCUAGGUUUGAUGAAGAGAAUACUGAACUUCACACUGAAUCUACCUGAUUUUGUCCACAUUAAUUUUAUGCCUAAAUUUGGUUCCAAUAUAAUGAACGGACUAAAAUGUGAAGGACAUAUUUCUGCAGUUACUUUAUAUGAAGUUUGAAUUAAACACUCCCAUAAUCAACGUACAGUUGCAGGGGAUGUAUGAAUGUUAUGUUGGAUUUGUUUUCUACAUGGAUGAAUAUAAUGUGGGAUCUCUUUCAUUAUUGUAGAACUGGCAGGAUUGUUGGACUCUUGUUAUUGUUGGUUUAAGUAAUUUGCUGGACUUUUGCAAGGUGCUGUUUUGGCAAAUUGGACUAUAUUGUAAACUCUUCUAUUUCCAUGAGAAACUUUCUCUCAUGGUUUUAUCUAUAAUAUUUUUCUUUUAGUCUAUAAUUGCUUUUAUGUUUAGCCUCACUGAUAUUCAAAGUCUGGAUCCGCCCCUGAACUAUACCAACAUAAGAUAGGUUGGAUUAUUAUUCUUACAUUAUAAUGGUACUAGAAUUGCUGCUACAACACCAACGAGGUAUAAAGCUUCGGAUUUGGUUGGUCAAGUGCAAGUUGUUACGUUGUGUAUUUUUAUUUAAAUUACAACUAGGGAUUGCACAAUUUUAAAAUCCAUCCACCCCGGCAUAAAAAACAUCCACUUGGAAAAAGAAAAAAAUCAAUUUCUUUAACCAGCACUCAUGUUCACGUAAAAUCCAAACAACACCUCUGCUUCAUUACCAAUUCACGUUGUUACUUGUUCCCUCCAACACUCACAACACACAAGCCUAGAAUCAUUGAACCCAACCAAUCCACUAAUAAUCAAUUAUGCUCCUGCUUCCAUAAAGGUACUUAUAUCCAUUAAUAAAAGCGCAGCCACCAAUUAAUAACACUGGUAAAUAGUUGAGUUUCUUAAGCAUUUAUAAUUCAGUGUUCGAUCCCUAAAUGAUAUGUAUGAAAAAAAAUACUCACUCGGUUUCUAAUAUUUUAUUGUUUUAACUUUUGGCCUAAUUUCUAAAACUUUUGUUGUUUUACAAACUCAAUACAUUUUUUCUCAAUUUAUUUCAUGUAUAUACUCUCAUUUAAUAUUAUAUCUCUUACCUACCACAUAUUAUUUUCACAAGUUUCUUAACUAAUAACUAUUAUUAUCUUUUUUCACUCUAAUUCAACAUUAAAUAGGAGUGUGUUUAUAUCAACAAAUAUACCAAUGAUUAUACUCUUAAAUAAUGCGCAUAACCUUAAACAAUAAAAGAUCGAAAACAAGAGAGUAUUUAUUUGAAAGAUCUACCUACUUAAAAGAGUAAUGAUAUAUACACACCUCAUUUUUUAAACACUCAAUUUCCACAUCUUUUUAUUUCUAUUUCUCACAUCUUCUCAUCUAUCACAUCUCAUAUUUUUUCUCUCUUAUUUUUUCUUUUCUUCAUAUCUCUCUCACAAUUCCACCUCUCUACCUCAACCUCUCUACCUCAAAAGAGAGGUGUGGAUGAAACAUUACUCUACUUAAAAUGAUCUUUGUGAAAAUAUCGGUGGAAGAAAAAAACAUGUUAAUUAAUUGACAUAUUGGUAUUUUAUCAGUUACUCUUUCUCGUAAAAGGUAAAAACUGACAAGGUACUCAAACCCCACAAGCCCCUUGCCAUUUAUACCCUUUUGAUCCCUUCCUCUUUUUCCCCUCUCUUCAGUGUCCUUAUGGAGCCUUGUGAUAGGUCUCUCUCGUCAUAAUAGUAGCCUUUGUCUGACUGCUUUUGGCCAAGAGAACUGAUUCAAAGGACACCCUUCAAUCUUGAUAGAGACUAUUCAUCACCAUGCUUUCACAUUUCCCACAAAUUCACCCACUUUGCAUCCCACAUCACAAAAAACUCUUCUUCAUUUCUUUUUCUAAUUUUCAUUUUUAAUAGCUAGCUAGAUGUACACUAUAACUAUAUAUAACAGUACUGUAUAUUUUGUCUCAAUAUUUUUCGUGAAGCUAAAAUAACCUGAUGAAUCGCCCUAUUAAUUAAUGAACCAAAGCUUGAAAGCUAGCAUAUGAUAUAGCAUCUUUAUAUAAGGAACGAAUUGACAACCACGUGUUUGUGAUAGCUAUGCAUCCCAAAGCAAGAAACGUAUAGGUGGUGUCAUAAAUACCAUAACACAGAAAAAUGCAACAAAUAAAUCAUAGUUUAUAUAUAAAAGAUCAGAAAAAUUUAGUCAGAGCUAGCUAGCCCUGAUGAAUAUCUAGUAUCUCUGGUUAAAAGAUUUCGUCGGUUUGUUAGUUUGACUGACCCAGAUCAAGACAAAUGAGAGUUCCCAUAGCUUUUCCCCUUUUCACUCUUUCAACUUUCUCUAUGUUGUGCUUCCAUUUGUACAUGCUCACAAAAAGAAGAUUAUUUCAAUGGGAACAAAUUGAGUGAUUUUCUUAAGAGGGUCUCAUGAGAGGGUGGAAUCCAUUUUUGUGCAGCCAAACUUGGGAUGGUCUUAUCUGUGGUGGGAAUCCUGAUGAUGCUGCAGCAGUUGCUAACAAAUGUGGAGGUCCCAUUUGCCACUGUUGCUGUUGCUGUUGCUGAUCGGACAUUGAUAGUGAAAGAUCACUUCCAAUUCGGCCUCCAUUGCUGCUGCUGCUCGGAACCUACAUAAUACACAACAAAUUAUAUCUGGAUCAACUUCUUUUUCUUCAGAAUCAAUUCUCAAAUCAAGAAGCAAGAAGUGAACAUGCCCUAAUUAAAUUCAACAUGGAUCCUAAUUAACAAGAAGGAUGCUUCCUGAUUCAUCUCUCAUUUAUAUAUACAAUUAAUAAAUUAGCUAAAAGAGAAAUUAAUUGAAGAGGUACUCACAUGAAAAUUUUGGGGGUGAAGGUGUGCAAAAUUGUGAAGAAAUUGAGGCUCUCCUGGUGAUCUAUAUGGACCAUAUCUGUGAAUUGCAUUGGUGGGUGGAGAUUGGAGGUGAGUUUGGCUUAGAAGCCAUGAGGCUUCACUCUCUCCGUGUCCAUUUACAUAGCCUUCCAUGUUGCUUAUACUACAUGGUUUUGGUAGUAUAUUCACCAGCUGAACACAAAGGCCAGGGUGAUUGAUUCAGGUAGAAUUCAAAAGAAAAAUUAAGUGCACUAAUCAGCAAAUAACAAAAUGUUAAGUUGUAUCAUACUAACCUUAGCCUUGUUUCCCCCAUUUCGCCACUGAGAUUCUGGUGGUGGCAGAUGCUGAUCAUUCGCAGUAUUUGGGGCGUGAUUCCCCAAUGCUUGACCAUUGCUAUGCUUAUUAGAGCCUGAAUUACCCAAACUCAAAUCCAGAUUAUGAUCAGCAGGUUUGCCCGAGGAUUCUGCCACCCAACAAUUAAUAACUUCAAUUAGUAGCUGUGAUUGUGAUUAGUAAAAUAUAAACACUUCAGUGCAUAUAAAUCUUACAGUUCAUUUCAUACCAGAAUUGAGCUCAUUAUCAUAGAUGCUUGGGUCGAAAUUGGUGACGGCCUCUUUGCCAUUAGAUUUUAUUGCUGCCUUGUCAUAUGCCCUAUAUACAAAAUGUGACCAAAAAAGUUCAAAACCCUAGCAAGCAUUUAGAUUCAUGGAUACUUUUAACUAGCAAGAAGCAAAGCACAUACCUUGCAGCUUCAACCUCAGUGUCAAACAGACCCAGAUAAACAUACCUGGUGAAUGAAAUCAAAUUUUAUGGCAUAAAUAAACAUACAUGAAGUUCAGGUCAAAGAACAGAAGUAGAAAAUUAUAACUAGAACCUACUUUUUGCCUAAAAAUUGGCCCAUUCUAGCCUCCCAUCUUCCACACUUAUGCAAAGUUACACCUCUAUACUUGGAGCUUCCUCUCGGACAUCCCGUGCUUUGCCGGCGAAGUACGUGCACAAACUCUUCCUUAGUUAGAUUACUCAUCUAUUAACAUAGCAUUGAACCAGAUAACAAUCACAAUUCAACAUGGAAAAAUUAAUGAAGUAUAUGUUUGAAUAUAUAUAGUGGAAAACCAAGUUGAGGCCAAAAUCACCCUGAACAGAAGCAUUUUCCCUUAGUGUCAACCAUAAUUUUGGCCUCACCAUGAGUUUUCCAUCCACAGAAUCUCUCUCACCUGCUUCAAGUCAUCUUCAUAGUCUUCAAUGUUGAAGUUUAUGUCAGCCUCUACUCCCCGGAACUUAAUGGCAGCUCUAUCAUAUGCUCUGGGCAAACAUAGAUGAAUGAACACAACCUUAUAUUUCCUAAAAUGGAUUUUUAUAUGGAUUUGCUUGGAGAUACAGAAAAGUAAUAUCAUAAACUGAGCAAAGAAGGAGGGAAAGAGAGAGAAAGCAAGUGCUCACCGAGCAGCAGCAUGUGCAGUGUCAAAUCCACCUACACAAAAACCACCCAGACAAAACUUUCUCAUCAGUCAUCCCUGAAAAUUUCCCCCAUAAUAAUAACACCCUCUUCUCUGUCUCCCAAAUCAUAACCAUCACAAACUAUAAUCAUUCAACAAAAAAUAAAUAUAAUUAACUACUCACUUACCCAGAUACACUUGUUUUCCACAAUCCCUGAAGAACAAACAAACAAGCAGAACCAUAAAAUUUCAGUGUUGAGAAAACUAGUAAUGAAUUUCAGGAUUGAAGAUACAAAGUACUAACCAUAUGUGAGACUCCCAUCGACCAGUUCUUCUGUAAAAAGUAACUCCUCUAUACUGUGAGCUACGCGACCUUGGUCCUCGGCGACUCUUCUUCAACGGCUGCGACACUUCAACUGAUUUUCCGUUUCCGGCACCGGGAGCUUCCGAUUGACAGAAUUUAACUCCUACCCAGUGAGCACGAGGGAAGGAAGAAGAGCUUCCACCACCACCACCGGAGGGUGUCGCCGUCGCCGUGUCCGCCCCCUCCACCGGAAAAAACUGGCGGGUCACCGGCGGGUUGUCAGUAUCCAUGGGCUCGUUAUCAUCAUCAUGGGUGACAGAGAAUCCGAAUAUCUUGUUUCUUCUGCCGACCAGGCUUGAAUUGGAAAGAGAUCCAAGCCUCUUAAACGAAUUCGAACACUCCUCUGAUUCUGAAUCUUUUCUCUUAACAGGGGAGCCAUUCAGAUCCCACAUUCUUCUUCUUCUUAUUCUUCUUCACUUCUCUGAUAUCAACAACAAACAAAUCACUCAGAAUUUUCAGCUCAAUGAAUCAAUCAAUCAUCCAGAUUUCUGAUUCUUCACAUCUCUCAAACCAAGAAAAAAGGGAGGAAGAAGAAACAAUUGAACUCUGUUGUUGUGUUGUUGCUCCCUACUGUGUAUGCCAACACUCUUUGUCUUGGGUUCUCUGCCUGAGAAUAAAAUAAUGGAGAUAAGGAAAAAGAGAAGCUAGUUGCUGAGAAAUGUUCAGAACUGUGUGUGUGAGAAAGAGAGAGGAAAGAAAAAACCAAACCUACGACGAGUGAGAGAGAGAGAGUGAGAUGUUGGAAAAAGGUGCUAAUAAAGAAGGAAGCUGAUCAAAGAUCUUUGAAUUCCCCUAACUGCCCAAUUCAGCAUACACGAGGCCACUUUCACCUAGCUUAGCUCUCGGGUAUCCACUGCUGACAGUAGUAACUAAAUAUCUCAUCAAGUGUAUUGUACUAAGCAGUUAACGACUAGUCACAACGAUCGAACUUUUGACCUCGUGUUUAAAGAACGAUGUGAGCAACCACCACACCGCGCUGCAUCUUCUCUUGGCUCUUUCUAUUGUUUAAAUUAAUUUCAUUUACAUAAUUAUGAAAUUUCAAUUAAUGUCGAUAUCUAUAUUUUGUUUUGCUUUCUACUGGAGGAAAGUCAUUUUUUAUUUCCUUGUUGUGCCAAUACGUUUUUUUUAAGAAUCAGUGUACUGCUGUUUAUUUCCAUUUUAACAUGCUCAUUGAAUGAGUUGUGGUUAAAAUAGGGAAAGAAAGAACCAUCUCUUUCUUUAAACAACUUUCCCACGUUAACCAAAUCGAAAAGCAUCUAACUAUCUUGCAAGGAAAUAGACAGCGCAAGGAGUUCUAAAGAUGAAUGAUUACUCCAAAUAACCUUUUGUUAACUUCUUCAUCUUCUUAUUAAGAUUUAAUUAUUCAUGAUUAAUUGUCCUACUAUUUUAGUAUUUUUUAAUCGGAUUAAUCUCCUUUAAGUUUAUAUACAUGGAAUUUGUAACUGUGCUGCAGAUAUUUUAGACAGAAAUACCUGUGUUAUUUGGUUGUGUGUGAAAAGGGUCCCCUAAAUCUCUGCUCCAUUUUAUUUGUUCAGAUGUUUUGGACUAUAUACUGUCUAGAUUUUUUGAAUGCAAUUAUUAACCUUGCAAAAAAUCAAAAUCAGAACAUUAAGGUGGUGAAUGAAUCAAGCAUCCACGCUAGCCACACCUCCUCCAACCAUUUUUAUCUUUUUAGGAUUGUGACUAAGUUUUUUAUUUUACCAUGUGGGGGGAUGCUACAGGUACAGGGGGGUCAAAAGAGGAAAGUAAAUAGGGGUGAUAGAGGAGGGUAUUUUGGGGAAGAAGUAAAAGGAAAUGAGAAUAAUAAUGGAAGUAAAAGGAAAGUGUUUCUACAAAAGUCCAAUCCAAGAGUACGGGAAGAGGGCCAUCUUUCCCUCUUUCGUUCGCCAGUGCCUGUACCUCGUAUUUAUUAGCCAUUCCUUACCACUACUACGUCACUCUCCUUAAACUGCGCGUGUUCUCCCAACAUUACUUUGCAUUAUUCAUUUCUGCCUCAAAAUUAAUUUGCACAAGUUUUGUAUUCUUGUGAGUGAAAAUGAUGAACAAUUCGUUGAUUUUGUUCCAACUAAGAUCAAGUAAUCUCAUGACAAUUUGAAAAAUAAUGAACAAGUAAGGCGGCUUAGGGUUAACAUUGCGCUCAGAAAAGUACUUUGUAUAAUAGCUUUACAUAAAAUUUGCUAACACAAUAAAAAUUUAACUCAACAUUAUAUAUACAUAUGUUAUUGUUUAUUUACUUGACACACUACUUAUUUUUACUAAACUCUGUGAUUUUUUAGAUUUUGAGAUCUCCUCUUGUUCGUUUAUUGAUUUGAGUAUAUAAGUAUUUUCUGCAAGUACACCUUCAUUAUGACCACACAACUUUGUCUCACCUACAAAGCCAAGUCAGGUUACACGCCAGCUUUGAAGAUUAGGAGAGCUCAUAAAUCUCACAAUUUUGUUUUCCCAAUUAAAAGGUCAUACAUAUGAAAACAACGAGCUCUCGAUAUUUUUCUUCCAAAAACUAAUAUGAACACAAUUAAUUAAAAAUGAAUCUAUUUAAUGUAUAUGGGAAAAAAGAUAGACACAUGGAUUUUAUACAUUAAUUUGACAUGAUUUAUGUUAAUUAUUUUUUGGGUAUCUUCACAGCCGACAACCAUAAGACUAAUUUUAUAAGACUUUAAGAUUAUGUUAAGUGAGUAAGUCUCUUCCAACAACUCCCUCUAUAUGCACUGCCCAAAGAUUGAACGUGGACUAAAAUUAAUAUCCUCCCAAUUUUUAAGAUAGAACCCUGGACUUUAUGAUUAUGUUAAGUGAGUAAGUAUCUUCCAACAACUCUCUAUAUGCACUACCCAAAGAUUGAACCCCGGAAUAAAAUUAAUAUCUUCCCAAUUUUUAACACAAAAAAUAUAGCUAUUUUCUAAAUUUUAAAAUCAACACUGAAAAUAGAUGAAUGAAAUUAUACUCACCACAUGGGAGCGUUAUCUUACUCUAAAAUCAUAUGAGGUAGAAGUAAAGAUUUAUUUUACUCUUUUCAUAAUAUCUUUUUGUGUUUCCCGAAAUCUUUUAAUAAUAUACUAGUAACAUUUAAGUUUUUAAAAAAUAGAAAAAAAAUACUAUUUUUUAAAUUGAAUUUUUGUGAAAAUUUGAAUGUUUUAUUAUUUUAAGGUGAGCUAUCUCAAUUACUUAAGAUAAAUAUUAUGUAAAAUUAUUGCUUAGUUUGUCAAAUAAUAUCUUAACAAGCUUGCUUGGGAGAAGGGGUUUCGUAGAGUUCUCUGCAAUGUGGACUGUGCUGAUUUGGUAACAGUUUUGGAAGAUGCUAUAGCAGUGCACUACUGCACUUUCAUGCAGAACUCCUGGUGCUCUUUCAGAUUUUACUAUUGUUGCAGGGAGCUUGGGAUGUAAAGGUCAAUUUGAUUUACUGGGAUAGCAAUGCACUAGCAGAUUUAUUGGCAAGACGUGGUGCUUGCAGCAUUUCCUAUGGGUUUUGAGUUAUUGAUAUCCCCGAUUAUGAUAUUAAGCUCCUUCUUUUGAAGUCUCGUUGUCGGUUCCUUAGGUGUUCUUUAUUUUGUUGUAAUUUUCUAAUGCAUCAAAAAAUAAUAUCUUGACGUGUGAUUUGGAAAAUUCUAACUUAUGAUAGAUAUUAAAAUGUCAAUAAAUCACUUGAGUUAAAGUAAUUUUACCCAAUAUUUAUCUCUGGUGAUUUAAACAACCUAUUUUAAUGUAAUUAAUUUAGUGAAAAUUUGAUUUCAAAGAGAAGUACUGAAAAUUUGUUUCCACACCAUCAAUGAUGUGAAAAUUUACUUCAAACAACAAUAAAGUACUUCAUCCGUUCUAAAAUAUAUGUUGUUUAAGGUUAUGCAUAUGUUUAAGAACCAAUUAUUUGAUAAAUAUUUUGAUUGAAAUAUCUCUAUUUAAAGUUGUGUUAUGUUAAGGAGAGAUAAAUGUUAUUAUUGGUUAAGUGGAUUGUAAGAGUUGUGAUAGGUGAAAAUUGAAGGUGAGAACUAAGAGAUACUCCAUCCGUUCCUAUUUAACUGUUCACAUUGAAAAAAAAAAUGUUUCUAUUUAACUGUACACUUAGCAUUUCAAGAGAGCAUUAAAUGAUGUUUUUACAACAAAUGCCCUUGUCAGUACAAUAAAUGAGGAGAGAUAACACGUACUUUAAAGGGUAAAAUAGAAAAAAUAAUCUACACUUUUUCUAAAAGUCAACAAAAUUAAUCACACCCUUAAUAUGUGUGUCUCAACUCAAAGUGAACAGUUAAAUAGGAACAAAUAGAGUAUAAUACUAAAUGAGGGUAUAUAAGGAAGAAAUAGAGUGCAUUGAUUUUGCAAACAACUUAUAUUUUGGUAUAUAGUAUAAAUUCUAAAACAACUUAUAUUUUGGAAUGGAGAAAGUAAAAACUUACUUCAACACCGACAACCAAUUUAUAGAUAAACCAUAAACGCAUUCGAUAACAAAAAAAAGAUAGUUGUCAUAAAAUGCAUUAAUCAAACUUAAGUUGUAAUAAAUAACAAUAACUUUCUCCAAUUUAUCAUCAAAGAAACAACGACUUAAAAAACCUUAAAGAAGUAAGUUUGUCAACUGCGACUUUAAAAACCUUAAAAGAAGUAAUUACUGUUAUUGACGACUUUAACUAAUUAACACCUUGAUUCAAUGAAUGAAAGUCAUAUUUCUUAUUCAUGAUUUUAUUAUAAAAUUCAUUAUAUUAUCCUCUUGUUCAAAUUAUACUAAAAAAAAAAUACUUCAUCCGUUUUUUUAUUAUAAGUUACUUUACGUGAAAUAUUUUAGUUCCUAAAUAUAAGUUUUUUUUAGAUCUAGAAAACCGUAAAUAUCCUUUUUUUUUUUAAUUUACCCUAAUAUUUAAUAUGAAAGAGAUGUUGAAAUUUAGAAUAUUAAUUUAGAUGGAGAAAUUUAUAGGAAAUUAAUAAGGAUAAUAUAGGAAAUGCUAAUAAAUUCUUUUUUAAAUUUGUUGUUAGUAAGUUUUUUUUUAAAAAAAAUUGCUGUUUAACCACUUUUCUUAAUUUAAGAGAAAUAAUUAAGUAAAAGUAUCUUAUAUAUGAACGGAUGAAGCAGUAAGUAGUGAGUUCUACGCUAUAAAAGCUAGUCACAUAUCACACUGCACAUGUAAAAAAUCCAAAGUUGACAAUUAUAGAUGUUUAAAUUUCAUUAUUUCAUUAUCUUAUUUUGAUAUUUGAAGAAGUGGAGAAGAAUAAAGCCACGUCACAUAGCACACCCCAGACAAAAUACUCACUCAACAAAUCCAACCUCAGAAAUUAUACGAACGUGCUGAUAAUAUAAACAGCAUCUCUCUCUUUUUUUUUCUCUCUCUCUCUCUCUCUCUCUCUCUCUCUCUCUCUCUCAUGAGUGAUGAGACAAUGAAAUGAGUGGAGAACAGAAAUUCAAAGGCAUAGCAAACCUUCCCAUAAUGGAAGUGAGACGAGGCUAUCUCUAAUAGAUUGUUUGCCCCAAGUGGAAACAAUACCAGCGAAGUGGGCCUCUUUUCAUUCAAUUAUUCAAGCCCAGGCCCACACCUUUCCCUCUCAUGCAGGCCCACUACCAUUAUUAUCCUCACCUAUAUGUAUCCGACCUAACUUUCCUCCCUUCACUUUAAAAUUUACAUAUUAUCACUCACACCUAACUUUUGUUUCACUAUUUUGGCACUAUGAUCAUACACCUAUAACGGUGUCUGCAUAUUACAACUCCAAACUAACAAAAAAAUGGAUCAUUAAGGUUCCCUAUCUCUCACCAUGUCCGUGAGGACCCUCCUCAAUUUCCCGUUCCUAUAUGAUUACUAGUGGACAAGCAUGAUAUGCCAUGUCUUGUUUGUUUAUUUUCCACAUAAUGAUAAUUAUUAUUACCAAGUUUACAUAAAUCUUGUCUCUUCGUCACACCUAUUCUUGGAUCAAGAUGACUGAGUUCCAUUUUUACGUUGAGAAGACCGAGUUACAAAUAAGGGUUUUUUAAGGCAUGUUUCACUUUCACUAAAUGCUUCAUGUGUCGGGGGGCUUAUGUUUCAGUGUUAGCCUCACUGAUCUUAUUGGAUAUAUAUGCAACCUAAUAUGCAUGAUUGAAUAUAUUUAGUGGGUACAUCUCUGAUGAUUAUGUUCGUAUGAAAGUCAAAGCAAACAAAUGUGCGAUGUCUGAUUAAGCACAAAGAACCAAUCAAUAAUAAAGAAUACAUGGAGAAACCAUUAAAAUCAGUCAUACGACCCUAAAUAAAUUUUUGGCUAGGUCAUGAAUGUCGUGAAGAGAUGACCAAAAAAGGAAUCAUGAUAUGCGUGAUUCAAUUUUGUAAUUAUGUUUGACUACUUAUAGUAAUUAAGGAGUUCAAUGUUCAUUCUUUGUUAUUCUGGGUUGAGUUAGCUAGGGUUUGGUAUCCUAACUUGUAUCUUGGAGGCUUAUUGUGAGAACAAUACUAAAAUUGGAUAUUAAUUGCUUAAUGUUUCUCUAUGUUGAAAGUUUUUUUUUUUAAAGCUCUAUGUUGAAAAUUGACAUUCCGUUGGUUGUAAGAUACAAUUAAUUUUAGGCAAACUUUUACAUGCUGGUUGGUGAGGGAGGGUUAUAAUGCUGUUUCUCUCAUAUCCAAUCAAUGAAUGCCAAGUGGAAUUAUGUGCCAUACCAUUUUAACUUAUAAAUUUUUUAAGUUAGUCCUCAAACUAUUUACCAUAUGCUAAGUGCUACCCCCACAUGAUAAGUGUCAAUCUUACGUACUUUCCACCUUUAUUUUGGCCACUUAUUUAACGUGUGUGCUUCAUUUAUAUAUCAUUUAACCUCAUUUUAGUAGUUUAUUAUAAAUCAAGUUUUAGGUUAGAUUUCAUGUCAAAUACUAGUUUAAUCCCCAUAUUUUGUGUAGGAAAGCAUUGGUUCCUUAAUGCUUGAAGCUUGCUUGAAGCAGGGAAAAUACAGAAGUGAAGAUGACUUCCUUGCUCAAGGAUUGCUUGAAGCAAUCAUUUUACAGCAAAGAUAUUAUUUUCCAGUGAAGAUUGCUUGAAGCAUGCUUGAAGCAAUGUUAAGACGGUGGAGAAUUCUUCACAACGAAGGAAAGCUUGCUUGAAGCUGCUUGGAGCAAUCUUGAAGAAACCCGAAACAGCCAUGAACACUAUAAAUAGGGGAGCUCGAAAUUUAUCAAGGGAAUUGGCCAUUUUGCUUCAUUUCUAGACACACCCAAAUAGAGAAAAACAAGGGAGAAAGCUUAGGAGUCUGAAGCGGAAGCUUGGGUGCCGGAUUCGACGGCGAGACAUCGCGGAGUCUUCGGUUAUUAUUUCUUCUUCUUCAUGAUUUUAAAGCUAUCCAUGAAAAUGGAUAGCUAAUCUCUCUUUGUUGGGAUUGGUUGUAGCCUUUUGGCCUUUAUGCACUCACUUUGAACUUAUAUAUAUGAACCUAUGUUUCUAUGGAUGGUUUCAAUGAUUUUACUUUGUUCUUAAUGCUUAUUUUAGCUUGAUCACCUAAGACAUGAAAAUGGAUUUGAUAAGUUUAGUGAGAACUAGCUAAUUAAAUCUGAUCUAGGUAAAUAUCAUCUAAUGAAUCUAAGAUCUAGAGAUAGGAUUGGAUCAUUAGUCAAACUAACAUCUAUGUUUAAUGUUUCUUGCUUUGUUAAUCAAUCAAGAGAUUGAUGAUUAAUUUAGUAAGAUGAUGAUCUUCACAUAGGGAGACCGUGUAGCAAGAUAAGAUAUGAUGUGAUGAAACUAAUCAUAGUACAUGGUUUAUGUAGGAAAUCUUAGAAUGCAUUUGAGUUCAUCGGUGAAUUCCAAUUCCAACAAUCGUCUCCUCUUGAUUUUAAACCUCUUUUAUAUCGUUUUGUUAAGGCUUUUCACUUAUUUUCAUGUUCAAACAAACAAUCAAUCUUUUUUGAAAACCAUCGUUUGAGUUUGUUGACUAUUGAACGGCGUAAGUAUUACACCUCCCUGUGGAUAUAACAAAACCCUUUACUAUACUACAACUGAAUCUUGAAAGAGAUUCAAGAGUACGUGUGGUGAAAACUCUUUCAACACCACACCAAACAUAUGCAUCACUGGCACCUUCUGUUUCCCUGAUACAGAUAAUUGGUAUCAAAAUAUAAUCCAAGGAAGUAACGCCACUCAUAGACUCUUUCAAAAAAAAAACGCCAACUCAUAGACCACCCCUCAGUAUUGAGCUUGCACUAGCAAUUAAUGGCAACAAAAGACUAAAUUCUAUGAGGUGCUUCACACAACCAGAAUCAUGAGUCCAAAAGCUAAGGCAGACUCCCCAGCACAGAACGAACAGAGGAGGUGAUCAGAUCCCUGUAUUUAAUUGCCAAGAUCUGUAUUCCUCUUUGUACAGCAAAACCGUCAAAACGCCUAUCUCCGACGCCGCACAAUAGUUCAAGACAUGACAGACUCGACGAGUUAAGCCACGGUGGGAUUCUUUCUUUGAUCUUAUUUUUAUCUUCCCCGACCCCUGUUUUUUCCGCCACCAUCUUCAACCUCCGUCAUUGUUGGGAUGACGACGAUAAUGGGUGAGGNNNNNNNNNNNUGGAUUCGCUUUGGACCCCCAAUUUCUCCAGAAAUCCAGUUCAGAUGGGUUCGACGAAGCAUCGAUUAAACCCCUUUCCAUCUGGGUUGUGGGAUAAAAUUAAUUAAAAAACAUAAAUAGUUGAGGGAUAAAAGGCACAACCUAAGAAGUUUAGGGACCUAAACUUGGCAUAAUAAAUUUACUAGUCAAAGUGUCAAACAAAUGAUUUGGCAUCUUUCUAUUGGUCAUUAAGUGGGGGGCAUGACUGCUGUUUAAAAUACAAACAACAUUUUUAAGUUUGCCUUAAUUUUAAUAGUGUGCAGGUUAAUUGCUUUUCGAUUUUGCCUAAGUGUGUGUCUAAGUCAAGGAUAAAGUCGUGCCAUCUGCUAAUUAAUAAAAAUGAUUAGUUAAAUCAGAAUGUUUAUGUGGCCUUAAUUUAUAGGUUCAAGCAUACUGCAGAAUCAAGACUCGUGAGCUACAAGGAUGUGCCAGAGUUCAUUGUAUUUUGCCAUAAAUUAAUUAUUUUAUGAACUCUGGAUUAUGAAUUAAUGAUUCACGGUUUGAUAUAGAAUAUAUUAAUGCUCACGGAAGAGACAAUGCAUUGUCUGUGGCAGCAUAUCUCUACUUUUGCGUAAGAAAGAAAAAAAGGACAUAUUCAAAGAGUAGCGUCUUGUUUCAUUGACAUUAUCGAAUGCGAAUAUUAUAUGUAUCAUGUGUGACAUGAGUUCAUGUGUACUUUCUAUAUAUAGGAAUAAACAUUUUCCAACCAUAGUGUAAUUUGAUAAAUGUAGAAAGGCUAUGGGAAUCCUAUGAAAUGAUAAUUAUUCUCCCUUGUCAUAUCCUUUACAGAUUACUGCAUCUCAUCAUAUGUAUGAUAAGAUUAUUGAUUGUGCUUUUUUACCAAACAACUUGGGAUAUUUUAAUUUUUCAUGAUACCGUGAUGACAAUUAUUGAUAAAAUAUGUGAACACCUAUGCAUAUGGCACAUUAUCUUAUAUUAUGUUAUGUGUAGAUUGAUACUUUGAUAUGAUUUAAAUGGUGGUGUAUGCAUCAUAUAAAGUAAAUAUUGGAUAAAAUACUCCUAAUUUUACGUAGUUCAAUAAUAUUAUUUACACUCAUUCGAUGAAUAUUUUUAUAUAAUUUUUUUUCUUUAAAUAAGCUUAUCUGUAGAGUGGAGAAAAGAGUUAUCAUUUCUUAAUUUUUUCUUUAUAUAAUCUCUUUACCUCUCCGACCCACAAGAUGAUGAGACUUGCUCUCUAGCCAACUAAUCUCGUCGAUCAUAUAAUUGUGAUAUGCACACACUCCCAUUACGAGAAUGAAAUGACAGAGACGAUGAGGUUAGUCCAUAGAUUUUAUUCCUUUUGGUUAACAACUGACUAUGGAGCUUGUUGUGUUCCUACCCCGACUUUCUCUGUUGCGGGCAUUCCCCAUAUAAUUUGGGAGUUGAUCUAGGCUUGUAGUGCCCUGACGAUAUUUUUUAUUUUUUAUUACUAUACACACAAAGGAGGAGUUGGUGGUAGAGUUCCUAUAUGUACUUUGAAAAAUCCCUCCUACAAAUGAAAGAGCCAGAGUCCACCUUAGAAGGUGAGAGCUAACCUAUCACACCACCGAGGUUCCACCCUACUAUCAUUAUGACUUUGCAAUAUUACUCGGUUCAACUCAAUUUGUGACAUUUUCUCUAUCUAAUAAUCUUUCAAAAGAGCUACUACUUGCGCUUUUGUCUUUAUUGUCUAUAUCUCCCUUCUAUUUGAUUUUGCUCUAUUGCUAUUUCACUAGGCUCUACAUAAAUUGAAUCAACCGUUAAUAUUUUACUUGCUCACUUAAGCACAUGUUUAAAUCUUUUGGGGUACACAAGUAGACUUAGAAAAUGUAUGAAUUUACUUGCUCACAUUUUUAAAUCUCAUUUUGGGUACACAUGCUUUUUUUUUUUUGGUCAAUGGGUACACAUACUUUUAAAAGACCUAUUUUUUUAAUGGACUGUAGACCAGAAAAUGUAUAAGGCCUUAUUGCAGUUCAAGCCCGUUAGUGGAAGUACGUAUUUCAAAAACAACUUUGAUUUUUGCCCAACCCUUGAUUUUUUUAUUUUACCUUUUUAGAUAUACUGAUAUUAAAUGCUUGUAGAUUAUUAUUGUAAAUUUGGCACAUCAGGAAAUAAUGUAAACUGUUUAUAUAAUUUUUGAAUAAAUAAAUGAAAACUAAUCAUUGGAUCUUAAUUAUUUUUAUUUGAAGUAUCACCUAACUGAAAACAAGUAAACAUGGUUGGUGUAAAUUAUCUUGUUUUUGUGGCACUUGAAAAUCGUACGGUCGAUAUUUAGAGAUAUUUAUUUUGUUUAAUUAAUUACUUUAAAUGUGGUGUUAUGUAAAUGUAAUAGGGUGGAAAAGGAAAGAAAAUUGACUUGCACUUUGAUUCAUUAUUAUUAUUAUUAUUAUUAUUAUUAUUAUUAUUAUUAUUAUUAUCUUUUACACUUAAAAAGAGAAAGAGAAAGAGAAAGAGAAAGAGAAAGAGAAAGAAAUGAGAAUAUUGUCGUGAACCGGCACAUGGCAACAACAAUAUCUUCGGAUUAGAGUCUGAAUUCUCAAACUCUUGUUCACUCCAACACUCCAAANNNNNNNNNNNNNNNNNNNNNNNNNNNNNNNNNNNNNNNNNNNNNNNNNNNNNNNNNNNNNNNNNNNNNNNNNNNNNNNNNNNNNNNNNNNNNNNNNNNNNNNNNNNNNNNNNNNNNNNNNNCACCGCACCCUUCCUUUUCCAUCCCCCCGGGGCUGGCCGCUUCUCGCUGCCAACAAUUCUGUUCCGGUAAUAUAUACAUGUCUCUCCUUAUUCUGUUCAUGCUUGUGGCUUUCUAUGUAUCAAGUUCAUAUGCGAGCUUUGUUAUAGUUGAUAGCUUCGUUAGACUUAGAAAUAUAAUAAUUGUGUUAUAUUGAAUUAUUUAUGUUAUUUGAUGGAUUCAGUCUUUUUUCUUCACACAUUGGGAUUUUGGUCUCGUAGACCUUUUAAUUAUGGAGAAAAUUUAGUUAAAUUGCUGCUUAUCGAGGUAGAGAGUGUGUUUAUGUUUGAGAGGUUGCACACGCGGCAACUCCUUCCGCUCCCCUGCAGCUAGGGGCUAUUAUUACCGCCUGGACAAUUAGACAUCCAACCCAUAAUCGCGACGACCCAAUUGCAAGAGUGGACCUUGCAUUUGUGCAUUCAUGAGAUAUGACUUAUGAGUCAAUAUGACUCGAUCGAUCAAAGAUUGAAUGACUUAGACUUGUUGACUGCGUGAAUUUAGGGAACCCCUGACUGCAGGGAAUCCGUUUCCUCCGCUCCCAGGGAUGAACGGCGUGUUUCAAUGCACUUCUAAUUUCGCCAGAAUCACUUAUAUUAUAAAAAAAUUCACUCACUCCUAGUAUCUUCUGUCAGAAUCACUUCUUCCUGAUGAGUUUCCAAGCACACUAUGAUCCUUAAGAAUAAUAUUUAAGGUUGAUGGUGAUUUAUUUUGACAGCGUUUUAUGAUCCAUCUAGCUGAUCCACCUAGUGGGAGAAGACUUGUUUGUUAUUAAUAUUGUUAUUGUGUUGGGAUUGAUUUGUUAACCUUACUUGGUCCGAAGAAUCUCAAUCUUUGAAUGCUGUUCUUGGCUGUCAAGAGGCACGGAACCUCCUUUGCUGGGAAGUUUGUACUUGCUAGGCCAAUUUUCAUGCUUUAUCACGAAGAGUAGCACGAAGUCAGAGAACUAGUGUUACUAACAAAUAUAGAUCAGCUUGAUUUUUUUUGCGGGACUGAUGUCAGUAGUUCACUACUUCUAAAGUCUAAAUUUGCGAGAAGUGUAUUAAAUUUAGUGACCGGUUGACCACAUUAUGUGCAGCCAAAAAAUGGAGUGUACACUGUUGGUGACUUUAUGACAAAGAGAGAGGAUUUACAUGUGGUAAAGCCCACAACAACUGUGGAUGAAGGUAUAUUUAUUGCUAAGUUCAUGUCUCAUCUCAUUUUAUAUUAGGUUUCUGUGAUUCUAACAUCUUAUUUUGCAACAGCUCUGGAAAUGCUUGUUGAACAUAGGGUAACUGGUUUUCCCGUGAUUGAUGAUAAGUGGAACCUAGUGAGUUAUUCUUAUCCAUUUUCGUUUUUACAUUUAUUUGUUGAUAUGUUUUAUUUGUAUCUCUAGUGUAUUCAUUAAUAAAACUCUUGUAGUUUUCCAUCUUACAAUUCGUUAUUAGAUAAUUGACAAAAGAAAUUAGCCACAAUACUCCCGUAAAAGAAAUACUAGAAAUCUUUCAGCAGAUAUUGUUUAGAGACAAUGUAUCCUUCUAAAAUUAAAUCUGAUACUUUCAACUUCUGAAUGUAUAAAAUAAUUUCUUAUGGUUUAGUCGCUUGCAUUGGUUCACUUGUAUGUGGUGUGGAGAAGACCUGGAGAAGCAUUGUUAGGAUAAUUGAUUAGUUAGAAGAUAGCCUGAUAGUUAGGAGUAGAGGGAGGCCAAGGAAAAUUAUAGGUCAAACCAUUGAGAGAGAUUUGUGGUAAAUGGUUUAUCUGUGAACUUAAUACUACUUGAUAGAGCAUUAUGGCAUCAAUUAGUUCAUGUAGCUGACCCCACAUAAUGGGAAAAGUCAUUGUUAGUGUUGUUGUUGUGGUUUUAAUUCCUUCUAUUCUUUGUUUAUACUUCCAAAUUUGCACGCGAUUAAUUCAGCAUAUUAUUGUAGGACAAUUUGACAUAGAAAUAAUUUUUGAAGGUUCUUUAUCCUCUGUAGGUUGGUGUUGUUUCAGAUUACGACUUGUUAGCACUGGACUCUAUAUCAGGUAAACUGAUUUAUCAUGCACAUAUAAUUAGAGGCUUGAUUUUCAUCUUUGUUUAUUAUGAUUGUAUCCUUUCCUGUUAUACUGUUGAUACGCUUAACAUCGAUAGUUGAUUAGCCAUAGUUUAGGUGGUUUCAAUCCUUGAUCUGACAGUGCUAACCUGAGAAGGAUGAGUGGUAGAGGGCUGACUAUCAACUUUUAACUCGAUUAUGGAUGUCUAUUAAGUUCAGAUUAAUGGUGCAGUUCUGCCUUUACAGGACAUGUUAUGAUAUUCAGAAAGUCGAGAUUGUUUAGGUUAAUGAUUUAACGCGACUAGCUUGAUGAAACUUUAGAACUUAGGUGAUUGACUGACUUUCCUUUUUAUUUGAACAAGUGCAAACCAUUUACAAUGAGAUUAAAUUGAUUAUAGUGAAUAAUGGCUCACAGAAGAUUAAAUCCCUUUGCCUGUUAUGAAAGGACAUUUUUAAUUGUUUGAUGCUUUUAAAGCACUAAUUCUGAAUUGAGAAAGAGAUUCUAUUACAACACUGUUUUAAUAGAGCCCAGUGCCAACGCUCCUACAGAGAGUAUUUUUCUGCUCUAAAGAGUCAAAUACACUUCUCACAUGUCCCUUUUACUUCCCUAAACGACUACAUAUACUUAAAUAGAGAUGAUGACUUCCUUAUCUGACAAUUAAAGCUCUACACAACAAAUGUUUUAUUCUCCUACUACAAUACUGCCCAACAAUACACAAUAACUUACAAACAAGUACCCAACAUUAGACACCAGCUUACAGGUAACUGCCCUACAUGGAAGUUCCGUUAUUCCUUCUGGAAUAAACCAAUUCGAUAUGCAGAUGUAGACUGGCAGGUGAUGCUAGCGAUUGGAGUGUAGUUGUGAGUCAAUUUCUCAGCUGAUCGUGUGAGUCAUUGGAAUGUAGUUUUUCAGAUUUUAAGGUACAUCAAAGGAUCACCUAGGAAGGGGCUUAUUUACAUGGAUAAAGGUCAUAGUACUAUAAUUCGAUAUGCAGAUGUAGACUGGCAGGUGAUGCUUGCGAUUGGAGGUCCACUUCUAGUUAUUUUGUGCUUAUUGGAGGAAACUUAUUUUGUUGAAGAGCAUGAAACGAACUUUUGUUGCAUGGUCUGACACAGAAGCAAAGUUUUACUAAUACUACUUUUUAGCUUUUAUGUCUUAAACAUUUGCUCCAAGAGUUGAAUUUUUGUGAGAUAGAUCUAUCUGAACCUGCUUGUGAUAACCAAUCACCUAUGUAUCUCUCAUCACAUCCAAUCUUUCGUGAAAGGGCCAGACAUAUGGAAAUUGAUUGUCACUUUAUUAGAGAAAAGAUCCUCUUAGGCAUCAUCAAGACUUCUUAUGUAUCUCUAUGGAUCGAUUGAGACAUAUUGGCUGAGUCUUUGCUCAAGCUUGGGGCAGGGAUUGAUUAUGAUUGUUAUGGCGAUCCUUUCCUUUUAUACUCUUGGUUCAUUUACCAUAAAUAGUUGAUUAGGCAUAGUUUAUAUUUUUUCAAUUUCUCAAUCCGUACUCUUUAGGGAUUCUGUAUAGUCAUUGUGAUUUAUUCGUGUACCAUAUUGUUAAUAAAUACGAAAAGUAUUUUUAGAUUCACCACCAAUUAACUUACUGAAAACCUGACAGCAUUUGCAUUUUGUAGUGAAGAUAAUAUGCAAUUUUUUUGGGCAUGUUUAUGUGUUUCUAUUCUCAAGCAGGGACCCUAAGCUGAAAGAAUUUUUGCAAUGAUGGUUUCAGGUAAUGGGAGGAAGGAGAGUAGCAUGUUUCCAGAAGUUGACAGUUCUUGGAAAGUAUGUUAAAACUUCCAUCACUAAUAGUUAAUUCCUCUUUACUAUCAUAUUCUAGUAUUUUCUAGACUUCAAUGCAAAUCCAUUUAAGGAAACAAAACUUCAACUUGCUAAUACUUAAGAUUAUAAAACAAGUUGAGUUUUAAUGUGCUGGUGGUUUGGUAGUCAGGCCUUAAAGGGCUAGGCUGGCUUGAAGUCCGGCCUUAAAGAGCUAGGCUGGCUCGAAUGGGAAAAUCAAAAUCCAUACAUCACAACUUACGCUUGAUUUUUCUUAUAACACGCAAUAUGAUUAUUUUGCAGAUUUUUUUGUUUAUGAUAACAAUUAAAGGAUUAGAAUAUUUUGUUUAUACUAUUUUAUCAUUUUAUUGCUUUUAUCCUAAAACAAUGUUGUCAGAUUCGUAAAUAUCAUCAUUUCCUCCUUUCCUCCCAAAACCCCUUUUCCAAACAACCUAUGUUGAAUGCUUGAGGAAUGAGGCUGUGUUUGGAUAACAGCCCAAAGUAUGUUUAGCCACCUGGGAAUUAUAAUUGCCAGGAAGAGAAUGUGAAAUCAGGAAUAGCUUACCUUCCGUUUAACGUUAUUGUAAGGCAAACAUACAAAGUUUGCUACUCAUAGUGGUCCUAUAUAUUUGAGUACAAUACGAAUGCCUCUAAUAAAGGAUACUUCUGCUAUGUGAUCUAGAUAUAAAAAACUACCUGUAGCAUUUCAAAUAACAAGUUGAUUAAAAAGUUGUCAAGUUUACUAAAGCUGAAAAUUGUGGUUUCUUGCAGACUUUCAAUGAGGUGCAGAAUCUGUUGAGUAAGACAAACGGGAAGGUAAUCGGUGAAUUAAUGACUACUGCCCCUAUGGUCGUUCGGGAGAACACCAAUCUUGAGGAUGCUGCCAGGUUCCUUCAUCUUUCUCCUUAGUCUCUUUGUUUCUGAAAAAAAUGGUUGUUCUUUCAUGGUUAUUGAGACAUAUAGAAAUAGAAGAGAGAUAAGUGAGAUAUAUGAUAAGUGAUCUAAGAAAAAAGAGAUACGAAGAGGAAAUAUGUGUUAAUACGAUGAAAAAGAAAGUGAGUACUAAUGGAAUGGAAGAGAAAAUUGUUGUAAAUAUAUAAUAGUUGAUUACAAAAUGAAAGUACUUGAUAGUAGAUUGACACUCUAAAUCCACCCUCCACCUUGAAGGAGAUAGAAAUAAAAGAGACUAGACAGAUGAAGGAGACAGAUAUGUGUUUGUUUUUUAGUUAGGGUUCUGUUUUCUCACAUUGGAAAUUCAAAAUGUCAAAUUCAGCAUUCCUAUGCAUUAAACGUAAACGAAGGUGUAAGGUUCCGUUUAUUUGACAUCCAACUAAAAACAAACUUGAUGGAAAUGAGAUGAAAGAAAAUGUUACUGUGAAUAUAUAAUACUAGUAGUUACAAAACUAUCACCUUAUAAACGCUAUUUUUAUUAUUUCCUCAACAAAUCUUAAAAAAUAAGAAAUAAUAUUUUUAUAACUAAAUUAAAAAAAAAAAAAACUUGAUGCCUUUAUCUUGUCAACUUUUAUUUCCCAGUGUAUUCUAAUCUGCCACUCAAGAAGAUAACCUUAUUUAAAUGCCUAUCUUCAGGUUGUUGCUAGAAACAAAGUUUAGACGCCUUCCAGUUGUAGAUUUUGAAGGUAGACUGGUAAGAGACUCCUCUAUUCUGUUUUGUUUUUUAUUACUACUAGUAUUAUUUUUGUAUUUCUAAAGUCUGAUUAUAUAUUAUCUGAAGGUUGGGAUUAUCACCAGAGGAAAUGUUGUAGGAGCCGCUCUUCAAAUUAAACGAGCUAUCCAAAACAAAGCAUGAUAGGAUUUAGAAGACCAUUCAUUAAAUAAAUUGCUGGUUUUCUUGAUAGUGAUUUGAAUUAAGUGGCAGAAUAUUGCUUGAAUUAGAAUUAAAAUUUUGGCUUAGGCAUGUAUGUAAUAUGUAUUAUAUCUCAUGUUGUUUUAGCACCACACGAAUGUUUGUCAUUGGAUAUUGUCAUUCAUAAUAUUUUCAUUACUACAAUUUAUUAGGACCGCCUCAGUGAUAAUGAUGUUGUCAAUUCGCAUCAUUAAUUACAUGUCAAAGACUAAGGAUGAUUUAAUUUCAAACACAAAUUUCAACCGGCAUCAAUCUAAUCUAAUCUACUUCUGAACUAGACUUGUAGUACUACUCAUUUUAAAUCGGUUAGUGGUUGAGCUGAACCGAUGACCCAUCACUAAUAAAAUCCAUGACUACGUGCUCAACAGAACGGUUGACAAUAACAGAUUGAGACCUCUUGUUGUUGUCAAUGUCGGUUCCCAAUUCUUCACCCCUGUUAAAGUUCUUCGUUUGGUAACACAAACCGCCCAAGUUAACCAUUCAUUUACUCUCUCCAUGUUAAUUGGUGCGCUUCCAAUUUAGAAAGAAACAAACUCCUAAAUAAACGAGCUUGAGGUUCUUGUCUUCUUCCCUUGUUCUCUUAUUCUAACAUGUCUUAGCAGUAAUUUUCCUUCUCUCUCUCUGAUAAAAUCACCUUUUGGAUUCGUAUCGUAUCUUUAAUGUGGGAGAUUAGCUUAACAUAGAUCAAUUAAAGCCACACUUACGUCAAGCACUAUGUAAUCUACAGCUAAAAAUCAUAUAAACUAAUGAUAAAAGAUCUCUAAUACUCCGCUAAAGAUGGACUAGCCCUUUGCCACAAAUGAAAAGUGGUUAUAGAUGCAAGCGAAACAACUAUGGGGUACAGCUAACAUCAAAUCAGAAAUCCUUAACAAAAGAUAGUAUUUGUUAAUCAAUUGAGGAGGAGCUGUAAUUUUGCAUUCACAUGCACACAUCUCUUUCUCUCGUUUUCUUUUCUUUUUUUCAUUUGUAUUUUAUGUUUUGUUUCGAUACAAUUGUGUGUAGGAUUUGACUACUAAUAGAAAUUAAAGAAAAAAAAUCUUGGACGACAGAACCGAUUAACCGACCCCAUUAUCCAUCAUUAUCAAAAACAGAGAAGAGAAGUGGCCAUUGCAUUUUCCCUUCCCUUCACACUGGCCCAUUUCAUUUUGCCAAUUGCCAUUCACAACACAAAUAAUCAAGAAACAGUGCAGAACUAGAAAAAUACCUAACUCUCAAUCUUAUCACUUUUUAGAAGUUAUUAUUAUUACUUUAGUGGUUAGCAUGGUUCCCUCUCACUUUUCCACCCAACUGCUGGCCACCGUAGGCCAUUCCUGUCUCCUUCCUCCAUCCAUUUCCCUUCACUCCCACAUUCUUUUCCUUUCUGACUAUACCAUCUUAGCUUUCAUCCCAAAAAUUCCUAUUUUCCACCGACUUUCUUCACAUAAAAGACAUAAAUGGAAGCUUUUUCAACAAAUAAAAAAAAACACCAUCAGAAUCAAAGGAACAGAAGCUAAGGAAUUUAUCAUCUGCCUCUUGUUGAAACAUGAAGAUAACUAAACUAAAGCCACAACAAAAACUAAGAAGAAAAAGAUUCUACUAAUAGAUACUAGUUAAUUUACAUUUAAACAAUUUUACAACGCCAAAAUUUCUCCUGUAAAAUCUAAAAAAAAAAAGAGAAAAGAAAAGAAGGAAGAGAUACAGUACAGUAAUCCAUAACAGUAACACCAACAUCAAAGGCCUCAUCAACAAAGAUCAAUUUGCUUCAGCCGUCAUGUAACCUCCAUGGCGCAUGUUAGCAACCACCACCGACCCAGAAAAAAAAGACAGCAUCAUUUCACUUUCUUCUCAGCUCACAUCCCAUUCAUCCGAACUCUCGGGUUCUGGUAAUUUAUUCAGGUCAACCCGCUCCGCAAAAUCUCCAGACCCGCCGCCUCCACCGCCUAUGAGAAGCUCCGGCACCGGCGCCGCACGAGGGUGGUGGUUGUGGUGGGGAAGGGGAAGAGUUGCCGACUGGAGAGCAUCGACUCUGGCACCGACCUCUGUCGCUUUCUUCCUGAUAAAAGCUGCCGACAUAUCGCAGUCGCCGCCAACGAAGGCGGCGCGUUCUCCGGCAAGAAGCUCCGGGAAGUUGAGGCGCGCGGAGGGUCCCCGGAGGUAGAAAACGGCGGUGUCGUAGGCUCUGGCGGCGGCGACAGGGGUGGAGUAUGAACCGAGCCAAAUCCUGGAACGCUUGUUUGGUUCUCUGAUUUCAGCAACCCACUUCCCCCACUUCCUCAUCCUGAUUCCUUUGUACCUUCUCUCAGCACCACCUUCCACACCACCACCACCUCUCUUCCCUCCUCCUCCUUCACCCUUCAUCUUCUUCUUCCUUCUCUCCCUGGUUUGUUUCAGAGGUCAGAAUCAAGAGAGAGAAAGAAAGUUGAAGAAAAAUGAAAAAUCUAAGAAAAAGGGGUUGUUAAAUGGGAAAGAAGGAAUGGAUUUUUGGAUUGAAGAAUUGAAGAUGAAUGGUUCAUUCAUGCGAGCGAGGACUCACCCACUAAGGUUUGUCAUCUGGGUAAGCCUCCACGUUGGUUUCUUUCUUUCAAACCCCACCUCCUCUAUCUUCCUUUUAUAUUUAUUCUUGGGCUCAUACUAAUAUUAGUCCCGGAUUUCGUAAGCGAGUUUGAUUUUAAUGUUUCCUCAGAAAAAUUAUGUUUAAAAACGGUCAUUUUAUAACUACGAGCUAUUUUCAAUCUGCACUAAACAUAAUUUUUCUCAAAAGAAAUAGAAUCGAACUCACUUAUGAAAUCAGAGACUAAUUUAACUAUUAAUCUCUUUAUUUUUUUAUCACCAAAUGAAUUAUACAAAGCAACAAAACAAACAAGAUAAUCACUACUACUGUUUUUUCUUCUUGUUUGUUAAUUGAAUUUAUUAAAUUCACCGACAAAAUCACUCUCUUGCCUUUUUUAUUUUCCACUGACAGAAAAAAUCUAUUUUGUUUUGGAGUAGUAUUAAUGGCUUUCCCUUUCACCGUUUGGUGCUACUAUUUAUUUAUAAUCCUAAUUCUAAGCCGUCCUUUUAAUUUCUCUAUGGUUGUAUCGAUUUAAUGUAUCUAUAUCAUCACAUACCACCGAGCGUGUACAAGAACAACUAUAUUAAAAUAAAAUUAUGUUUUCUUUAACGAACUGUUUAAGUUUUGAGAUAAUAGAUUGUUUGAUAAUCAGAGUUUUAUUCGUCUAGACUUUUGGUCCGGGUUCGAUCCCCUCUGAGGUAAAAAAUGAUACCGUUGUGGCCAGGGACAUCACUACCGUAUCCCGAGCCAAAUUAGUCACGUGGGUUUUUUUUUUCCCGUUGAGACCGGUGGCUAAAUGACAAAAAAAAAACUUAAAUUCAAUCUUGCUUAAUUAAUAUAAAAUUAUUUAUGUGAAUCUUGCACUUAUCUAACAAUUUAAACUUCUAGGAUAAUUGUUCGUUUGAUACUAACUUAUGUGCGUUUUUGUUUAGUUUAAGCAAAAGCCUCAAUCUAAAGUACUCCCUCCGGUCCUAUUUAUAAGCAUGAAAGAGAAGAAAAAUCUUGGUCCUUUUUAUAAGAACCAAAUGAAAGUUUGAGCUAUAUUAAUUUUUUUUUCCAAUGAUGCCCUUAUUAAUUCUAACAUGUAAAAUGUGUCUUAUUAACUAUUCUCUCUUUCCCACUUUCCAACACUAAUAACAAAGGGUAAUUUUGGAAGUUUGUUUUGAUUCAAGCACACUUUACAUCUAAUAGAUAUCUCGAAUUUAAAUAUGUCUUUAUGCAUUACAUACUUGAUAGAAAUAGUUUUACCGUCAAAAACUCAACCAUAAUAUAUUGUCUCAAUAGAAAAUAUUAUUUUUUUAGUACAUUAAAAAGAAAAAGAUAUAUUGCGUUCUCCAGAAAUUUGAUCAAUUGAUCUUGUACCUCUCUCACCCAACCCAUUUAUCUCAUAAUUCUUAUUAUUUGAGCUAUUAUUCGAAGAAAAAAAAUGGUAAUUUAAGAAAAAGGCAAUAAUACAUAUAUAAAAUUUCUCACAAAUAUUUUACAUCAUUUCUACAUUAAGAUAAAAAUAUAUGUUAUGCGUCUAUUUAAAAUGAGUUUAAUUUUGAUGCACCGACGGUGUAAAGUUUUUUUUUACAACGUCAACCAAUCAAAUUUCAAGGAUGUGAGAAAAUCUCUCUUUUUAUUUAAUUUCAUUAAUUGACGUGGUAUAUCCUUGAAAUCUGAUUGGUUGACGGUCGGUGCAUCAAGCUUUUUCUCAUUUAAAAUAUACUAAUAUGUAUAAUUCUAAACACUUUAGCUUUGUUUGUUAUAGGAAAGGAAAAAAAGAAGUGACGUUAGUAGAGAGAAAGAUAAUAAAUUUUGUAAGUUAUCUAUCUAUAAACUCUAUAAAGGAAGAGUNNNNNNNNNNNNNNNNNNNNNNNNNNNNNNNNNNNNNNNNNNNNNNNNNNNNNNNNNNNNNNNNNNNNNNNNNNNNNNNNNNNNNNNNNNNNNNNNNNNNNNNNNNNNNNNNNNNNNNNNNNNNNNNNNNNNNNNNNNNNNNNNNNNNNNNNNNNNNNNNNNNNNNNNNNNNNNNNNNNNNNNNNNNNNNNNNNNNNNNNNNNNNNNNNNNNNNNNNNNNNNNNNNNNNNNNNNNNNNNNNNNNNNNNNNNNNNNNNNNNNNNNNNNNNNNNNNNNNNNNNNNNNNNNNNNNNNNNNNNNNNNNNNNNNNNNNNNNNNNNNNNNNNNNNNNNNNNNNNNNNNNNNNNNNNNNNNNNNNNNNNNNNNNNNNNNNNNNNNNNNNNNNNNNNNNNNNNNNNNNNNNNNNNNNNNNNNNNNNNNNNNNNNNNNNNNNNNNNNNNNNNNNNNNNNNNNNNNNNNNNNNNNNNNNNNNNNNNNNNNNNNNNNNNNNNNNNNNNNNNNNNNNNNNNNNNNNNNNNNNNNNNNNNNNNNNNNNNNNNNNNNNNNNNNNNNNNNNNNNNNNNNNNNNNNNNNNNNNNNNNNNNNNNNNNNNNNNNNNNNNNNNNNNNNNNNNNNNNNNNNNNNNNNNNNNNNNNNNNNNNNNNNNNNNNNNNNNNNNNNNNNNNNNNNNNNNNNNNNNNNNNNNNNNNNNNNNNNNNNNNNNNNNNNNNNNNNNNNNNNNNNNNNNNNNNNNNNNNNNNNNNNNNNNNNNNNNNNNNNNNNNNNNNNNNNNNNNNNNNNNNNNNNNNNNNNNNNNNNNNNNNNNNNNNNNNNNNNNNNNNNNNNNNNNNNNNNNNNNNNNNNNNNNNNNNNNNNNNNNNNNNNNNNNNNNNNNNNNNNNNNNNNNNNNNNNNNNNNNNNNNNNNNNNNNNNNNNNNNNNNNNNNNNNNNNNNNNNNNNNNNNNNNNNNNNNNNNNNNNNNNNNNNNNNNNNNNNNNNNNNNNNNNNNNNNNNNNNNNNNGUGCAUCGCACGGGUAAAAAAUACUAGUUUAGUAUGAUAAAAGAGAAGAAAAAGAGUGAAAGAGAAAAAUUACUUAUUAUAUUUAAAAAUAAAUUUAUUCCAUUUUAAACCGGCUAAUGCCAAUUUCAAACACAUUUUGCAGUGUCAAUCUGCUAGCUAAAAAAGUGGUGCGACUAACCACUGCACUUCCUCUUCUCUUCCACCAAACAAGGGUAUACUCAUUCCCUAUAUCUCUCCUAUCUAAGAGAAAAAAACCUAACCAAAAUGCCUUUAGGUAAGUUAUAGGAAAACACGAAUUUAGUUCAUGUUUGGUUAGCAAUGUUUUAAGUUUUAGUUAGAAACAAGUGGAUUAAUAUGUAUGGUUAAGUGUGUUAUCGUGUGUAAACAUGAAAAGAUUGAAGUAGUCUUAUCGUGUUUGAAGUUUGAACACCGUAUAUGUAUGCUCACAAAUUAGAAACUCCGUAUGUAGCUUCUCAUUUGACGUAACUCCACUUGCUUGUGUGCUAGCAAAAAUCAAAAGAAACAACAACCUUUCAAGUAUGACAUGCUUCCUUUUCUUUCAUACUUGAUUCCGUGUUGUGAAUAGCCAAAAUCAACUAAAUUCACCAUAAACUACUCAGCAAAUUUAAACUCAGUUCAUUGGAUAAACAAAAUCACCUGACUCUAAAAUAGCAAUCAGCCUGCUGGAUAAGGGAUGUCCAAACUCUCACAGCAGUGCUCCUCUUGUGGACCAGAUCAAGUCCCUCACCUCCCGCUGCUCCAACUUUCACUGGAAGCAUGUUUUUCGUGAAGCUAACUCUGUAGCCGACGCUUUUGCUAAGAAUGGACUAUCCUUGCUCAUGCCUAUGAGGAUCUAUGAUAGUAUACCUCCUUUUGCUUUCGUUCCUUUUAGGUUUGACUCUUAUAAUACUCUCUAUAAGAGAGUUUAGUUGGGCGCUUUAAGUCCCGAAAUUAAUAAAAAAAAAAAGUUCAUUGGAUUCUCACUUUAUGCAUGUCACUUCUACGAAUAUGCACUUCAUGUUUUUUAUGUUUAGAUUAAUUUCCAUCACAUAGUUUUCCUUCAACGAAAACGAAUUUUAUUUUCGUUUUACACAUGUAAAUUGACAUGAAAAAACAGGAACCAUGAAAAGGUUCAAGUUGUGGAUAAUAAAUUUUUAUUAUGGUUUGUACUCUUAAUAUUUCUAGCUCGUGAAUUAUUGAGUAUCUUGUUCGAAGUUUACGGUCGAAUAAAUUCUGAUAAUCGAUCGCAAUCGUAUAUAUGACAACAUUUUUUUUUUUCAUUUUAUAUAAGUUUGUUAAAAAAAUAAAUAUCUUAUUUAAAAAAAAGGGUCGUUGGCGUAAGACGUGAUUUUAUAUGUUAGUGACACAAUUUAUAAUAAUAUAUCAUACUAUAUUAAUUAAUCAAUGAAUGCCUAUCUGGUGUAUGAUGGUGAGCGGUAUGGUUGGUGUUUUUUGCUGGUUCAGGAAACACAAAGAAGGAAUCGAAUUUAAUUAGUGUGUGUUUUAAAAUUCUCUUUUAAUGCUAAAGUCAUAAUCAAUUAACUCAUAAGGAUAGCUCAAUUAACAAUCUACUUUGAGUGUGCUGAAGAUUUAUGCUUGUGAAAAAGAUGAAUAGUCUUAAUAUUAACUGUAAUUAGAUUCAAAAUUUAUAAUAGCCGAUAUCUAAAGACUGACCGAAACCUGACUGUUUGUAAAUAUUUUUUGGUUGUUGACAAAAACAUAUUAUUAAUUAUGGGGAAAGAAAAUGAGAAUUGGUUUAGAUAAUAUUUUGUUUCGUUUUCAUUAUUAAUACUCCCUCCGGUCCUAUUUAUAAGCAACAAAAAAAAAAAUUCGCAUAGUUUAAGAAAUGUAGUUAAACUAGAUAAAAUGCAUUAAAUUUGUCUUAAAUUAAAAUGAACUUCCAAAAUUACCCUUUUNNNNNNNNNNNNNNNNNNNNNNNNNNNNNNNNNNNNNNNNNNNNNNNNNNNNNNNNNNNNNNNNNNNNNNNNNNNUUUGUAAUAUAAAUAGGACCGGAGGGAGUAUUAUUUAUCUGAUAUUUAUUUAAUAAUUCUGAGUGGGAAGAAGGGCAGGUCGGUGGUCGGUGGAUAGAUACCGUUAGCAAUUGACUUUCCCUCCACGCUAUAACGAUAGGACUGCAUGCCCCGUUUUGUCCUUCUCAAAUUUUGUUGUCAUGCACAUGACUAGGGGUUCUUUCGGAAUAAAGAUUAAUUUCGAUGGCCCACGGUGUUAAGUUGUUGUCCUCCUAAUCAUUUUAAUGGGCUUUUUAUUUGCCUAUUUAUAAUUUUCUUGUUUGCUCUUCAAUUAUUGAGAAUUUAUUAUUAUUUGAAGUAAUUUAAUUUUAUUCCAACAUUUUAAUUAAAUUAUUAGAAAUGAUAAUUCUUUGAAAUUUCUAAAGAUGAAUGCCAAAUAGUGGUUAGAUUAAGCUGUAUAUAUUUUAUUUCAAAAAGCUGUAUAUAUUUGAUUUUCUUUAUAAGUAUAAGGCCAUUAGAGUACUAUAAAUACUAACUAUCAUACAAACCUCUCCAACUAUCAACUUAUUAACAAUUAACAAAUACUAUACAAAUAUGGAAACAUCGAAGGAGGCGUCCAAUAUGUGCCAUUUGGAAACAUAUUAUGUGCUAGUAUAAUUGAGGAUAGAAUAACUAUUUCACCGACAAUUAAAAGUACUCAACAUUGUAUCGGUUGCAUUUAAAAAAAAUGUUGAGGCCUGAGGCCUGAGGGUGAUGGUAAAUUGUAUGGGAUGGAUAAUUAAUAAUGAUAUGGGAUAGAUAAUUAGUAAUAAAUAUAUAUUUUUAAUUUAACAUAUAUGCACAGGCAAUCUAAAAUUAAUUUACUCUUAUAUUUAACUGUUAUUUACCCUGUCAUAAAAUAAUUUUUAAGACUUAUUUACUUAAAAUAAUAAAUAAUUUUGUAACAAAAAAAUAAUAAAUAAUUUAACUGUUUAAAUAAAUAUUGUAUGAUCAUACGGCUGAAUGUGUGUAAAUAAUGCAUGAAAAUUAAACUAAUACUUAACUAACCGACCUCCUUUUUGUAUGAACAAUAUCAUUUCAUCAAAACCUAAGAAGAUCAUAUUCGAGAUGAAGAUAAAUUUAUGUUUAAAAAUAUAAUCGUAGAUACGGGGGUGAUAUCUCAUGAUAUGGUUACAGGCUUAUAGCAGUAGCUAUUAAGUAACAAGAGGUUUGUUUUGACUUUUGUUUAUCAAAACAGACAAUUAUGCAUGCACCUAGAAAAUCGCUUAUGUUGGAAACGAUCCAAUAGAAGUGAUUUAUUGUCAAAACAUAUCUCUUUUGUUCAGCGUUUUGGAAUUUUUUUAUAGAAAGAUGAAACUUUCAUUAGUAAGAAAUACUUAGAUUGGAGGAAAGUAUACUGGCUAAACCAACAGAAUACUCCUCCCAGCGUUUUGCAAAAUUGAUUUUAUUAAAAUUUGCUUAUGAAAACCCGAGUUAAAAUUAUGUUAUUUAUGUUGUAAUACUUGUUGUGACAAGUGUACGUAAUUAAUUUUGUAGAAUUGAUUUUGUUUUAUUAGUACCUUUGAACAUCAUUUUUAACUCGUUAGGAUUGAUUUUGACCAAAUAAAGUGGUUCCCAAACAUAGUCAUAACUCUAUAGUAUAAAGCUACUCACAAUAUAUUUGGGUUGAUUAAUAUUUUAUAUAAUAAAUUGAAGAGUUUUAAACCAUUCUAUUUUUUUAAGCGUUUAAUUUUGAUGCACCGACGGUGUAAAGUUUUUUUACACCGUCAACCAAUCAGAUUUUAAAGAUGUGAGAAAAUCUCUCUUUUUAUUUAAUUUCAUUAAUUGACGAGACAUAUUUUUGAAAUCUGAUUGGUUGACGGUGCAUCAAACUUUUUUUUCUUUUUUUAAAGUGUACCAGAGCAAUAUCCAUUGAAGAAGAAUUCUUAGUAUUUUAAUUUUUUUUACUCUAUCCUGUAACAAAUUCUAGAGAAAGUAUUAAAUAUUUUAUAUUUUCAAAAUACUAAAUAUAUUAAUUUUUUAUUUAACAUGUUCUUUAUAUAGUACAGUAAGGAAAAAAUUAGAAUAAUUUCAAACAUGUUAUGUAUGGUUCAGGUGUGGUUGAUUGUAGUCAAAUAUGUGUUAAUUAAAUGUUAUUUUAACAUUAUAUAGAUAAAAUACUAAAAUUUUAUAAAUAUUAAGAAAUAAUUUAUUUUUAAAAGUAAGAAAUUAAAAUUAAUGCAUCUAAAAAACAUACUAAUAUAGUGAUAAAUGACAUACUUCAUUCUAACUUCUUAUUAGAUUUUUUAACUAAAAGUGAUAUUUAAAAAAAAACAAAUAGUUUAAAACAAAUGAAAAUGUAUUCAUUCAAAAUGGUUUCAGAUUUACCAAUUCUUUUUUGAGAAAAAGUUUGAUGCACCGACGGUGUAAAGUUUUUUUACACCGUCAACUAAUUAGAUUUCAAGAAUGUGAGAAAAUCUCUCUUUUCAUUUAAUUUCUUUAAUUGACAUGUCACAUCUUGAAAUCUAAUUGGUUGACGGUAUAAAAUUUUUUUACACCGUUGGUGCAUCAAAAUUAAACACUUCUAAUUAAAUGAAUCUGAUAGAUUUCAAUUCAACAAAAUUAAAUUUCUCAUAUUAACUGAUUACUACACGCGCCAAGUAGUUAUGAGUAGUACUAGAUUGUUUUGUAGUGUAGGACACAGGUCUAGAGGAGAGGAGGUUAAUGUGGUUGUUCCAUGAUUGAUGGAGAAGUCAAAAUGUUUGGUGAAAACCGCACGGGUGAUUUUAUUCUUAAUUUUUUAUUUUUUUAUGGAGUACAAGUGGUGAAGUUAUUCAACGUUAUUGAACAUUAUUGUAGUUGACAAUUUUUUUUUUUUGGUAAAUUUGUAAACGAAAUGAUAAGUGGACAUACAGAUUUUACAUAAUCUAAUAUUUCUCAAUUCUCAUAUUUUACCUCUUAUUUUCCAAUUCUCAUAUUUUCGAUCAUUUAAUUAAAUGAAUAUGAUAGACUAUGCAAUCAUUUAAUUUUCGCAUAUUUUCUCGCCUCCACUCGCCUACGCCCAAUCAUCAUCCCAAACUAUGCCUCUCUGUGACUCCACCCGCAACUACCCAUAGUCUUAGCAACCUCGACGUCUUCAUCAACAAUGUUGGUGAGAUGGUGCCAGUCAUGGUGUUUGUAAGGUUUAAUGGUAAGAUUGUGUGCGUUAGAGAAAACAUCGCAUUUCUCUUUCUUCUUUCGAUUUGAAACCCUUCUUUUCCCCACAAUCUCUCAUUCCCUCCCAACUCGUUGAAACCCUUCUUCGUCCCAAAGGAACCUCACCCUUAAUCUAUUACUUCUUCCCAUCUUCUUCUUGACCAAUUCUAGGGCAAGCAAUACUUCCUCAAAUACACACAAGUCGAAUCUAAUUUGGAAAGUAAGACAAUAUUGUCAAGACCCAAAGCCACCAUUCAGAUCAAAUCAAUUAGGGUGAUUGAUGAAGUCACAUAGAAACAUGAAGGAGGCGGCACCAUCCUCAUGAGUGAAACUAAAGAACGAGAGCAAGAGUUUGAGAAAGAGAUAAAACGUUAGAGAGAGAAAAGGGAGACCGACGAGGGAGAGAGAUAAUGUUAGAAGAGCUCUGCUUUGCUGGUUCAAACUCAACUAGGGUGGUUCAACACAAUGGUGGGGGUCCUAGCGUUUCUAGCAUGGGAAUGGUGGAGAAGGAGGCGAGGGGAAGGUGGCGAGGGAGAUGGUCCAAAAUGCCCCUUGAUACACCAGGGAACCAAAUUUUUAAAUGUCAACCCUAUUCUUAACCAUAUACCUUAAUAUUUGAUACUGUAAGAUUGCGACACGUCUAUUAAAGAAUAUUAUUUAAAAAUGUCAUGCUAAGGCUGUAAUUUGGAAAAUAUAACUAAUACUCUCCUGAAAUUGUAAAAGUGAUAAAUAUUAGGGAUAAACUAUCAAAAUAGUAAUAACAGGAGGUAAUACUUCAUACUAGAACAAAAUUGGAAAAAUCAUACAAAAUACAAGUACACCUAAUAAUUUUCGAGAAACGAGAACUCCGGCGAUGAGUCAAAUAUCAAAUAUAUGUUCCACGCCUGUCGAAUUCCAUGAUCAGUUUUAAGUUUUUCACUAAGUAUGAAGUGGCAUAUAAAUUACACUAGCAAAAUUACAACACAUAAGAUACACAUCAAACAAAAUUGAUAUGAAUUAUCAUAAAUCCAUCAAAAGUAAAAAAAAAGUACUUCUAUAUAAAAUUUACAGUCAAUAAAAUCCCGGGUGAUCUUUUCCAAUGUGAAACUCUAACACUACGAAAAAUACAAACAAUUAACUUGGGCCGUGGGGUCCUACUAUGUAUUUUAAGAGACUGAAAUUUGAAAUUUGCAAAUUCUGGGAUAAAACCACUCAGCAUCCAUUCUAUUGUACCGGGAAAGAACAAUUCAUAGCGCAGCACAGUGUGUAUCUCAAUUUUUUUUACUUACUAGCAUGUAACUUACUUUGGCUUCUUCCGCAUUCCCAUCCGCGAUUUAGCAAAUCUAAAAUUAUCAUUAAGUAUACAAAACAAAUGUUGGUGAUGAGAAAAAAAAAUCAAUGAAAGAAAACAAACAGGUAACCAAAGGAUACUCUAAACGCAUUCCCUCGCCAGCUGGAGAGGAGUGAAGAAUGGUGCCUUGCAGAUUGUUUAGAGCAUCAGCGGAGCUACCAACGUCCUGCACAUAAAGUUAGCAAUCAAUCUGGGAGCUUUACAAGAUGCACUUGUCGUGAUAGUUCACAAAAACCUCCUAAUAAAAUCAUGCAAAUCAAAUAUGGGAAUAACUAUAAUAUUUAGGUAAUAGUUUUAUGCAAUUUUCAACAUGGCUUUCAAUGCUUUCACAAGAAGAAGCAUGCUGACUGCUGAGUGAUAACACUCCCAAGGGUAAAACUUAGGUGCUAUUCUUUAGGUACUUUUCAUGUUGUUGACUUGUUGCCUAAUUAAAAACUCAACUACCCACUUUCUUAAUUCAUUAACAUAAUUUUUCAUUUUUUUAUUCAUGUCUCAUCAUAUGCAGUGCAAAAAAAAAGGACAACAAUAAAGAAACCUGGAAAUCAACAAAUGCAACUGGAGCCCCAUAUGUGCUCUGCAUCUUCAGUUUCAAAAAUCCAGGAUAUCUGAUAGAAGAUACAUACACCAAAAUAAAAUCAACUUCAGCAUCUACGGACUGUAUAGAUACGAAAAUAAUUCGAACAAUACAUAUACACUGACCUAGAAAACACUUGUAUUAGCUCUUGUUCAUUACAAGACGGCCCCAGAUUAGCUACAAAUAAAGUUGCACAGGGGAUUGUAUUUUGAGGAAUGUAAGGUAUUGAACACUUUUUCUGUCAACACAAGAUAUGAAAUAAAAACAAUUACUUGAAGUGGAAAAUGCAAUAAUUUUAAAUUAACUAUAGUCCUAGAUGCAAGAGAAACAAGGAAAAACAACACGGUUAGAUACAACAAUUUAAUAAAGCAUAAUAAUGUUGACCAGCCUAAUCCAUGUAAAGCAUAUAACUGAGAAACAUUGUACAGUUUAACCACAAAUUUUAAUAGUCUGGAAAAAAAAGAUUAUGAGAAAAGCAUUUUGAGUUCACCACCGAAAGAUUUAACCAUUUAGAACAGCUAAUAGAGGUAAAUAUCUUAAGGUGAUGCAAAAAACAGAUAGAUUGAGUGCUACAUAACACUAACCAGAUUUCCAUAUAGACCAUCAUUGACAGCAUUUCCAUCAGCACUCCCAUAACUUUUGCAGAAAACAAACAAACAGACAAUUAGAUGAGAUAGCAUGAUAUACAAAGGCAAUAGCCCAAAAGAAUUUCUCUUGUACUAUAAACACAUUAGUUAUUUUCUUCUAAUAAUAUAGAAUGAGUUCCCCAACAGCAGCUCAAAAUAAUUAACUUGUAAUAUUGAAAAAUGUGCUCUAUUUGAGUUAGAAGCAAUGACUUCCAUAUAAUAAAGGUGUGAUUAAGUAGUGCAGAUGACCUUUGUGCAGAUGGAUAACCAAUCGUGUUCAUGUUGAUAGAAGGAUUACCCAUUCCAGGCAUGUGAAUGCUGCUAACACCUGCUAGUGCCGAAGAGUGCAAAACAUGUGCAAUGUGAGAUAAAAGUGUCCUUUUGUGUGAUCAACAUUUAACUAGUCUUUAAGCAAGAGAUCAUCAACAUCAACCGCAUAUACAUAGAACAACAUCCUACACACUAAAACAAUCUAGCACCAUCUUACUUACCGGAAUCAGGAGUCGCCCAUGACGGUGCAGACCCUCUAGCUUUCUUAUCCGAGCCACCUCUCUCAUCAUCUGCUCACCAAUGUCAAUCAACCAUCACAAUUCAAUUCAAACCUCUUAAAAUGUAAAUGGGAUUAGGAAAAUAAGGUAAUCAAGACACACACACACCUAUCCGCGUUCGCUUAGAUCUAGAGUUGGAUUUGGCAAGAUCAAUAUAAAGAGUUGAAUUCUUUUCAAGAUCAAACACCAUCCCCUGCAAACCACAGCAAUCAAAAUAUUCAAUUCAGACACUGAAAACUGCUACUGAGCAUGAAAUGUAUGUAACACAAAAGAGCCUUACAUUCAGAGCAUGCAUUGCCAUUACUGCAGAUUGCUGAUUCAUGAACACAGCAAAAGCAAAAGGCUAUCGGAACAAAAAAUCACGUCACAGAAAGCAUAUCAGUAAUCAAUCAAUGCAAACACAAUUACAAGAUAAUCAAAACAGUUGAAAACGCUUUGCAGUUUGCAGAAUCGAUUAUUAUUGUACCUGUGAUGAAUUGGUGGGGCUACGAAGAUGCGAUGAUUCGUAACCAGGAAAUUCGCGGAAGAGGUUGUAGAUUUCGCGGGGUUUUACAUCUUCAGGGAGUCCAGCAACGAAGAGGGUACGGACCUCGUGUGUGGGGGAUUGAGGAAGAGCGAAGGAAUUGUAGAGAGGUUGUUGCUGGUGGUGAGGAACAUACUGCGGAUGCGGGAAAACGGUGCCGGGAGGAGGUGGCACCACCGUCAUGAUAGGCGGCGGCGGAGGUGGCUGAUAAUAUGAAUAAUUGAGAAGGGCGGGUGGUUGGGUUUGAGCGUAGUAGGCAGCCAUGUCGUCCAUCGGAGCACUAUUGCAGUGGUUCGGAAGCCCUAGAGUAUUUCAUUUCUCUCUCAACAACUCCUCUGUUUUUUUUGUUGAAUUGUUGUGCUUUUCAUUUUCUUGACAAUAUUGGGCUGGCCCAUUAGGGAGCUGGUCUUCCUUAUCUGGGCCUGGCCCACUGGGAGUUUUGCAGUGAAAUUAAUUUAACCUACUAAGUCUAGACUAUAGAUUGACCAAAAAAAAAUUCUAGACUAUUGCAAAGGAAAAAGAAAACUGAAUGAAGAGAAAAAUUGGAAGCAAGCAAUUUAUUUUUAUCUUUCUCUUUCAUGAACUUUACAAUUUAUAGUUAGGGUUCAACCCUUGGGGUGUGUAUGUGAGUUCAAUUUUGAGGAGAAGGAAAGGGAAGAUGGAUGCUUGUGAGUAGAGGCAGGCGGAGGAACAUGAGUGGGGCCCAUCGAUGUCACAAUCCUUUCUAUCUUUUAGAUUUUUAUCUUAAUAUUAUGUAUGUAUAUUUUUCUUAUGACCUUUGUAGUCAGCUUAAUAAAAUAGAAUCAAUACUAUGUAUUUUUUUUAUGGCCCACUUCCAAACACGUACACAAGGUUGCUCAAAUAAAUUUAUAAAUUUUUGUAAUUAGAACGUUAUUAUCGUCGCAUUGAUUCUUUUUUACAGUACUCGUUAUGGUAUGUUGGAGUGUUUUUACAUGUGCCCAUAUACCAAUACGUCUAUAAAAAAAAAAGGCAAACUUAAAAAUGUUGGUUGUGUUUUAAACCCUCCGGCGUCCCUGUUGUUUUCGCCCGCCGUCGUUCAUAAACGUGCCAGCGCUGUUUCUAAUCGUAGUUCAUGGGCAUCGUUAUCUGGUUCCCUUCAAGAGUACACUCUGUCGCCGCUGUAGCCCCCAAUUCUUUUUUCGUCCUUCAUCGUUUGCAUAAACCUUUUGAACCUUCCCCCGCCACAAGCCUUUUUUAUCUGAUAAGAAGCACUUCCGCAGCAAACCCCUUUUGGGGUUUUAAAAUUAUUCAGAUCUCUAUGAAAUUUCUACUUUGAGAUACAUGAAUUGAUAUUCUGGGUUUAAAUUGAUAUUUUCAUUCUUGGUUUCCAUUCAAUUGGUUGUUCAACAAUUCAGUCUGGCCAAUGUUUUCUGAUAACAAUUCACACGAAACAUGUUAGGCACAUGUGGGAAUUUAUGAUCACCUCUGCUAUACAGUUUCACUCAUGGAGGAUGGGAGAGGAAGAGAACGACAUCACAGACGAAGAUGAACACAGAGGAGAGGAGGAAGGAUUAGAUUAAUAUUUGCCCCAAAUCAACUUGAAAUGUUUAAAAUCAACUAAGGUUAAAAUCAAUUUGAAAAUCAGAAAGUAAACAUUUUCUAAAAAAAAUGUAUUUUAAACACAUAGUAAAACUUAUAAUAGAGAUAUUUAGAGGAUCAAUUUAACAACUUUAUAAGUUAAAAUGACAUGACACAUUUCCACACUUGGCAUUCACUGAUUGGGUAUAAGAGAAACAACAUUAUAACCCCCUCUCACCAACUAACAUGUAAAAGUUUGCCUUUUUUAUAAGCCAAAUAUCGUAAAAACUCAAGUAUCCCUUACACGUAGAUAUGAGAUUUUAUUAUAUAAUUAUUAUCGAAAUACAACAUAAUCAUAUAAAGUUCAAUCGCUUAGCGAGGAUCGUGACAACUCAUGGGGAGAUUACACCAUCUCUUUAUUCUCUCUUUGCUAGUUAUUGCCAUAACACAAGUACUGACUCAACAAGGGUAAAUACCCUCGUGCAAUUCCAGCUGCUCAGUUUACCCUGCAAUUACAACUUACUCACAAGUUAUAUUUAUAGACAUAGCUAGCUAGUAAGCAAGCAAGCAAUUUCUCUUGCAGAAGCAGAAUGGGUGAAUUUCGUGGAAGCAAAUCAAAAAAUUGUACGUAUGAGUGAUCGCAGGCUGUUUUCUUCUUUAAGAUGAAACACGGAAAAAAUCGCACACGAUCAUGUUUUUCCGUUCUUGCUUAAAGGGAAUUUGAAAUUGCGACCAUGCAAUUGAAAAACGCUGCUUUCUUGUUUUCUUUCAUUGAUUCAAAGCAUCUAAUUCAUCAAUCAAGAAUGAUACGUGUAGCACGUUGUUUUUGUUCAUUGAAAAACGCUUCUUUCUUGACAUUAUUACAAUAUAUAACAUUCAUAUCUAUCAUUUAUAAUAUAUCUCUAGUCCUCCCAAAAGUUGUACACAAAUUCAUGACUCAUGAGUACCUAUUAAAACAUAAUUGUUUUUUAUUACCAAGAUAUCCCCACAAUUGAUAACAAUGAGACUAAUCUUCUCGAAGCUUGAAGAUCAUAUUAAACGGAUAAACUCUUUUUAAUAAAUCAUUCUUCAUACAUAUUACUCUAAGAUUGAAUCCUCGACUAAACUUAAGGAGCUUAGUUAUCUACCAACUCAAAACUAUGACUAAAACGACUUUUAUCAAAUUCAAAAGAGUAAUGCAGGUUACAUUAACUUAAUAUUGUUUGUAAAAUUAACUACAUUAUGCAAUAAUAACCUCAAUUGCCACACAAAUGUAUAUCAUAUCAGAUACUACCUCCGGUCCUAUUUAUAAAAAUCAAAGUUAAAAAAAAUUUUGGUCAUUUCUAUAAGAACCAAAUGAAAGUUUGUGUUAUAUUAAUUAUUUUUUUUCCAAUGAUACUCUUAUUAUUUCCAACUAGUAAAAGUGUAUCAUUAAUUAUUCUCUCUCCUUCACACUCUUCAACACUAAGGUUAUGUUUGGCACGCCUAGCUAAUAAGCUAGCUAAAAGAUGAAAAACUAGCUGAAAACUUAUAAGCUAGUUGAAAGCUGAAAGUUGAUAAGCUAGCUGAAAGCUGAAAAGCUACGUGAUUGGAACAAAAGUGUUUGGUAAAACUAACUAUUGAACAAGCUAAAUUUGUAAAAUGACAUAAAAGGACAUACUUAUAUAAUUUUUUUAUAUUUAACAUUAAUUUGUUUUCACACUAAUACCUAUAUGAUAUUAAUAUUAACUUUAAAUAUUUUGAUUCCACUCAAGUUAUUUAUCAUCUUAAAAAUAUAAUAUUAAUUAUUACUUAUUUAAUUUUCUAUAUUUUUAUUAAAUUAAAUAUAAUAAAACAAAUAAUUUGUAAUUUGUAAUAUAAAGUUAAAUAUAAUGCACAGCUGCUUGUGCGUUAGUGUUGUGUGGAACGGUAUGCAUAUGAGAUAAGUGUGAUAACUGAUAAGUAAAUAGGUUUAGUAAAAAACAUAUAAGGCUAAAGGUGAAAUUUUAAUAAAAUAAUAAGGAUAAAAAUGAGAAUAUAUUUAAUAAGUUAUAAGCUACCUAAACUACUGAAAUAAGCUCAUUCACCAAACAUUUUUAAAAAGUUUUUAAGCUAGUAAAAUAAGCUUUAAGCUAGCUGAAAUAACAUGUCAAAAAUAGCCUAAUACUACUACAUUAGAAAAAAGAGUAAUUUUGGAAGUUUAUUUUAAUUUAGGACAAAUAUAAUGCAUUGUAACUAAUUGAACUACAUUUCUUAAACUAUGAGAUUUUUUUCAGUUUUUAUAAAUAAGACGGGAGGUAGUACCAUGCUAAGCUUUAUUACAAAUAUGAGGAUUGAUGAGGAAUUAAACAGCAACACCAUGUCCUAGCUAUAUCUUAUCAUGAACUUUUGUGCCAUACAUAAUAUAUUAUAUGAGCAAUUAAAUAUGAAAUUUAGAAGAAAAUAUAGGGUUAAAUGUUUUCGGUCUCCUUAAAAUUGCAAAUUAUUGAUUUUGUCCCCUUAAUUUUUUUUAUUAAUGUUAGUCCCUCAUUUAUAAAAAUGAUGAGGUUUUAGUUCUUUAUCCAUUUUAAUAUGCAUUUUGUCGCGGCUUUUUAGAAGGUUUAAACCGUCACUAAUAUAUUUUACGUCAGUUUUUGUGUAUUAGUGACGGUUAAAUUGCCUCAAAAUGCUCCACAUCAGAAUUAAAAUGGAUAGAGGGAUCAAAACAUGAUCAUUUUCAUAAAUCAAAGAUUAAAAUCAAUGAAAAAUCAAAGAAGACUAAAAUCAAUAAUUCACUAUUAAAAAAUAUAUUUAACCCAAAAAAAUAUAUGAAGUGAAUCUUCCAAACCUUUAUAUAAGUGACAGAGUAGCUAGUCUAUCAAUUAUAAGAUUAUACGUUUGAAAACAAAUUAAAGCUGGUGUAUCUAUCAAUUGGGUACCAAAUAUAAACAACUUUUUUAUAAGCGAUAGAUAUGGUAGUUUGAAUGGGAAAAAAAACCAAAAAGAAAACCCCUAUGGUAAAUGAAAAUAUACGGUAAUUAAUUAAUAAAUUUAAAAAGUAGUUUAAGUAAUUGAAUUUUACAUGAAUUUUUUUUUCCCACACUUGUCUUACUAGCUAAAUGAGCUUGCUUGCAAAUGAGCUUUGCUGUGCAUGUUAUUUGUAUGGCAGAGAUGAUGUGGCACGCCACGUGUGUUAAUGAGAACCAAAAUCAAACAAUUUUUCCCUCGUGUGUUAAGGAGUGACAAGGCCCUUGAGUCAAUUGUUUGAUUUCUAACGUUGUAUGAUUAGGGAUCGAUCUGGUAUUAAUUUCUGAUACCCAUUAGCCAUCUUCUCCAAAGUUUUGAUAUCUUUACCAUAAUUUUUCCAAAUUUAACAAAACAAUAAGAUUUUCAAUGUUCGUGGAGAUUAUGGGUUCGACACACUUCGAGGAGUGGUAGAAGUGAAGGAGAGGACGGGGUGGCUGUGGAGGCUUGAGGUUUAAACUGAAAUUGAGUUUCUGAAAAUGCAUCAAGAUGAGGAAUUUGAAUUGGGAGUGCAAGUGUUUAAUUAGUUUAUAAUUAGAUUACUAAUGAGAUAAUAAAAUUGAAGUGGGAAAAUGUUUGAUUUAGGUAUUGAUCAAAACACGAGAUCAGGCACAUUAUCUCCGCCGCACAUUAACACUUGACAUGCUCACCAUACCUCAUUUUCAAGAGAUAACUAAAAGCGGGGUUGGUGGUGGCAGUGGCGACAUUAAUAGUUGUGGUGGUGAUAGCGGCGGUGACGGUGGUGGUAGUGGCAAUGGUAGUGAUGAUAGAAGUUGCAGCUUGUUUCAUUUUCACUUAAAAUGAAAAUGAUUUUUUUCUUAUGUUUUGGUCAUAUUUUAAAAAAUGUUUUUGAAAAAAAUAUUUUCUAAAUAUUAAUCGAAUAUGUUAUCAGCUGUAUUUUUUAUUUAUAUUGAAAAUGAAAAUAGGAAAUGGGUCAAUUCCUACUUUACUAGUAUUUUUUUGAAAUUUACUUUACUUGGUAUAGUGAUAUCAAGGAAGUAAAAAUCAUUAAGCGGCUUUCAAGAUCUCAUUUUAAUUACCAGCUAAACAUACUAUUACUAUUGUCUUUAAUAAUGGGAAUCUUUUCAAUUGGUGCAAUUAACUAAAUUAAUAAAGCAUUAACCUAGACAGAAUCCCAACUAAUCUGACCCUUGUCAUUAAUCAACAGUUCAAAUUAAUUAAGUUAGAUCGAUGACCUCUCGUCAAUGAACAAUCUAUACCUAUUUUAAAAAUAUGUAAUAAUACUUAUGGAUCAAAUUAAAAUAGUUCCACUCUCUUCGUUCCAUGUGAUCAGAUUGCUUUCUCAUGGAAUAAACACUAUACACAUACAGAGCAAGCCUUAAUGCAUGUGCUUCUUCUUUUAUUUGCAAGUACGGAUGAAGUUGCCGGCAUUGACCCAUUAUAUAGGUGUUUUGAAAUAAGUAAUUAGUAAUUAUGUAUACACAACUCAUUUUCUUUUUGAUCAUAUCAUUUUCAUACAUUUUUCUUGUUUCUGCAUUUUCUAAAUAGAUCACAUAUUUCUCUUUUUUCUCUUCUUUAAGGUGAAGGGCUGAAAGUGGAAAUAAAUUGUUAACAUAACAUUAUUCGUUUAGAAACUGAUAAGUCACUCCGAUCAGACUAGAGACUAGAGACAGGGGCGGAACUUGGAGAGGACAUAAGGGAGCCAUGGCUCCUUCAAAAUUCUUAGAAAACUCUUACAUAAUGCCCAUGAUAAAAAAAAAAUGUUUCACUCAUAUUAUAUAUACUGUAAUUUGUAUACUGUCACACAAACUUCAUGGUGACUUGGUGGAAAGUCAUCAUUCCUCUCUUUUUUAGAUACUGGGUUCGAAUCCCGUAUAUGUCAGUAUUUAGGUUACUUUUUUCUGUUUCACUCCCUUAACUAGCUUUAGGUUAGUGUGUAGAAUUUUUAAAAUGUCUUUUUAAAUAAUUUUUUUUGAUAAUCUCUUUAAAUAUUUAUUUGUUUUCUCUACUAUUAUUUAAAUUUUUAUUUAAGUCAACAUUAUUAAUGAUAAAAAAAUUCAGAAAACAAAUUAUCAAAAGGUAAUAUAAAUUCAGUCAACAUUAUUAAUAUAUAUAUAUAUAUAUAUAUAUAUAUCAAGAAGGUAAAAAUUGAAAAAAAAUGAGAAGUAAGUUUUUAAUUAUUAACAUAACUUUUAAUAAAUUUUCAAUAUUCAUGUAUAUAAAUUUCAUCUUUAUUUUCUUUUGUAUGAAUAUAUACAUGUAUUGUUGAUAAAAUAUUUUAAUUUAUGUAUUGAAAUUUUAUUUCGGCUCCCUUAAAAUUUUCCUCCAAGUUCCGCCACUGGACAUGGAGUUCUUAAAAAUAAGAACUAGUUCUUAUAUAAGAAGUUUUACUUUUUGAGUUAUUAGCAUAAAAAAAUUAUUUUUUCUUUCUCAUUCAUCAACUUAUUUAAUUUAAGUAUUGAAUUAGAAUUUAAAUUUAAAUCAAAAUUAUAUGAAAAUAAAAAAUAUUACUAAUAUAAUGGUAUUGUGAGACCAGAUGAAUAGUGCUAAGAACUAAGAACUCAUGGUUGGAGCAAAUCUACAGAGAGUUGCUUAAGCACAUGUGGCACUACGUGCUCACAUGAAUAGUGCCAAAAAUUAAGAACUAAGAACUAAGAAACUAGCAUUGAAGAUGCUCUAAGUACUCUCUCCAUGGUAAGUCAUGGUUUUCUCUCAGUCAUGUUUGUUUUGUUACCAAAAUGAAGUAUAUGAGAUUCUGCAUCUGUGAUUAUUAGGUUUGGAUUUAGUCCUUGUGAGAGCGACCAUAGUGUUCAACACCUUGUACUGCAUUUAAAGAAGAAUAUUUUGACACACAUCAGGACAGUGCGUUCGUCUGUAACACAAUGUUCUGGAGAGCUUCUUGCGCAACCAAAAAUCAAUCCAAAUAGUGUAAAUAAAAGCAAUGUAAGUGCUAUUACUUUACGUUCUGGAAAAACAACUAACUCUCCUGCACCCCUUAAAAUUUUCCUCCAAGUUCCGCCACUGACUAGAGACCCGUUCAGUCACAUGAAAAUGAAAAAAUCCUGAACUGGUUGAACUGGUAUGCAUCGAUGCCUAGAAUCGGUGUUAUAGACCAAGUUAAACAAGUGAAUUUUUUGCAUUUUAAAAAAAAAACUAAGUAUUUUAACUAUUUAUUUUUUUAUCAUAUAAAUUAAAUAAGAUAGUUGAGGACAUAUGAGUUGAGAGGGGAGGUACAUGGAUUAAUCUUUAAAUGGUGCAAUUUAUCUUUUCAAUAUAAAAAAUAUAUAAAUUAAAUAAGAUGAAAAAUUUAUUAUAAUUGAAAAUUCAAUCAUUCUAAUUUUUUUUAAUAUUGUAUAUGAAUGUAUUACAUAGUAACUAUAGUUUAAUGAUGCUUGUCAAUGUGUGGUGCCUUAAAUGAUAUAGACCAAUAGAAAACAUAGAAUUUAAACUUAGAGGAAGAGGAUUAAGGAAGAUUUGGAGGUUCAAUAUAGGUGGAGAAUGAAGGAAGAUGAUCUUAACAUGGAAGAAAUUUAAAUGAUCUCUCGGAGUUAUAAGUUCAACUAAAAACCUUAAUUUUCAAAUUGUGCAUUACAUAACAUAAACAAACUUAAGAACUAUAUGUUAUUAAUUCAUCAAGUCGAUCAUAGAACUUUUUAAAAUUAUAAUAAUACAUACUUUCAUCUUUCUUUAACCAAAUAACAAAAUUAUAACUUAAAAUAUCAUAUGGAAUACAACACCAAAAAAAAAUCUGCGUACCCCAAAAUUCACCCAAUAUAAUUGUGGUUCAACUAUUAAAUCUUGAACUGAUGUUUCGACUAAUUCAUGAUUGGUCCGACUUUUUAAUAUUGAUUUAUAUCAUACAACUUGCAGCCAUGCAUGGAUAUUUGGAGGAAGCUGACUUUUAUGCCUCUUUCAGUGCAUGAGAGAUUUGUAAAAGGGCACGUGCAUACGAUUAUUUAGAAAAGUAAAUUUUAAACUCUAUUUUUAAUAAUGAGUUUGGAUCUCACUUGGAAACUGAUGCCAUUUUUUUGAAGAAACUUGAUAAUGGUUAUAGGAGUAGGAUUAGUAUAAUCAGAGAUCGGAGACCAAUAGUGUGCCUGUUUGGAUAGGAACUGAAAGUCCGUUUGCUUCUCUUGAAAUGUGUGUGCGUGAUUUCCAAAGUGCUCAAACGCGAAAGAUAAAAAUUGUUUCGCUUACGUUCACGUUCAAUCCAACAUAAAUACAAACAGACCAAGAGUCCAUUCGGCAAGGGGCUUGGGAGUAUAGCUUGGCAAUAAUCUCUUCUAUAAUUCUAUAAACAUGGUUCAUACUUGCUCAAUGUAAGUUGUAUAAAUAUGGUUCAUAUGUAGAUCAAUUGUUUAUUAAAUUACUUUUGUUAGUCAUUUUCUUUUAAACUGCUACAUUCGUUUCUUACUAACGGUUCAUAAAGAGAAAUAAAUAGGUUGUAGGCAUGUAAAGAAAUACAAUUAAUUUUUUUAAAAAAAAUAUAAUUUAUUAUUUAUUUUACCUUUUAUAAUGCAAGUUAUCUCUUAUUUUUUUAGUAUAAACAUUCGGUACUCGGUUACCAUUUGAAUACUGCCAGAUUCGGGAUUUAAUUAUAGUUAAGACUCUUCAUCCCUCCCCUAGAGUUUAUUGUAUGGGGAUAGAACCCGAUAGUUAUUCUCACACACUCAAUCUGAGCUACCCCUCUUAAGAAAAUAUCAAUUAAUACAUUUUAAAAUCCGAAGUGGACAGAAAAAAAAUUGGGAGAGGUAGUAAAUCACAAGCAAAUCCUUCUGAAAAUAUCAAAGAACAACAUCAAUUAACAACAUAAUAAUCAAGGAAAUUUUCUUAGACUCUUAUAAUAAUGUCACUGGUUCCCUUAUCCUAAGAUUUGCUGAAGAUUCAAAUGCACCAGCUCCAUAACUAGAACGACAAGAUGCAAUUUUUCUUUCCUUUUUGCUUUCUUGGAAUACAAUAUGAUGAGGUGAAACUUAGCAGAUGACACAGGCAUUAGGAUUCUCUUCCACACUAGUGUAAUAGUAAUGUGGCUGUCUCAUCAUCUGAUUCUGACAUGCUUCAUAUACCUUCGCAAUAUCAACCAUGUUCUGAUUAUGAUUCUGAUUCUGAUUCUGAUCGGUUUUCUUCUUCUGAUCCUCUGGCUUCUUUCUCUCUUCUUUCUUAGGAGGUUCCUUGGCUGGUCCAACAGAGAGUAUCUCAGUAUGACACAGCUUCCUCAGCUUACCCACCACUGCCACAGGGUCAAUGUCCCCAGUUAAGGUCAGUUUCUGCUCAUUCAUAUCCAUAGAGACUGACUCAAUCCCUGCAUAAAGCAUGUCAGUGUAUAUUUAGAAAUUUUUCUCCUAUUGAUUCUUAACUCAAAAUUCAUGUGGGGAGAGCUAGCAGCUUUUGAAUUUAAAAACUGAUUCUGAUGAAAGACAAGUUAACUCAAACAUGCUAUUUAUCAACUAUGUACAAAAUUACAAGGGGUUGAAAUUCCAUACCUGAAAUAUUAGAGACUUUCUUCAUAGCUUUUUUCUUAAUUUUGUCAUCGAGUAGUUCCACUUUUAGCACUACUUUCUGCCAGAGUGCAAAUAAGAUCGACGAGUGUUAGUUAGGACACUUGUAAUUUAAUCAAUCUAAUAAAGAAAAACACCAAUCUUCAAUUUGUUUUUCAAGAGACGAAAAGACAAGCCUAUGUUGAAAUUUUGACACGAGAUCUAAAGCUUUGAGUGUCAAAGAGUGCCAAAAAAUUAAAAUAAACAUAUAGAUUAUAUAGUUGAUCUAUGAUGAUGAAUGAAUGAUGAACCAUGCAUGGAGCUGGAACUGAAACAGAGCAAAACUAAAAUUAGAAGCUUUCACAAUAAAACUUGGAGGGGUGACAAAUUCUUACAUUCAUUGAUGUGACGCUGGUGAAAAAUAAGGGAAGUUUUGUUUUGGAAGUUCUGGUGUAUGGAAGUUCAGUUGGUUGAAGGUAUUUAAAGAGAAAAAUAAUAAAGCUACAGAGACUAGUGUGUGAGAUAGCGAGAUAGGAAGUCAACCCAAGUCUAUAAUUAUGAAAAAUAACAAUGAUAUAUUCACACCUCAUUUUUUAUACAUUUCAUUUUCACAUAUAUUAUUUCUAUUUUUCUUCUCUUAUUAUUUAUCGCAUCUUAUACUUUCUCUCUCUUACUUUUUCUUUUAUUCCUAACUCUCUCCUCUUUAAGAUGUGAAUGAACGAUUAUUCUUAUAAAAAAUGUUUAUAGGAAGGCUAGUGUUUUGUUUUUUUUUUGGUAAAUUCUUUUCUUUUUGGUAAAUGACUAGUGUUUUGUUUAUGUAUGAAACAAUCAAUCAAUCACGUGCGUUAAUACAUAAAAACCGUCAUAAAAAAUUUAAUAUAGAUUAAUUUCACAUAUUUCAAUAAUAUUGGAACUAAAAGCUAUAACAUCUUUUUAAGGAACCGAAUUCAAUUCAUAGGAAUUAAAAACAUGGUUAACCAUUUACUUGUUUAUUUUUGUCAAAGUGCCACAGCCAAAAUAAAAUUGAAGCUAGGUGUAAAGGGGUCUCGCAAUCAAGAGCGUGUUGACCUUUGUUGGUAAUGGAUUAAGUGUGUGUUUGGAUUUCCAUGUUAAAUUCAAUGUAGAUUCAUAUUGAAAAUAACCUGUUAAAAUUAUGCAUCUACAAUUUAUGUUAAAUUUAAUGUGACGAAUUUCAACUUCUUUGAAAUACGUGAAAUCAAAUUUACUACUACUAACCUCUCUAAGAGCAUCUUCAAUGGAGUCCUUAUUUUGGGACCUUAAAAUAAGAUCCGGAUCUUAUUAGAUCUCACCAUUAGAGCUAUCCUACAUGGCAUGAGAUCUUAGCAAAAGCUAAGAUCCGUGCCUUAGCUCAGGUACUCUCAAAUGUGAGAUCUUAAAUAAAAUAAUAUUUUUUUUCUCUCCUUCAAUACCAUAAUCAAAGUGAAAAUUAGGGAGGAAAAUAAAUAAUAUAAAAUAUAUUGAGUACUGUGGGCUCAGACAAAAGUAAAAUAAGAUAUCAACCAUUAGAGUAAAAUGUGUAUGAAGACCUUAUGAGUGUCUUAAAUCCUAUGUGGCAAUUUGGGCCCACAAAAAUUGAGUUAAGUCCCAAAAUAAGUUUAUACCAUUGGAGAUGCUCUAACAAGCUUCUAUGCUCUUUGAUUUUAAUAUAUUAUCCAUUUAAAAAAAAAACCCUCUAACAAUAAACAAAGAUAGACUAAGUGAUUUAAUGCUGCACAAGAAAGUGCAAUAACAACAUACGAAGAGGAACAAAAGAAACACACUUUAGCCAACCAACAAAGAAAGAAAAACAGAAUUGACAAGAAAAGGCUAGCAAAGGAACCCCCUGGAGAUGGUUAUGGCCCAUCACAAUUAAGUGGGCCCAGCAGAAAAUAUCUAUUUGAUAUCUGAGGCCCGUACUCAUAGCUUUUGGUCCCACUAAUCACCUCAUGACGGAAGGGAGAAUCUUGGGCCGAUGGGUUUCAGGCACAAACCCUCCUUAACACGUAAGUAACGCCUUCCCGUGUCGUUUUUGUUCAGCAACCGACUCUUUCCUAUGUCCUUCAUACUUCACAGUUUUCAAUUAUUCUAUAACUAUUUUGUGGACCUUGGACUUCCUUUAAAUAAAAAAUAUUGGUGAGAAAAAGUUGAAGUGAAGUUAUAUCUGAAAAUAUCGUAUGAAAAUAUCUAUGUUUAUAGUGCAACCUUAUUUUAAUAAUCUAAAUGUGAUAAAAUAUCUUAAUUUGUCACAUUUUAUAUUCCCAAUCAAUUUUGUUAGCUUUAUUAUUUUUUCUUUUGUUAGCUUUAAUAAAACAUGAAAAACAAGAUAAUAUCUAAAUUAACAUGGGUGCUUCAAUGGGGAUAAAUUUACCCAUUAGUGUGUUAAAUCUUUCUAAUGAUUAUUCAGCAAUUUAAACUUAAAUUAUUAUUCUUAUUAAGAAUUUAAUUUGUCUAUUACUAAACUAACGCAUCGAGCAUGUUUAGGCUGUGUUACUUGUGGUAUGAAAAAAAUCAUAUUUGCACAAUUUUCUUUUUAUCCUUUUACAUGAUUGGAAGUUCACAUGGCACUAGCAGGAAUUGUAUCCCUUGGAGGAAAUGUGACAAGGCAUAUGUUGUAAAGAUAUGUGCUUUUGACUUUGGAGAUAUUUUGUUCAAAAUGCAGUAAAAAAUGGAGUGGUAAUUAACAAUAUGAUAUUGAUUAUUUUGUUUAUCUUAACGACUUUAUUCAUUAUCUAAAAUUUCUAAUUUGUCCAUGCAUGAUGUGUAAAAAAAUAUGGAAUAUCCAUUAUAAAUUGAAUUGCAAUUAAUAGAAAUAUUUAUCUCAAACAAGUUUCACUUAAAGCAAAAAGGUAUAAAAGAAGAAAAACAUUUUUCACAAUUGAAACCAACUAACUCUCAUGCUUGUACUUGUAAGAAAAUCAACAUUCCAAUAAGUAAAAUCAUUUAGAGCAAAAGUUGGGUCACUUUUUCCAUGAUACAUUGCCUCCAUCUCCAUCCUUGUAUUGUAUAUAUAAAAAAAAAGACAUUAGAAAAUAGUUAGAAGGAAGAACACCAAGCUUUAUUAAAACGCAAACCUAGGAAAAUAAAAACACUUGAUUUGUCAAAUGUUAUGGCCAGCAAGGAUUGGCAGUUGUAAAUACUACUUUAGAUUCUGCAGUUAAAGCCAUUUUCUUUCUCUUUGAAACCCCACGAAAAUGGUGUCAGAAAACCCGAAUGCUUCAGAGGCUAUAUACUUGGAACCCUUAGCAGAUUCGGUGGAGGACCCUGCCAAGAAGACACGCAAACCAUUCACCAUCACCAAGUCUAGAGAGAACUGGACCGAACCUGAGCAUGAUAAGUUCCUUGAAGCUCUUCAACUGUAAGAAAAUGAAAAGUUUUCCUUUUUUUUCAUCUUCUUCUUCUUAUUUUGUUCUCAGAAUGUAGUGUGUGAAUUUUGAAGUUCAACUGAGACAUGGGUUUUAGUGGUACCCUUGUGUGUGUGUGUGUGUCACUGUUUGAGUCAUGGUUUCAGGAAGCUACUUAUGGAGAAUUUUCACAAUUGUUUGUCAAGGACUGAGAUUUUGGUAUUUCAGAUUGGUUUGGCAGGGGAAGAAUAAAAGAUGUUAGGAAUGGUCAAUGGGGAGGGUAGAGUUUUAUUACUACUGUUAUCAACUUAUCAUUGUUAUUUGGUGAUUGUUGUCAAAAUACACUAUGUGAAUCAGUGAAUGUGAUCAAUUCAUUCUUUUUGGGGGGGCUUCUUAUAAUGGUUGAACUUAGUUUACUAUUCCUAAAUGGAAUUUGCCAUUUCAAAUUUAAGCAAUUUGUUUGUUUUUCCUUUUUCCUGGUCUUGGUGUAACCAUUUAGCAUCAACUCAUUGUUUUUUUUCUUUCAUUUUGGAUCCAGAUUUGACCGUGACUGGAAAAAGAUUGAAGCUUUUGUUGGAUCAAAAACAGUUAUCCAGGUAAUUUCAAGUGCAAUCGUUGAUUAGAAAUUGUCAUAAGCUGUUACUUCUGGGUACCAUUGGCCAUAAAUAUUUUGGAUUGCAUUAGUUAUCUUAUAAUUUAUGGAAUCAGAAUGUGAAUAUUGGUUAUGUUACAUUAAGGAUUUCAUCCCUUGCCAGAUAAAGUGUUGGAUGCUGGAAAUGAAAUGCCAAAAAAGGAUAUUUCCCUUUCUCUCCCUGCCUCCAUUGCUAAUUGGACUGAUUUCUUGAAAACCCUGAUACAUAUGACUUUUCCUUUUGUUUGGUGGGACUAAAAUUGUGAAACCUGAUAGUCAUAUUCAUAUACCAACUUGCUUUUCUUUUGAGGAAAGUUCCAAUAGCAUUCAUUUAAGAUUAACUUAAGCUAUUAUGCGGGUUCCAUGUGCUUGUUAUACAAGGAUCAAAUCAUGCUGUGACUUUUAAGUAAAGAAAGUUGAGGACAAAGAAAGCAUUAAGCUUUUCAUAUUUUAAAUUGUGGACUAAGCACAGGCUCAUCAAGCCUCAUGCUGAAAUGCAAUUUAGUUUAGAAGAAUAGAGAUUAUAAGGAUUAAACUCAUGAAUAUUUAGUCACAAAAGUUUUUGUACCAAGUCAAAGAACCAACUAUCCUUGGUGUUUACUGUUUAAUAUGUUAGUUGUAGCUUUGGGAAUGUAUUUAUCGUCUAACAAGAAUGAUGCAAAUUUUCUUAAAUGGGAUACCAUCAUUGACUAACAUGAAAAGCAGACUUCUUUUAUGUUGUUAAAAGAAAGAAACAGUUUCAUUGGGGAAUAUUUUAGAAUAUCUUUUAAAUGUCUGUUAGUUGAGUGCUUACAGCUUAAUGGAUUCAAAGAUGUCAGUGCAUAUGACAGUUGGGAGUUGUUAGGAUUUCUAUUACUUUUUCAUGUGCUUCAAUGUUUAAUGGAUGCCUCAAGUACCCAUAAGAAUGACUGCUGAUUUUGUAGAUACGUAGCCAUGCACAGAAAUAUUUUCUUAAAGCUCAGAAGAGUGGGAAAAGUGAACAUCUUCCUCCACCCAGACCAAAACGAAAAGCGGCUCAUCCAUAUCCUCAGAAAGCUUCCAAAAACGGUUACAAUCUUCACCAUAUUUUGUUUACAACAUAUUUUAGAUUAAUUGUAUCUAAUGAUUGUAAGUGAUAUUUGACAGUUCCAGUACUCUCGCAUGUUUUAGGAUCCUCUCAAUCUUCAUCUGCUUUGCUUGAACCUGGAUCCAUCCCCAAGCAUGAAUCUUCGCCAAUUCUUAAAACUCCUAUACUUAACACUUCAGUUUCUUCCGGGUCAAACAACACUUUGCAGACAACAGCCAAUGUAUUACAUGGUACUGAAAAUUUAGAUUUUAUAAUCCUGGAAUAUAUUUAUGGAACUUGUUUGGAUAGUUUUCGUAUGAUACCAACUAGUUUGUUGUGUUUAAAUAUUGUGUGUUUUAGGUCAAAAAGUGAAUAAUUGUUGCAGCAGCAAUGAAAGCACUCCUAGAGCACGCGUGGUUGGUGAAUCUAAUGGUCAAGGAAAUAAUAACCAUCCAUUGAAAGGCAAGGGUUUAAUGAUUUUCCUUUCUAAUUUCAGUGCUGUCAUCUUUGAUUGUUACAUUAAAUUUGAUGUGUGCAUGACAAGGUUAUGGAGUGUUGUUGUAAGCAUAAUUUGUGCACAACUGCAUAUUUCAGCAAUUAUGUUAUUGCUUUAUAGUGUAUUCCUGUUUUAUUAUCAAGAAUAUAACUGUGUUGGGUCCAAAGUAAGUAUGGAGUCUCUUAAUUUCCAAUCCCCUUCUUGGACAUGAAUCUUGAUUAUCAUCAUCUGAGUCGCCAAAAUAUUCAUUUGAUAUUUCCUUGAUGGUACCUUCAAUUUAUGAAAUUUGAUACGCUUUCGUAUCUUGAACAUUUUGUUAUUUUAAUGUGUACUCAACAUGUGGAAGUGAUGUCUGUCCUGUUUUUCUUGUUCUGCGACUCAUUUCUUAUGAGAAUACCCAGAAAGCUGUCUUAUCCUCAUAGGAGUUUUACAAACUCCCACCUACUCAUGUCAAUAUAGCUACAUACAUUCGAAGUUAUGUGCACAUUUCUGCAAUAAUUUUCUUUUCAUAGAAUUUACGCAUAUGAUUUUUGUAUCUUUUUUAGUAUUUAUUGUUGUCUCACUGUUUUCCAAUGUCAAUUUAAUUUUCCCCUCAUUUGUAAUGCAGUUCUUCCUGAUUUCACUCAAGUAUACAGAUUCAUUGGCAGUGUAUUUGACGCAAAUGUAACUGGGCAUCUACAGAAACUUAAAAAGAUGGACCCUUUAGAUGUUGAGACGGUAUGUGUUUGUGUGAUUUCUUGCUUUGAACUCCCUUAAGACAUUAAAGCAUUAUUUCUUGCUUUGAAUACCUGUGUUAAUUUGUGUCAACUAGUACAAUUCAGAAGUUCUGAGACAUUUCUUCUUUUUAUGACCUUGAAUAUUUUUAGGUGCUGCUGUUGAUGAGAAACCUGUCUAUCAAUUUAACAAGUCCAGGUUUCGAGGAUCACGUAAGUAUUCAUGCCACUGAUCUUUGGAUUACUUAAUGCAUGAACCUCACCACUAUUUUGACCCAACAUCAAAUUUUCUCUUUAAAAGAACUUGUUUAAGGAUCCUUACUCCUUAGCUUUAGAAGGCCGUCCCUAUAUAUUCCUCAUCUUUUGAAAACUGUCCAUCUCCGACAAAAGCAUCUUAUGCAGAUUGGAAAUUUCAUCUUCAUAGAAACUUGAAUGACUAAAUUAGACAUCAAAUUGCAUGACCAAUGAAAGAAGGAACAAUAAUAAAUUUCAUUUAUAUGUGAACCGGUUGUAAUUCAUGCAGAGAAGGCUGCUCGCGUCAUAUGAGGUGGAACCCGAGAUAGAUAAUUAUAUCAAUGUAGAUCAAGCCAUGCAUGAUGAGCAGUUGAAGAGUGCUACUUAGAUGGAGGGGAGGUUGAAUAUAAAAUUGGCUGUUUUUCAUGCAUUUCUGCAUGAUGAGGUAAGAUGCCUCGGCAAGAAAACAAGCUGAGAUUCCAGCAACAGUCUUAUGAUCCUGCUCUAAUUAGUGGCUUAUGUUGCUCAUCGAUCAUCUCAGCUUAACAAGGCUUUUGAUUCCCACAAUUCGAUUCGGUGAUGUAUAUAUUAAUGAAACAUAUUAUAGAAGAAAAUAAUAAUGCUGGACUCUAUAGAUUUCAUAUUUUUGUAAUAUCCGAGACAGUACUAGCAAGUUGAUGACUUUGUAAACAAUAUAUACGUUUGUUUGCCUUAGGAAGGGAAUGCAAUUUCAAAAAGGAUGUAAAAUACUUCAUAUUAAUGUAGUGUUUAUUCUAUUUAAUUGUGUUUCUAUUAUUUGAUAAAAAUUGUUAUUAGAUUACGGAAUUUGGCUCUAAAAUAUAAUUUUUUACUAUAACUCAUUAUGUUGUAGUAUAUAGUUCUUCUACUAAAACUAUAACAUGUAAACAGUAUAUACGUUUGUUUGUCUUAUUCUGAAAUUUGUUGAGAAAAUAAUAAGGAACGGAAACUAAUAGCAAUGUUUACAGUGUAUAACACAGCAAUAUCAAAAAAAGUCUCUGCAAUUCAACAUUUCACGUCCUUGUUGGAAAAAGUAGUAUGCACCAAAUCUUUUGUCAACUGUUAGCCUUUACUGUGUGUCAUAGUAUGAAGUUUCAGGACAUGAAAUUUCCAUGUAUCUAGGAGAGAUCUAUUUAGUAUUUACACAACUUCAUUACUGUUUCAACAAAAGUAUGAGAAAUCUGUGCAGACAAUUGUGAUCUUUUUAGACUUUUUCAGACCAAUAUUCCAUCUACAUCCCAACAAUUGCUGGCAGUGGUUCAAAGUCUGCUACUGAAAACCUCCAACAUAAGGGUUCCAGUUCCUUGCGCUAUCACCAUGAAGAUCUAACAAUGAGUAGUUGACAAGAUCUAACAAAAUCAGUAACUAAAACACCACAUAAAUUUCAUUUCUAAAAUGACUCAUAAAAAACAUUUGACAAGUGAUUUCUUACCAAGACUCGGUGGUCUUAUGAAACCUCCAUAGCUCGAUUCAUGAUAUCCUAAGCAACCCUGCAUUGAGUUUAGCUUUUGGGUGCAACAAGUCAUGCGAGAUGCAGGCAGGUGUGGUGGAACUGGAACACCAGUUUGUGGUUCACACAAUGAGCUGAGAUUAAGUUUGCUUGGAUUUAUCAUCUGCUGGAAUUUCGAUUGACCGACUUCAUGAUCAAACCUUCUCAUGUCAUCUUGGGAAAGAAGGAAAGGUGGAGAAAUUGAGUUGGAUGGGAAAGGGUGGGAAAACAGAGAAAAUGUGGGGGAACCAAUGAAGUUUUCUUGAAAACUGUUAUGACUUUGUUGACCCCUUCUUGGAUUCAACUGAUUAGAACAGAGCUGAGGGUAAGGUUGCUGUGCAUGCACAGGGGGGUAAAAGCCCGUUCCAGCUCCAUGAUGCACUAUAGGAUCAUCAAAAUGUGGUGCAGGAGUACUGUCAUCAUCAUUGAGUAUGGACUCCACUAGCUUUUCGAUCAUCUCAUGAGGUGAUCUUGGACUGAACCCAUCAGCUUUAUUUGGACUUGUUUCAGGGUUAGACAUGAAAUUAUCACCCACAGCCGAAUUUCCCACCUCUGGCAACAAGAAUGAUCCAUCAAAUGCAAUUAAACUGUCCUCAUCAGGCCAGCAAAUUUCAGAGCUAGAAUUUGAUUCUCCAUCUAAGCUGUUGCAGGAAGAAUUUAACUCCAACUCCUCCUGAGAUUGGAGAUCAGGGUUGCAUCGAUCUUGCUUCGGGAUGACUGGAAUUGCUUGCUUGACAUCUUGCAAAGACAAAUUACUUAAUUGCAACUCCACGGUACCUUGCUCAUAUGCCACUCGACAAAGGUUUUUCUUGAAAUUUCCGCAAUUCUCUUGGUUAUGGAAGCUUGUUGGUCUACUUUUCUUUAGAGAUUCCAUAACUUGGCAAGUUCCUAUUGGAUAUUCCACAUCAAAGUUUGAACAUUCUUCAGACUUCAUUAGGUGAUCAGUAUCCAACGCUGAAAGAUGACAAUAUGUGUUUAUAUGGUUUCCAGACGACUGCCAUGGAUUUACUAUUUUAUCAGUAGUUAAAUCUUGCUGCCUUUGUGUAGAACAACUUUUAGUCAUCUCCGGCAAGGUGGAUGGAUGAACAGAAUUGCCUCUUACAGCUCCUUCAAUCAGACUUAGUUUCGAUGAAGCAUCUAAUUGCUCAUUGAUCAUAAGAUUGGAAAUAAACUGCAAGAUAUUUGAAUUUCUUGUUGCUGGUGUCAUCAGAAAUUCCUCUGAACGAUCCUUCGAAUCUAUGUUUUGUAUAGAAUUCCCCUUGCCCUCCUCCACUUCCCUGACUAUAUCUGCACAUGAUUUCUCUUAAUGUAAUGUUAAAUACUAAAAUUUAUACCUUCCAUUUCUUUAACAUUCUUUAAUGGUUUGUUUUUUUAUCAGCUCAAAGAAGCUGAACAGAAUUGGCUAGUCAUGUUAUAAUAGGAAAAACUAUAUAAUAACCUUGUGGUUGACAAAUUGAAGGCCUAAGAAGACAAUAAAGAAUUGAAAAGAGAUUUGACCUUUUCUCCAACUUUCCCGUUCUGUUUUCUCUUGAAUUGUUCCCUCAGAAGAUACAGAUGUGUCACCGUUAAGCAAGACAUUGCUGUCUCUAGGUGGAGGUAGUGCCUGAAAGAACAGAAUAUUAUGAAACAAAAUUUUGCAUGCCUAAGUCUACCUUCCUUUAUGAAAACCAUAUUUGUAGACAGACCUUGUAACGACAUGGAGGCCGAUACGGUUCAAUAGUCCUAUGGAGCUGAUGAUUAGCACUGUCUACAUCUAUAACCCUUGGAGAAAUUUUCUGAGGCAUGAUUUUCUGAAGUCCUGAGUCUGUGUUUCAAAGCACAAAUUUCUUAAGUUAAUUUUAUCAUAAUCCACAACAUGCAAUGAUGAUCCACACAAUACACAUUAAUGACAAGAAGAUUAUCAAGCAACAGAUUUUUCAAUAGAAUUUGAAAAUCAAACAUUACACACCUGAAACACAAGUAGGCACAGAUAGAAUUCCAGGUGAAUCUUGAAACACACUGUUCAAGAAACAGGCACAAAUUAAACAACCUACACAAAACAGCAGAACAAUACGCAUGGAAUCUUAUAAAAUAACAAUGUAGUAGAGUUUUCCUAACCAUGAAAUUGAGAGCUGAACCUCCUUCGGUAAUUUCACCGCAUUAGGACAAUCUGCUUUUGAUAAAGAGAGAAGAAACUCUCUCGAGUACGAAAUUUUCGAUCGCCUGAAAAUACCAAAUCAAAAGGUUCUUGAAUCACAAAUUCACAAUCACAUUGAAACAGAACAUCACAUGAAGCCAAAUUCAUCACAUUUGGCAACAGAGUGAAUCCUCACCAAGCUAAAGCCUCAACUCAUGUAAAAAUCAUCAAAAAUUCAAGUAUUCAACAGCGUUCAAACAAUUUUCAAAUCAUAAUUAGGGGGAAAACGUUACACGAUAGUGUAGUUGACUAAACAAAGAUUCACCGUAACAAGAAAUUACUACAGUGAAUCUUCACCAAGCUAAAGCCUCAAUUCCAAUAUUCUACUGCAUUCAAACGAUUUUCACAUCUAAUUGACUAGUUUCUCAGCCGCCAAACAGAAACAAAGAUUCACCGUAACAAGAAUCAAACAAUAAGAAACUACACUAGUUCAUGAAACCGCACUAGCCUAAAACAUGCAUUAACAGUAACAAUCAAACUCAAAAUUCAAUGAAUCAAAGCUUACUUGUUAGAAUCUUGAGACGGUGGAGCAAAGACAUUCGCGGUUCCAUUUUCCUGGCUCAUUUUCUCGAGAAAAUCCUCCGUCAAAUUUAGCGUUGACUACUCACAGUGUUUGAAUUUCUCCAAGAAACACCAGAACAGAACACAUGAACCGAACCUUACAACAAUGCUGCUAGAAGAAUCGAGAAGAAACUCGAAAACCUAGAAGAUCAAAUGCAAGAAAAUUACUCAGGAAACAGAGAGAAAUAGCAACGAAAAUAGCGACGAUGAGAAGAAGAAGUGAAGAACAGCACCUUGAGGGGUUCGAUACGGUGGCGGUGACGGUGGUGGAGUAGAGGUAAUAUCCAGAGGGAGAAACAUUUUCCGAGCGAGAAGUUUUCUCGGGAAACAGAGAGAAAAUGGGAGAGAAAAUGGAAAAGGCUUGCAGAGGAAGUUACAGAGAAAGUGAGAGACUGUGAGUGUUUCUAUUUGUAGAAUUUUGAUGGCAACGCGACGCAUUUAUUUACUCUCAGCUAGCAUAGCACACUGACACUAGUUGCUACAGGCUCACGUAUUUAGCAUGGCACAGAUUAAAAUAUUAAAUAUUUUUAUUUCUAUUUUUGUGUUUAGUUUGAUACUCUGAUUCAGCUUUUUAAUAAAGUGUGAUAUUCUCAUACCAUUGCCUAGUUAAACUAUUUUUGAAUAGUGUUGAUAUGGAUUUUUAGCUAUUUGUUUUUUUAGCCCUCUCAAAAUUUGUUUAUUUAAGUAAAGUACAUUUUAUGCUAAAAGACAUGUAAUGAUACCGAUUUAGAUUUGGUAAUAGUUUUUUGUGUUUCAUUUCAACAAGUUCAGCUACUUAAUGUAUGAUUUUGGAGGAAAAGUUUUGUUUACACUAAUGUGGAAAUAGAGGGGAGAGAAAGGAAAAAAGAGAGAAAUUUAUUCAUUUUUUGUUACGGGAAAUUGGGAGAGUAAAAGAGGGUAAGAAAAAACAGUGACUCUUUUUCAGUGGUCUGUCUAAUUUGAAGAUAAAGUCUAUAUUUUGUUUUUUUUUUUACGGUCAGAUAAAGUUAAUUUGAAGAUAAAGUGAGACCGUGUGUGAUUUUUGUCUACUUGCUUACUUUUGUUAGGGGAGGGUAAGAUCCGGAAGAAAAAAAGCUUCACAUUUUUUGCAAUUCAUACUUCAACUACACUUGCAUAAGAUAGAGAAAGAAAAAAAAUAUGACAAAUGGUGUGAUAUGAAAAAGAAAAGAUAUAUAUAUAUAUAUAUCAAGAAAAAUAAAUAAAAAUGAGACGAAACUGAAAAAAAUAAAUUAAUGAAUCAAAAUCUAAUUGUGAUCACCCUAAUUUGAAGAUAAAAGUGUAUGUAUUCUUUUUAUCCAUUUUCUUAUUUUAUCACUUAAUUAAUGUCAUGCUGAUAAACAUUAUAUGAAGAAUGGUAGCAAAACUUUUUUUCUAACACUCUUUUCAACAUUCUUUUUACUUAAUCGGUUGAAAUUCAUGGGAGUCACAUUAAAUUGGCUAAGAGACUUAUUUUUAGAGUGACUGGAUUUAACUAAAUUAAAACAUUACCAUAACUAGAGGGUUUGCGGAGUAAGACGCUUGGGCUGUGUGACAUGGGAUGUCCAUAGCACUUGGUUUAUUGGUGUUUUCGUGAGUUUUGGGCUUGAAAAUGCUUAUGGGCUGAGCUUUUGGCAGUGGAAGUAGGAUUGCAUCAUGCAUGGAAGCUUGGUUACAAAGAUAUUUAUCAUGUAUGAGACUGCAUUGAUGUUGUGUGAAAAUCCUUCCUAACAGAAAUGAUAAUUCAAACAUAUUGGGUGAGGGAAAGCAUCACUAAAAUUAGAUUCAUGCUUUCUUUGGCUCGGAAUGUGGAGGUUGAUUAUAUCCCAUGUGAGAAAAAUAAUAUUGUAGGUUUUCUAGCCCAUCGAGCUUUUAGGAAGAAGGGUACUCCUCUUUUAAUUUGGCAGAGCCCAUCUUUUAAUGUUAUUUGUGUAUGUGCGCUCUAGUGUACUUUAUUUUUGUUGUAGUUUCCCUCUUGUAAGAAAAAUAAUAAACAAUCAAAUUCAGUAAUAAGAGAUUUUAAGAAAAAACCAUAAUUAACACUGCUACUUUCAUCAUAAAACCACAUGUUAAAUCUACUAUUAGUUUAUCAUGUCCCGUCGAGUUUGGUGGUGAAACUAGUGACAAAAGGAUUUCUUACUUCUUUGCAGCCUUCUGAUUUUGAGCUGGUUGAAGUGGAACAAAAGUUCAUUCUCAAAUUGUCUUUGUUUGUUUAUUCUGUUAGAUAUGAAAAGUUCAACGAAUCUGGUUUGUUUGGGUCUUCUUUGUACAAUGAGCACUAACUGAUAACUACACACGCUUUAUAUCAUGGUUUGGUUCUGAAAAUGAACAUCAAUAAAAUAAAUUGAAAAGGAGAGGGAAUUUGGAUGGAAGACAUACACAGAUCAGCUUCAUUGAUGUUUGUUCUAGUAGUACAAAAUCAGCUUAGGCUCAUCAUAACACAUUUUGACAACACAAAACUAUAAACCAAAGACCAAGAAAGAAUAUAACACACUAAACUUUGUAGACAGACUUUCAGACACAAUGCAUCUGCCACCAUACUUACAUGAUAUAUGAUAUAUCCUUAGUCAACUUCCUCCAUCUUACUCUCCUCAGCACCAUCCUCCUCCAGUGGAGGCAUAUCUUCAUCUCCACCAGUCUCCUCCUCAUCAAUGCUAAGACCAAGCUUCAACAUCCUGUGAAUUCUAGCAGCAAAUGUGUUUGGAUCAUCAAGGCUGAAACCAGAAGUCAAGAGUGCAGUCUCAAAGAGAAGCAACACCAAAUCCUUCACUGAUUUAUCAUUUUUAUCAGCUUCAGCCCUCUUCCUCAGCUCCUCCAUGAUCCCAUUAUCCGGGUUAAUCUCCAUGGUCUUCUUGCUCGACAUGUAGCUGCUCAUGCUGCUAUCCCUCAACGCCUGAGCCUUCAUGAUCCUCUCCAUGUUCGCAGUCCAUCCGUAUUCCCCUGUCACCAAACAGCAGGGUGAAUCCACAAUCCUGUCAGAGACAACCACUUUCUCAACUCUGUCUCCCAAGAUGUCCUUCAUUGUCCUGCAAAGAUCCUCAAAUGACUUCUUCUUUUCCUCUUUCUUCUUCUUCUCUUCCUCGCUUUCAUCAUCCAAUUUCAAUCCCUCCUUAGUAGCAGAAACCAACUUCUUCCCAUCAUACUCUUUCAAUUGCCCAACAGCAUACUCAUCAAUUGCAUCCACCAUGAACAGCACCUCAUACCCCUUCUUUUUCAGCCUCUCCAAGAAUGGUGAAUUCUCCACAGCCUUCUUGCUCUCUCCUGUGAUAUAGUAAAUGUCCUUCUGCCCCUCCUUCAUUCUGGUAACAUAGUCCUUGAGACUAGUCAACUCAUCUCCACUCUUUGUAGAAUAGUAUCUCAGCAAAUCAGCCAAUUUAGCCCUGUUCUGACUAUCUUCAUGGAUACCCAGCUUCAAGUUCUUGGAGAAAGCAUCAUAGAAUUUGUUGUAAUCCUCUUUAUUCUCCGCGAUCUCGUUGAACAUCUCAAUGCAUUUCUUCACAAGAUUCUUCCUGAUCACCUUCAAGAUCUUGUUCUGCUGCAGCAUCUCCCUGGAAAUGUUGAGUGGCAAGUCAUCAGAGUCAACCACACCCUUGACAAACCCAAGAUACUCAGGAAUCAGCUCCUCACAAUUGUCCAUGAUGAACACCCUCCUCACAUAAAGCUUGAUGUUGUUCAUCUUCUUUCUUGUGUCAAACAGAUCAAAAGGUGCCCUUUUGGGAACAAAUAGAAUGGCCUUGAACUCAAGCUGACCCUCCACUGAGAAAUGCUUGACAGCCAAGUGGUCUUCCCAGUCAUUGGUGAGGCUCUUGUAGAAGGAAGCAUACUCAUCCUUGGUAAUCUCCUCUGGCUUUCGCAGCCAGAUUGGUUUCUGCUUGUUGAUGAGUUCCCACUCAUGAGAAACCUCCUUAAUCUUCUUCUUCUUAGAAUCCUUCUCCUUCUCUUCAUCAACAUCCUCAACUUCUCCUUCCUUCUCCUUCUUGGACUCAUCAUCCUCCUCAUCAUCACUGAUCUCCUUCUCAGUUGUCUUCUCAGUCCAGAGGUAAAUUGGAUAGCUAAUGAAUUCAGAGUGCUUCUUCACAAGAUCCUUAAUCCUUCUCUCCUCCAAAUACUCCAACUGUUGCACAAACAAGACUCAACCAAUUAACAAUUUGACUAAAACAAACACCCAAAAGAAAAAGAAAAAACAAUCGUAGUUAAAACUUCAAUUUCUUUACCUGAUCCUCCUUGAGGAACAAGGUAAUCUUAGUUCCUCUUCCUAAUUGUUCACCAUUCACAUCCCUGAUCACAGUGAAGGAUCCACCAGCCUGUGAUUCCCAAAUGUACUGUUCAUCGUCAUUGUGCUUGGUGGUCACAAUGACCUUCUCAGCAACAAGGUAAGCAGAGUAGAAACCAACGCCCAAUUUGCCCAUCAUGCUAACAUCAGCCCCCGCCUGUAACGCUUCCAUGAAUUCCUUCGUCCCAGACCUCGCAAUGGUUCCCAAAUUGUUCACCAAAUCUGAAACCAAACCACACCACAUAAACACACACAAUAAGAAGCAUAGCACAGCACAUUUAAUCAAAUUCUCACAAUAAAACCAUUGUUUCAAAUUGCGGCCGCAACAUAAUAUAUUUCAGGGUCACACCCAGUUGCGGCCGCAUCAACCUGCAUUUGUCUACAAUUCCGCGACAACUGCAACCGCGAUCGCAACCUCAAUUUAAAUAAAACGGAUAAAGAGGUACAUUACAACUACGUACCUGCUUUGGUCAUGCCAACGCCACUGUCAAUGAUGGAGAGAGUCUUGUUAGCCUUGUCAGGAACGAGUCUAAUGAAAAGCUCUGGUUGAGCAUCAAGCUUCGUCUUAUCGGUGAGUCUCUCAAAUCGAAUUUUAUCCAGAGCCUAAAUGUAACAAACACACAAAUCAAAUUGAGUGAUUAACGAAACGAAGGAAAGUAAAAUGUUAAUGGUGGUGGUGGAAGGAGGAGAGGCUUACGUCGGAGGCAUUACUGAUGAGUUCACGGAGGAAAAUCUCCUUGUUGCUGUAGAAGGUGUUGAUGAUGAGGCUGAGGAGUUGGUUGAUCUCAGCCUGGAAUGCGAAGGUCUCGGCGUCACGCAUUUGAACAUCUGCCAUUACGAAAUUAAUGUGGGAAUCUAACUCCGCACUUGGAACACCAAAAUAUGUGAGCUUAGAAAGCUAGCGAUGUUAUUUGUUGAGAGAAGGGAGAUGAAGAAGGGGAUUUAAAUAGCAUUAAGCAGAAGCGAAUGUUAAUGAAAUAGAGAGCUCUGGAUUCUUCUACCAUGCUCUUGAAUUUUCAUCUUUGGCGCGAGUUUGACGUUUGUUCUAGAGUGGGCUAGUUACAUCGUUUUUAGUUUUUGGUCAGUACAAUUAAAAUUAAUCUAUUUUAUUUUUAUUUCUUAAUUUCACUUUUAUUCCUAAAAACACGUUGUUUUAAAAUAAAACAUUAUUUUUGUUUAUAAAUUAUUUUUAUGUGUAUAGGAAGUUAGGAACAAUAAAUAAAUAAAUAUAUUCACAAAAUUUGAAAGAUAAAAUAGAAAAAUAAUUUUAGUGUCAAUAAGUUAUAUUUCGCAUUGUCUAUGUAGUUAUUAUGAAGAGAAUUCAAGAAUCAAGGCUCAAAGUGGGGGAGAACUGUGUGAUGUUUGAUUUUUUUUUUCUUUCUUUUAAAAUCUAUCUUCCGAGCAAAAAUAUUGCAUAUUUCUCUUUUGGGUUGGGCCUACACUACCAAGAGACCACAAGUUGAUAAUGGAUUUUUCUACAAUGUCAUACUUAUUCAUAUAGUAGGGAAUUGAUUUUAUUCGAUGCAAAACUUAUCCAUUAGAGGGAGGGAAGGUAAUACUGCAUUCAAUGAGAAGCAAAGUCUUUUGUGUUGACUCCCCCUGACAUACUCCAUGAAUCCAUGAUGUUCAAAAAAUGUUCAAUUAGGGUUUAUUAAUUUUAGAUAGAAACUUUGAAAAAUAGUCAAAUUAGUCUGAAUUUAUAAGCGAGUUUGAUUUUAGUCCCACGAACAAAAUAUGAUGUAUAGUGACGGUCAUUUUUAUAAUUACUGACGGCUCUUGACCACCACUAAACAUCAUCUUUGCAAUGAUUGACUAAAAUCAAACUCACUUACAAAAGGUUUAAUUUGACAUUAACCCUUUUUAAAACAUAAUUACAUAUUUUUUUACGAAACCGACAUUUUAUUAGGUAUGAAAGCGAGGAAGGGAUUAUAGUUGUAUGAUAAACAAAUAUUCAAUACUUCAGUUAAAUCUAAAGACCAUAAUGAACAAAUUUCUUAUGACUUAAUAAUAUCUACUUGUACUUUAAAUAAAUUUUGAACUAAUAUUGCAGAGUUCUCAAUAAAGAGAAACUCUUUCAAAAAUAGGCGUAUGCCGUUUGAAGAGCCAUGCACACGGUAUUCUUUAGUAAAAGGCGAAAGAAUAGUUCGCUUUGUGCAUAACUCACGGCUGCGUGUUUAAAACAAUUAAAACUCGUUCAAUUUAUAGGACAAGCAGCUUACAACUACUUAUAAACAACCGAUGUGGGCUUUGGUCAGUAGCAUAGCACAUAACUCAGCAGCUUUGGCUUUCCCCAAUUCUCGAGUCUUGCUACCCUCCUCUCAUCCACUCAAUGCUCACUCUCUCUUUUUCAUGAAGCUUCCUCCCAUAGAGAAAGACCAAAACCUCUGCCUGGUUUACAGGUUCCAUAUCAAUGAUUUAGAGUUUACAAGCUGUUGUUGCCAAAUGAUUUCACCCUUCUUUAAGGACUGGUGGAAUUCAUUUUUAACGAUUACUACAUUAAAAGGUCACUUAUUUUUAUUGUUGUGUGUACCUGAGAAUUAGCUAGAUUUACCUGUUAGAAUUCAAAAUCACUAGUACUUCCUACAUUUCAUUAAAAAUCAAUAUGAACAAGCAUUGCCACAAAUUGACAUUAUACACAGUUAAUAACUUGACAUAUUGAAAAUUGCAACAAAUUGACAUUACACGGUUUUUGAACUUGAGUUUGUAAAUGCUGAGAAAUGAGAAUGGAUUUUCUUUGACGUGAGACUUUAGAGGGAAUGGAAUUUACAGUUGCCAAAUAAUCCUCCUUUUGUUGCCAUGAUAUUUUGCUGGAAUUGUAGAACUAUAGUAUUGGAUUUGGUAGGUUGAUUGAAGAACCUUGCUAAAGUUCACAAUGCUUAUAUUGGUGGAAAAUCAUGCCAGGAGAGUUUCAAGCAAAUUGAGACAUGAUAGCUUUGAAAUUGUAGAUUCCCAGGGGCAAGCUGGAGGUAUUUGCUGAAUUCUUUUGUUUGGAAUGCUGUUAGAGCUGCCUCUUCUCAGCUUCUUGACAUCUAAUUGCUGUGUAUGGGAAUCCUAACUUUGUUACUAGAAGAGUUGUGGGCCUCACUUGGAGCUGUUGCAUAAUGAGAUGAAUGGUCGUUCACUUGGUUACUAGAAGAUUUCAAUGAUACAUUACAUGGUUUUGAGUGAACUUUUAGUACCGACCCUGCUCAGAGAAUGAGAGUGUAGAGACUGAAUGUCAUUGAUAAUUGCUUAGCUCUUGAUCAUAGUCCUUAGUUGCUAGCUUCUUUUAAAACAACUGGGAAGUAGCUGGCCAUUACCCUUUGAAGAUGAUAGAAUGCGAGGUGACAUGAUUUUGUGAGGCAGGCUUAAAUUAUUUGGACCAAAAAUAUAAAAAUUGAACUGAUUUGGUGGGGUGUGCCAGGCCCUUGCAGCAGUGUAAGGCAUGGGCGACACUCGAAGGCCCAAGUAGCAAGCUACUUCAGUGGGCCCUUCCCCUUAAAAAAUUAAUUUAAUAUCGUGUGGACAUAUGGGCUCUUCACUUGUCACGCUAUUUAUAACUUGUAAUCAAGGGCUCUUCACUGAUGAGUUUCGAUGUGGGACUCAUAUAUGAACACUCAGCACUGCAGUUACUGACUAUCUAUCGAAGAAGGGCUCUUCGCUGAUGUUUUUUCUUAGAGUUUCAAUUCUGCUGCAGUCACUGUAGAUGUUGGUUGGUCCAGACCUGAUAAAUCAAGCUUUGGAUGGCUGGCACGGUCUCAUGAUGGCAAACUGAUGUGUGUUGCAUCUCCUUUGGAAGAUUGAAGAUUGGAACACAUUGUAGCUGAGGCUUUAGCCCUCAGAUGGUGUGUAUGUUCAUGGCUCAAGAGUUUAAUUUGGACAUUGCUCAACUCUCAUUGAGCUUCUAGUGUUGGACUGCAAGAAGUUAGCUGAAUCUUUUGUCAUAGUUACAUUCUCAUGUUUGAAGGAAAGCAAAUUGCCCCGCCCAUGUAUUUUCUUCUUUAGCUUUUGAUUUUGAACAUCCUAGGGGCUUUUGGUGGGAUGAUCCCCUUAAAGUUUUGAUUUAAGCCUUUGCCGAAAAAAGAACAAUGUCUUACAACGCUUCAGAUCACUUCGCUAAUUGUUGCUGGCACAGCAUAAAUAAGUUCUGCCAAAACAUCAAACAAAUAAUGUCUUUAUUUUAGUAGAUACUGAGAGACUGAGAGAUUGAUGAGGUUUAAACCAGUCUCGCACAAUACAAGCAUAGCUAAUCAGUUUGCCUUGUGUUAAUCUAUAGUGCUUAACACAAUAGGCUCGGUAGAGAGACUGUACCUGUACCCUCUAGCUACAUCUACUUGUAUAAUUGUAUUGGUUUUAGUCAUUUCUAAUGGGGUCUAGACCUCUCGUGGUGCCACCAGAAAAUGAGUAUGUUGUCACAGUCUUUUCAAAUCCAUCUGAAUUAAUAUUAUGGAAGUUUUAAAAAUGCUUGAUACUUCCCCUCGCUUAUGGUUGUAGUCCUUUUAGAUAUCAGUAUUACUAUUACUAUCUCAAACUACAGGACAAAACACAAAAGCUUUGCUUCUUGGGGGAAAAAUCAACAACAGAGGUUAGUAGGCAUGUUAGAUUAAUCUAGGGUAUAAACCCCAUGCUUAGUUGUAUUGCAUUACUUAGGGUAUAAACCCCAUUGUUCUAAUAUUGCAUAAUUGUUUUUGGCUUAGAUAUCUACAAAUCAACUACUGCUUUUUACCGAUUAUGAAUGAAAUAAAUAUUAAACUAAUAAAGCAUAAUUAUUUACCCUCCUACUUCAUCUACCUCAAGAUCUCAUUUCUUGAUUAGUAAGGUUGGUGAUUUCUAUCGCUGUCACGCUGUUUCGGUGAAAAUUGGGUAGAUUUACAUGUUUAAACUUUAAACUAUAACCACUUUAACGCAUUUCAAUAAAAUUACUUUAUAGAGUAUGGACAAGCUUUGCAACACAUUGACAUUAUGAAAAUGACUUCACUUUCUCCCUUUUUUUCCUUGCUACACUCUCUAAACCCUUUGCUAUUAAAAAGAAUAGACAAUACUGCAAAUUCCAAUUACUACCAUUUGAUUUCUUUUUCUUAAAACCUCUAUAUGGAUGGAAAUAGUUUUGCUACUUCACAAGGCUUAGUGAGUUAGAUUAUUUGUAACUCUAGUAAAUAUCAGUGCAAUUUCUUUCAAGUUGCUUUUCCACCUUUACUCAUUCUGAUAGGCAGAUUAGAAAUGCAACUUCCAAUGUGAGAGACUCAAGUCUAAUACCUUGCUAUUGGACCUUAGCAUAUGGCAUUUCAAAUUAAAUUCCACACAAGUCCCAUUCACUUGUUACUGCAAUCAUCAGCAGAGACAAUGUUGCAAUCUUCAAUUCUAGUGUUUGUACAUGAAUCUAUUAAGAAGGAAAAACAAUGGGAAUAAUUACAUAAUGUAAUGUAUACCAGUAUAAUUAGUCCUUGUAGUUGAAGUUUUUUCAGUAUAGAUGUCAUCAUUGGGAUAAAGGAUAAAAGUUUAACAAUGUUAAUUAGUUCGUGUUGAGAAUGUUUUUAAUCGUAAUUUUCAUGAGAACGUUUUUCCCUCAGUAGCCCAGAGAUCAAAACAUCAAAGCAAACAAUAGGGAUAAGACAUGAAGAAAUUUCUUCCACCUAAACCGAAUUAGCCAAGGUUUAACUCCCAGAGAAUAAUGAUUUAUCUCACUUAUAAUAAUUUUUCUCAAAUACCAUCAUCUGUUUAGUUUUUUAAAUAUAAUUUCCUAACCUAAGCAGAGUAUGCUAUUUGAGAAAAAGCACUACAUUAUACCCUUAAACGUCAAUUUGUUACCUAACUUUUAUAAUAGGUAAUGAAGGGCUCUUUGCUGAUAACAUUCAAUGUGGGACUCAUAUAUCAAUGGAUAACGAACCUUCAACAUUGGAGUUACUGACUAUCUAACGAAGAAUUAUACUUGGCUUCACUUAAAUUUUGUGUAUCACCAAGAAGACAUCAGAAGAAACCAGUAGCCACUAGCCAUUAUCAUGAAUUGGUUAUCUGGCAUCUCUAGAAAAACUAAUGCGACAAAAUGGAGAACUGGUCAUGUAAGAAUUGUAUUGAUAAUGUUGGCAUUGCAUUGAUAAAUUCAAUGACUUCUCAAAUAAGUGCAGCAUUUAGGUUUGAGGAUAGCACACCAGUGAUUGACGUGAAAUAGAAAGUAAAAUCUAAAUUAAGAAAAUUGAAGUAGUAAAAAGAGCACAGCCAAUUAGCACAGAUUUCCUCCAGCUUUUUUCAUGCUUGGCACAGAGCUUCAUCCCAUGAAAAUUGCCCAAAACCUCUGCCUUCUUCCUGGUUUACUGGUUCUUUAUCACUGAGAAAUCAAUGAUUCAGUGUUUCCAAGCUGUUGCUGCUAAAUGAUUUCACUUGGAUCCUUCUUGAAGCACUGAUGGAAGUCAUUUUUAAUAUCAGUGUAAUUUCAUUGAAGUUUCCUUUUCCCUUUACGCAUUCCGGUAGACACAUUAGAAAUGCAGAUUCCAGUGAAAUGACCAUUAGAAAUUCCACAUGUGAAGCUAUCAGUAAUUGUAGGAAGUGCUUUGGGGUCAAAACCAGGGUGAGGAAUCAUGUGACCCUUAAGAGUCUAUCAUUAAAAAUACAUAUUUCAUGGUGUUCAAGUUCAUUCCAAGAAACAUAUUUCAUUUAAUUCAUAGUUUUCCUCUACCAGCUGCUGCUUUACUAGUCUCUUCAAGAAAUCAUUUAUUAGGUUAAUUAACUAGCACUCAAUCACAUUUACUGCCUUCAAGCAAUCAUCUGACUAGAAGAAUGAAAUAGCUUAAGCAUGUCAAUGUUUAGACUAAUAUUGCAGAGUUCUCAGUAAAGAGAACUCUUCCAAAAAGAGGCGUAUGCCGUUUAGCGAGACAUGCACACGGUAUUCUUUAGUAAAAGGCGAAAGAAUAGUUCGCUUUGUGCAUAUCUCACGGCUGCAUGCUUCGACCCAAUGAAAACUCGUUUUAUUUAUAGGACAAGCAGCUUACAACUACUUAUAAAUAACCGAUGUGGGCUUUGGUUUGUUGCAUAGAGACACAACUUAAGCAGCAGCUUUGGCUUCCCAGUUCCCAGAGUCUAGAGUCUGGUCACUCACCUCUUUCAUCAACUCAAUGCUCACUCUCUUUCAUAUUUUGUAUCCCAUAAUUCAUCUAAUUUAUCUCCACAUAUGAGAUUAAAAGAGGAAAAAUUAAGUUGUCAUUGAAGCUUUCUCCCAUAGAAAGGGACCAAACCUCUGCCUGCUGGUUACAGGUUCUAUAUCACUAACAAAUUAAUGACUCAGACUUUCCAUCUUGUUGCUGCCAAAUGACUCAAAUUUGGUCCUUCUUGAAGUACUGAUGAAACACAUAUUUCAUGGUAUUCAUGCCCUUUACACAUGUGCUCCUAUACCAGCUGCUGAUUUUAUUCUAACAGGCUGAUUGAGUAUUGAUAGCUGUGAUAUCUUUAAAGUUUUGAGUAAUAAAAUUUCAUUUUCUUCCCUCUUUUCUAAUUCUUCUACUACAUGUAAUUUGUGUCUUUCAACUAAAUUGAGUUGGUUAUCUUUAAACUUGAUUUUUGUGAUAUAUGGGGUCAUUAUGUACAUGAGAUGGCAUACUGAAAGAAGUAUUUCCUGACCGUUGUAGAUGAUUGUUGCCGUUUCAGUUGUGUUUGCUUUUGAUUUUAAGUCCAAAUUAGAGUCUCUCACACCCAAUUUGGGGUUGUGAUCAAAUAUCUUAGAUCAAACAAAUAUUGGAAAGAAACAAUAUGCACUAUUGAAUUUCGUAUUCAUAAGAACCUUGGGUUAAUUAUACCACAAAAGCUAGUAUUACUGAAGUGGAACUCAAGUAUCAUUAUCAUGCUUUGCAAUUGGAUCCUAGCGCUUAUUCAGGCGUGGACAAACAUUUAUUGAAUGUUGACAUGGUUUGUUUUGUAGUCUCCUAAUUUGAAGUAAUAUAGAGCAAGAAACCAAACUAUAGCGUUUAACCAAACUAAUUGCUUGUGCUAUAUAUGUUGCCAUUUUGCAAUCAGGGAGAAACACUAAUUGAUGACCAGAGGGUGUAUUGAUGUUGUAUCCGAUCAAACACUAAUUGGCCAUUUCAUGCCAUGUACUUGUCGAUAUAUACCUUGGCCAAACAUUACAGCUUAUGACCCUUCUUUUCUUAGCUAAAUCUUAUCUUAUGGCCCUGCUCUAAUUAGUGAUUAAAACUCCAUUGAUGUUGAUGUUAGGGAAAAAAAUCUAUAAGCGGUGUGGGACUUCCAAUAGCAUAUUCCUAAAGAGCAAGUUCUCAAAGAGGCGCACCAGUACAAUGGCUUUAACCUCAAACGCACCAAUCUUUUUCUCUGGUAGAGACCCUUUUAAUAAUAAAAUAAGUAUAUUAUUAUAUAAAGUUGUCUAAAUUAUCCCAUGAGAUUAUUUAACUUCAUCAUAGUGGACUAAUUUUUAAGACUAAAAAGUUAAAUUCUUUUAAAUUAUAUUGGUCCAUUAGAAUUUCGCUAAACUAGACAACCUCAUAUUAUAUUUUAACCAUUAGGAUUGGGUCACAGUGGCUAACUUUUACAUGAGGUACUAACACUUUCAUGGCUAGAGAUGAGUUAGAGAAGAGAGAAGAAAAAAAGUUAGGGUAGAGAGACUACUUUCAUCCUUGUUUGGUUGUAGGAGAUAGGAGAAGAGAGGUUGAAUGGGUCAAACACCUUUUUGAGUAGCUUUCCUAAAUGAAGAGAAAUUGGGAGCGAAUGAGUUCUUGUGGUUUUUCACAACUGUAACUUUAGUGACGAUGUUAAAUUGAUUGCCUGAAAAUGGGUUUUCUUUUUUAAUUUGAAAGUGGGUUUUUGAUUGUCAUAAAUUUUUAAUAUGUAUAAAUAUUUUUUCUUUCACCUCAACAUCAUUAUUUCUCUUUUAUUUUUAUCGUUAUAAAUGACAUACAAAAUUUAGUUAUUUUUCAACUUUUUCUCUCUAUUCAUUUGUUUAUCUCUUCACCCAAAUAAAUCAUAAAUAUUGUUUGAGUCUCAUUGCCGCAGUAGUAGAAGUUAAAAUGACAAAACUCAUGUAUAUUUCGUACGUGCCUAGCAUGUGUUACUAGAGUUAUCUUGCUAAUCAUCCAAAUAUUUGAGUGGCUGAGGGAGGAAGGAAACAGAAGUGGGAAUUAAACAUCAAAACUUUAUAAGAAAGUUUGGAUAAUUGGAUUAGACAUAAAAUUGAACCGACCAGCACUUGCUAGUUGCUACUACCUAAUAAUGCAAUUGCCAAUAGAUAUAUCAUAUAUAAACCCUGGGAAUUUGCACGUGUCAUAGGCAAAGCAUUUUAGUGGCACACGUGUUUUGGCGUAGGGGUAACGGUUGAGCCAAUACGUGUUGGAGACACUAACAAGUAACAACGUUUUGUUUUGUGUAAAGUGACACUAGCAACACAAUAGGUUCAAGAAAAAGGGAAUUAUGGAUGUAAUUGCUAGUUGUAAUCGUUAACAUGGGUGCUUAUGGUUGUGUUUGGGUUUGUGAGCAGACAUUCAGCGGCCUCAGUGUGCAGUGGCAGAAGAAGAAAAAAUUUGAGGGAGCUAAAAGAAGAUUGCAAUAUAUAAACUAUAAUAUUUUGUAUUAUUAAUGCACAAAUGUUCAUAAAAAAAUAGUUCACAUAAUAUGGAUGUUGAAAAUUUAUUAUAAGUUAGGUUAAUAAUCUUGAAAAUUUACUUUUUCUUUUCAAUUUUUGGUUAUGGAUAUAUAUUUUACCGUUAAAUAACUUCCUUUUAUAAGUUUGGAACUCUAUAAGUUUUAAUAUUUGUGCAAGAUAACUAAGGCUAGCUGUUAAAAAUGAAAAAAAUGUAAGAAGGACUGUGCGUGGUUCCCAACCACUGAACCAGUGUCGUGUAUUGUUUAAUUUUAUACACAUUUUGUUAUAUAUAUAUAUAUAGUAUUAACUGAAUAUUUUUUUUACCCAAAUACUUUUUUAAAAUUUUUGAGGCAUGUCAUCAAGAAGGUCCGCCACUGCGUCAGUGGGAUGUGGCUUUUUAGUUCAUCUACGUGUAAGUUAUUUUAAAUAUGUAACGUGCAUGUAACGUGUGGUACUAAUUUUAUGUUUUUAAUUUAUUAAAACAUAUCAUGAGAGAUUGAUUUUUGUAAUUGUUUUUUAAAAAAUGAUAGGGCUUGUGAUGUGGCCCUGAUUGUGAUUCGUGGUUAGGUCUGUAAGGUGUCUUUGCCCAACACACCAACACUGCAAUCCCACUCUGAUACCUGUCAUCGUACUUUGCUCCAACAUCAACCCUUGGUCAUUCUCCAAACUACGUAAAUGCCCAAAUGUUGCAUAAAAAUUAAAAUACACUACCAAAAAGCAAUGGCUUUGCUGUAAUUUAGGGAAAAUGUCAAUGGCAGAUGUCUCAAAGAACAUCCUACAGCUUUAAUUGUUCCACGAGUUCUGUUUUGUAUUGAAAUUGAAAUAAACCGACCACUAGUCGAUCACCUCAAUUGUGUGGACAAAAGAAUUCUGGUUUAUAUGCAACCCCUCUCUUUCAACUCUCCCCACAUCAACAACAACAACACUCUUUGCUUCAACUCCAACCUCAAUCCACUACUCCCCCCCCCCCCACCAACAAAAAACACCCCUUUUUCCUCCACCCCCACCCAAACCCCACUCCCCCUCUAGGGCGGCAGGCCCCCCCCCCGCCACAACCUUAAACCCCUCCAGUCUUCUCCAAACCUCAACCCUUUUCCCUAAGCUAACCCCAACAUUGUUCUUCACCCCCUUAACCUUAAGAACUUCCCAUCACAGAACAGUCCUUCAAACCCGGAGAAGAAUCAGGGGCUUCACCGUGUGUAUCCUUACAGAGGGUCCAAAACCAGGCAUACAGAUCAAAACAGAGGAAGAAGAGGAACCACCUCCCAACAUAGUGAUUCCUCAAAUCAUGUCAGCACGUGUGGCAGAUUAAUUGGCAAGGAAAAAGUCAGAGAGGUUUCCUUCCCUUGUUGCAGCUGUUAUGUCUAGCCUUGGUGUCACUUCUAUGGCUAUCUUGGCAGUUUACUAUAGAUUCUCAUGGCAAAUGGAGGUAGCUACAAAAAAUCCUCUAAAUUUAUGCUCAUUUUCUUUAUGUAUCUAAGUAUUAUGACAUUAAUUUGUGUAUGAAUGUUGGAUUGGAUUGGUGUAUAGGGUGGACAAAUUCCUAUGUCUGAAAUGUUUGGCACAUUUGCCUUAUCAGUGGGAGCUGCAGUAAGUCCUGACCCUUUUCUCAAUUCAGCAUUGUGAAGCUCUUGAAUGUGAAAUUUGGUAACUUUGGGUGCUAAAUCCAACUGGGUAUGUCUGAUUUUCAGGUGGGCAUGGAGUUUUGGGCUAGAUGGGCUCACAAAGCUCUCUGGCAUGCUUCCUUGUGGCACAUGCAUGAAGUAUGCUUCCAAUUCAUCAAUUUCCCUUUUCUUCAAAAUUGAACCUUAUCAUCAAAUCAACCAAUUCAUUCAAUCAAAACAUGAAUUUGAAUCGUUUUGCAGUCACACCAUCGACCAAGAGAAGGACCGUUCGAGCUGAACGAUGUUUUUGCUAUAAUCAACGCUGUUCCUGCCAUUGCUCUUCUCUCCUAUGGUUUUUUUCACAAGGGAUUGGUUCCUGGACUCUGUUUUGGUGCUGUAAGUGUAUCUUUCAUAAUCUACUUUUUAAUCAAUUAAUCCCUUAAUUAACGGUUUCAUAGGGAUCUGUUAAUUGUAAUUAAGGAUUAAGAAUGAUAAUGAUUUGACUGUAAUGCCCCUGGUGAUUCUCUUUAUUGACAUCAUUAACUUCGAGCAGGGUCUAGGAAUCACAGUGUUUGGGAUCGCCUAUAUGUUUGUCCAUGAUGGAUUGGUCCAUAAGAGAUUCCCUGUGGGUCCCAUUGCCAACGUGCCCUACUUCAGAAGAGUUGCUUCUGCUCAUCAAGUAAUUGUUAUUUUAACCUUAAUCAAUUGCUUAAAUAAUAGUUUACUUUUGAUUAGUACUUGAUCAAUGUGGCGUGUACGUGUUUGUUUCUGUUUCUACUGGACUAGGAUUUGAUCUGAGAUUACUUUGAUUUUGUUGUCUGUUUUCAGCUACACCAUUCGGACAAAUUCAACGGGGUGCCAUAUGGGCUGUUUUUGGGACCAAUGGUGAGUCAUCACAUUCAUAUUUCUUCUCCUUAGGUUUGGUUUCAUUAAAAUAACCCUUUUAGAUGCUAAGUUAAUAUUUUAUUAUUGGUUAAGUGUUCAUGAAAAAACCUAGAUACAAAGUCAGUAGGUAGUCGCUAAGCAUUAGAAUUCUCAGCAAAUGAACACACUUCAUUAAGUAUGGAGGACCCUCUAUAUAGUCGAGGUCUCCCUAGAUUACAAAUGUAGAAAAUCAAACCAUUACAAAAUAAGAGGGAGAGAAUCAAGUGAUUAUAUUAAUAUGAAAAACAUAAUAAAGUGAGCUAAGAUUCUAGCGCAGUAUGAGUGACUUAGUCGGCCUAAUACCCUAGUAAGCCACAACCCUCCAAGACUUGGAGUCAAGCAAGUGUUGGCGACAAAGCCUUACAAUCCGGCCCAGAAGUGGUUUCAUCUUAGACCGCAUUUGGGUUAUGUUGUCAGCCUACGUAGUCCUAACUGUCUACUUCACUUGGUAUUUGUAAAUUUAAAAGAUUUUACUAGUAGUGGAAUGAAAUAGGACCUUAUAAUUUAUGAAAGUUUUUUGACAUAUUUUUUAUAAUUUAACAAAAUUUAAUUAUUAUUCUAAGAAUUCUAUUGACAUUUUUUAACUAUAUGUCGUAUUUAUUUAAAAAAACCAAUGAAGUUGUUUUUUGAAACUAAACCAAUAAAGUUAGAAGAAUUAAAAAAGAAUACUAACUUUCACUUUAUUGAAGUUUCUUCUGCAUAUAGUUUUGUUGAAAGUAGGUUGUCACAUUUAAAUUUCAUUGAAUUAUUGUGAGAUAAGAUGAGCGUGUGUGUGUUAGAUCUAAAUUUUUUAAUAAGCGUUGUUUAAGGUUUGGAUAUUUCUUGUGGUGCAGGAACUUGAAGAAGUAGGAGGGCUAGAAGAGCUAGAGAAGGAAAUAAGUAGGAGAAAAAAAUCAUAUACUGGUUCAUGAGAAACUGACUAGCAUUAAAUUUAAAGGUGUCUGAAAGAAUGUGUGUAGAGAACUAUACAACAAAUGAAUGAAAUGAUUUGAUUCUUUUUUGCGCUUACACAGUUUUUGAUCUUAAUUAUAUAGGGAUAUUUAGCUAACAGAACAACAGGUUCAAAACUAUGUAGAUCAACCGAUAUUGGUGGUGAUCUUUCAUUCUUCAUUUUUAUUUUUCCUUCGUACAAACAUGCUCACUCAUGUGGAUACAUUAAUGCCAUAUAAAGUCCCUAAACCCUCAGAAUUCAACCAAGAAUCCAAGUGACUUUUUAGUGGAGAUUUGUUUUUAAUCAGCGUUUUAUUCUUUAUGAAAAGUGAAAACAAUUAGGGAUGAGAACCGUCAGUUUCGGGCUCGUUUAGCCCAGCCCAAUCCGACCAAAACUGACAUGGGCACUGUGCACCCAUAUUCGGCCCAAAUAUUGGGAUCAAUUUGUUCAGGUGAGAUGGCCAUCAUAUGGGUUAGCACGGAUUGGGGCACCCAAAAUUUUUAGUCUUCAUAAUUUAUGAGUUUUGAUUAUAAAAAAUCUGUAAUUUUCAAUUGACUAUUAUCUUGGGCCACAUUAGCUGGUAUUUAAUAUUUUGCUUCAAUUUAGUUUCAAGUAAAAAAACUUGACAAUAUGUACUUAAAAUAAUGGGCUAACAUUUUGUAAAAAGCUCAAUUUCAUAGAAGGAAAACAUAUGCUGAAAUCCAACAUGCAAUAUACAAUUUAAAAGAAUAAGCAUCCACAUGUAUAUUUUCAUAUUUAAACCUUUCUCUAGUUAUUUUGAGUUUAUCAUGCUCUUCCAUUUUGAUAACAUUUGUAUUAAUUUCAUAAACAAGAAGUUCCAACAACAAUUCAAUCCAACAAACUAAGAAGAAAUUCCAUACUUUGCCUUUUAUUUCUAAUUGUCUAUGUUUACUUGGGUAUCUUGAAACUAACUAAUGUUCAGAAAAAGCAUUUAUAAAAAUGGAUAGGUUGAAGUAGCAUAUUUUCAGUGAUACAGUAGUAUUGAACACUCGAUACACCCCCUUCACAAAUAAAUAUUCUUUUUUUUAUUAAUGGUCUACUUAAUCUCCAAAGCGUAAGAGUGGUAAGGAAUCGCUCAAGCGGGCUAGCCCAUAGAGUGAUUACAGCUAAUUAAGAAGUAAGUCCCUAAAGGCAGUAUCGAUGCCAGCAGGUUCUAAGGGUGGAAGUAGGCUAGAUGACUCGUUACGAGCCCGCAACCUAACCCAUCAAAUAUCUGGUAUGAGCUGACCCAUGUAUUAAAAAAAGUUAGGCUUAAACUUUCUAAAAAGCUAGAUUAACUUAAAAGACUAAGCUCAAACUAUAAAAAAGUAUGUUUGACCUAAUAGACCAGCUUGCUAACGUAAUAUUAUCUGUAUUAAUAACAUAACAUAAAUAAAUAAAUGAAAAUGUGAUGAUACGUAGAAAGAUCAAUUAAUUCGCUAACUCACUAGUCUUUUUAACAUUAUAUUUUAUGUUAAAUAUGUUUUUAAACAUGCUAAUAGACUAGAUCAUGUCCUCUUAAAGGCUAGGUCAAACGUUAGAAUCAGACUUAUGAUACGCCACAAGCCAACCUUGGUUCAUCUCAUUAGAAUGAGGGUGAGAUUUAGGUUACUCAAAGCUCUUAUGACUUAGGCAUAAACUUGGGAAAAGAUCCACAUUCCAUAACACACUAGAUCAAAAACAAAAUCUCAACCGUCCACCGUACCCAAAAGAUCGCCCAAAAGAUCCCCGAUCCAACGGCCAAGACAAGCCCGACGAACCUCCAUUGAGGUAGGUCCCAAUCUCGACCAAGACGGGGCCACGUGUCCGCUGGAGACCAACCAAAGCCAAGAUGUGAUCGCAGGAAAAAGAAAAGUCAGAAAUAAUUUUAUUCUAGAGCCCCCUUUUGCCAUCAUCUGACGCGUGUCCCCCCGCCAUUCGUAAUUGACAUCGUUGUUGUUGUUGUUGUUGUUUCCUUUCUUCUCUCAUCAUAUGUUAUCAACCGGUUACUUCUUCUUCUCUCUCUCUCUGUCUUUCUCUGAACAUUGAUUUUCACUUUCGUUUCCUACACAACUACGUUUCCUCUAGAUCCAACUACUUCCGUUACCACUAUUCGCUUCUCCUUUGUUUUUCCUACCUCAAUCGCACUCUGUUAGGUCCAAACCCUCUUUUCUCUCUAUGCCAUUCCCCCAGGUUUGUUUUUAUUUUAUUCUUAUGAAUUUUGCUUUCAUGGCUAAUUGGAUCUGGUUUUCAAUUAUGUGCUGGAGUGAUUGAAUUUGGUGAAUUUUGAUGUUUUUAAUUCUGGAUUCAGUAGAUCUUGUUGUUUUUUUAAUGCUGGGGGUGGUUGGGUUUCACUUCAAUUCAGUUCAUUGCUUUCUUCUCAACAAUUCGGUAGAUCUAGUCACGGUUAUAAUGAUUCUGGUUCGUUUCAGAUUCUCUUUAGUUGCAAAACAAGUAGAAUUUAAAAAACCUGCAAAUCAAGCUCAUUGAAUCUAGCCAUCUAGGUAUAAUUGGCUUGAAUUUUUUUGGGGUAUUAUGUUCAGGCAAUAAUUCAUUGAGUUUAUGGAUGAUAUAAGUUGGUGAAGGACUUCAAUUUGAUUGUUAGGUGGCUGUGAUGUUGGUAGAUGGUUGACUUUCAAUGUAUUAGUUAAGGCUUAGUUAGUACUAUCUAAGUUGUAUGUUGGUUGAAGCAGUAUUGAUACGAUGUCGACAUAGUUAUGUGUUUGUGAUAUUGAUCUAAGUCUUAAUUUGGCUUAGUUAAAUUUUUAUCAUUAUCCUUUCUCAGGUUUAUAUGGCGUUUUUCCUCAUCCGUUUAGGGAAGUGUCUGUUUUUUUUAUCAGUUUAUGUAGCUAGGAAUAAUAUAGAUUAAAACGUGCAAACUGCAUAUGUAUAAUGUAUUAAUGUGUCUUUAUGCAAGACACUUUCAUCCCUCCCUGCACUGUUCAUUCAUCUAUACACUUGACUUGAGAACUUGAUGUACUGCUUUUACAUGCUAUCAACAUGAUUUAGUCAUGCUACUGUUUUCUUUCUUUCCUUUUUAAUCACUACUACUUUUAUGAAAAUAAUAUAGAAUUUAUCACUUCUAAUAUUUUAAUCAAACCUAUUUAAUGACUGAAACUUGGAAAUUAUUGGUUAUAAUUUGGUAUGAACAUUUGAAUUUCUCCAUAUCUUCUAUUUUCAUAAUUGUGGUUAUGUAUGUAUAUAUAUAUAUGAUAUAAUAUAUUUGGUAGUUUUAAUUGAAAUUUCGUUAGUGGUGAAAUUCUUUGGUUCCUGUAAUUGUUCAUUUGCAUGUUCCAUGGUGGCUUGUCUAGUCACAUAAACUCCUCCAUGCCCCGAUUUCUUUGUCCCCCUCACCCCCAUUACCUAGCUGUAAAUAAAUCUUGUCUCUUUAUUUUUGACACUUUCAGUUUCUGAUGGUUUUGCUGUAUUUUUGCUUAUACUGCAGUUGGGAAGGGUGUACUGGAAUCAGAGUGUAGCGGCCGGGUGCAGAUUUAUUGAUAGUCUCGUCGCUUUUCAAGGAUGGGUAAGUGCAAAGGUUGCGGGAAGUUAGGAAGAAUGAGUACAAGUUAUGGAUCUAAGAGUAUUUAUGAAUUUUCUUUGAUGCUGUCUCCUGUUGUUUCUUUUUGGGACUGUAUAGUUCGCAAAAUGAGGUACUCCUACAGACCUGAGUGGGUGUAGUGGUUUCAGAACGCGUCAUUAGUACUAGCCUUGAUACUUCAACCUUCCGAUCUGUGAAAUUAUAGAUAAAUGUAUACUGCUCUGAAGAAAAUCUCUUGAAGGAGGAUAGGAGUUUAUAAAAGUAAUUUUAAGUAUUUACAUUGGUAGUAAGUUCUAUGGAUAGCAUGGCAUGUAACAAGGGGCAACAAGUGAGAAAGACGAAGAAGAAGCAGGUGAAAGAUGAGUUGGAUCGUCUGAAACAGGCUGAAAAGAAAAAGAGGCGCUUGGAGAAAGCACUAUCUACUUCUGCUGCCAUCAUCUCUGAACUGGGGAAAAAGAAACAAAAGAAGAAAGAAGAACAACAGAGACUUGAUGAAGAGGGUGCUGCAAUUGCUGAAGCUGUUGCUCUGCAUGUCCUGCUCGGUGAAGACUCGGACGAGUCGUGUAACGUUGUCAUUAAUGAAGGUGGGUGCAAUUCGUGGAAUUAUAAUCAUGGUCUUGACUUCUUCAUGGGUGGAAAAAGAGCUUGCUUUCCUCAUCUAGAUGGCGGAACAUGGUCUGUCACUGCUGAAAAUGGCAACUGGUCUUUCUCAUCUGGGCCUUUCGAAUUUGAAAAGAAUGUGCAUGAGCCACUUUACGAAGAUGCCGGAUGGGGUUGUACGGGUUUAUCUGCUGAUCUGAUAGCAGCACAAGCAGCGAGAUCGCUCCAUAUUGCAGAGGACACCGAUGAAGAUAGGAUUCUCUUCUAAUUCUAAUACUGUUUUGUCUUUGAUGGUGACUUGAUGAAGUCUCUUGUUAUUUUACUUGAGUUUGUCAUCUGUAUAUAAUUAUAUAUCAUGAGUCAUGUGCUUGUCAAACACAUUCUGCUUCAGUUGUGAUUGAACACAUCAUGUUCUGUUCUGAUUUUUCUUUAUCUGUAUGCUGUCCUGCUAAUUUUUGUGUGUAGUGACUUUCAAACUCGAGCAUAUUUAUACUUUUUUGAGCUGAUUACCAAUAAUAUGAUUGAUCACCUCGUUAUUUAUAUUCUUGCAGUGUUGGCUCAUCAAUUACAUCUCAUAAACAUGUUGUUUGCCAAUGUUAUUAAUCCAAGUUUUUUUUUUUACUUGCUCCUGUCAAAGUUUACUCCUUGCAUGGCUCUCCCUGUAUGUGUCUGGAUACAAGUUGCUCUAAAAGGACUUUAAAUCGAACAAAAUCUCCAAGUAUUAUUUAACUUUUUCUCUUGAAAUUCAUGUGAGUGUGCUUUUAAUAAGCUGAGUUUGUUGCAUUUUCUGUGGUGAUGUGCCUUUGUAGAUUGAAAGAUCUUUCUAAAGAACAAGGAACUUUACAUCAUAUGUUGGAUUCUCACUUUUGGAACAUCUUUAGUUGGUCUUUGUGCUUUAAGCUAGCACACACAAUUGAUUAGACUUUUCCUAGUAAUUCACUAAAGAUGAAUACAGAUGUACAAUGUCAUGGUGGUGCUGCCACUUUCAAUUUGAAGUCAUUAAAAGCAAAACCCAAGUGUGUGAUGCACAUGUCAAGUACUAAUGAACAAAGCACUGAGAAUGCAAGUUGGGAAGGGCGGCUGAAAAUUUAUAACAAGACCACAUAUGAUGCUGCAUAAAUUGGGGAAAUCCAUGUGAAGACAAGAGCCAUGAUGGAUGUGUUAUUAAUUUAUGUGAAUGUGAUGUUAGCAGAUUCGUUAUUGUUGACUACACUAUCUUUUUGGUAAUGGAGUUCAUUGCUUCACGUCAUUUGAUUUCAUUUGAUUUUAAUUUUGAUUUUUAAUACAUUCAUACUCACAUUUUUAUUCGCUCUAUUUUCACUCACUGACUUUAUUUUCACACAUUGACUUUAAAUAUUUUUAUCUUCUUUUUUAUAUGGCAUGAUGAAGUUUAAUGUGAAUAUCAAUGAAUAGUUGAGAGCAAUAUCGAAAUUUCACCUACAUUGUGAACUGCAAACAUGUUCUUUUGUCCAAUCACUCUUCCACCACCUCCCACCACCCGUGCCACCACCACCUUCGGCAACCCAUCCCCCCACCUUAGCCAACCACCACAAAACACCUAUCAUUCACUAUCUUUGAAUUCGAUCUCAAAUUUUAUAGAACAACAGUGCGUGUCUUUCAAAUUGGUUAAGAUUUUUUGGAAACUUUUGAUUCAAAACGUGAACAAAAAGAAGCAAAGUACAAAUAUGAUAGCGAAGGCAAUACAGAACAGAGAGUGAGUAUGCCAUCAUCGCUCAACACCAUACUUUUAUGGCGCCACAAAGUGAAAGUUGAAUUUUUUUCAUACUUUUAACUUUGUAGCGGAUUUCCACAAAAGUAAGGUGUUGAAAGUCAUCACCUUUUUUUAGUGGUUUACCUAUUGCCACUGGUAGUCGAAUAUGAUUUACACCAUAUCCUUUGCGACGGAGGUGUAUGACUUUGUCUAAUGGUGGUUGAUGGUGAAUUGGUGAUUCUGUUGGCUGACGGAGAAGAAUGGUUGGUGCUGGAGACUGAGAGACUCAAAUAAAAAGGUAACUUUCUUAAUGUAUUGUGUAUUGAAUCCGAAGCAUUAAAUAUUUUAAUAAAAUAUCGUAUGAUUGUGUAACAUACCGUAUUUUAUGUGACUCAUUUUAGACAACACAGUGUGAUAAAAGUAGAUAGCAGCUAGGUUACAUAAGAAGUGUAUUUUUGAGUGGAGACAACACGCUUCCAUUGCCCCCACUUUCUUUAGAAUUGCACGCAUCUUAUUGUUGGCUGGAUGGAUGUUAUCAACUAAAGUCGCUAAAGGUAUCCCCACCCAUUUAAUUUAUGGGGUCACACUUCGUGACAAGAAUCUGAAUUUUAAUUUUAUAAAAAUACAAAAAAUUACUAUAUGAAAUGGAAGGAGGGAAGUUAAAUAUAGUGCAUAAUUUCUGUAGUCCAUUAUUUGGAACUUGUAGGUCCAUCAAUACUGCUAAUCACAACUCACAAGCACAUUUUAACAAAAAAAGGAAUAUCACAAUUCACAGCACAUUUUAGUAGUUUCUAUGUUUAGCAAGUCUCCUGAAAGUUCUAAAAGAAAACCAUUACAUAUCCUAUAUGACAGUCACAGAUUAUCUUCAUUCUUCAGCAACACAAAGUAUUGUAAUUGAAAUUAGAACUUUCAAAAUAUCAAUUAUAUUAUACAAUCAGACCUUAAACAAACCUACAGCUGAUCACAACUUUGACUGAUUCAGCUCUAGAACGAAUGAAGAGUAUUGCACAACAUAAAAGAAUAAAGUAUACAACAAUAGAUUUAAAGCAUCCCUCCAAUGCCAAGAAACAGGAUAUUCAAACAUUUGUAAGAAACUAUCAAUGAACCAGUGCAAUAUAAGGAGCCUAUAGCAGUCUUCCAUGAGUAAAUAUUCAUGGUUUUGAUGCAAUUUCUUUAAAAGACAAAAAAACUGAUCAACAAAAAAUUUGAAGCCUAGGUAAUGUUGUAAUAACUCUUUAGCCAUGUGAUUUUUGCUUUUUCAAUACUUCUGCAAGAACUGCUUAGGCUAUGUUUGGAUACUCGCUAGCGCCAUUGUUAACUCAAUCGAUAUCCAAACACAUACUUACAUUUGCAGCAUUUACCUAUCUCUAUCUGCCAUCAUUGGUCAUUAGCUGGUAAAACACAUCACUCCUANNNNNNNNNNNNNNNNNNNNNNNNNNNNNNNNNNNNNNNNNNNGAAGGAUCUUGGAGCUGAAGUGCAUGUUCCAAAUUCCACAAGACAUCACCCAUAGUUGGCCGGUCAACACUAUAUUGAGCCAAACAUUUCUCUGCUGUUUCGCCAAAUUUCNNNNNNNNNNNNNNNNNNNNNNNNNNNNNNNNNNNGCCCAUUCUGCUAAAUUCACCUGUUCCCUGGUGAGUUGCGGAUCAACAGCAGGUCUGCCACAUAGUACCUCAAAAAGCACAACCCCAAACGAAUAAACAUCCGAUUUAUCCGUAAGCUGCUGCCUCCGGUAAUACUCGGGAUCAAGAUAACCGAAACUGCCUUUCACACCGGUACUCACAUGUGUUUCAUUAAUGCACGGCCCAGAUCUUGAAAGACCGAAGUCAGCAACCUUGGCAACAUAAUCUUCAUCGAGCAAUAUGUUGGUUGAUUUAAUGUCACGGUGGAUGAUUCCCUGAGCAAAACCAGUGUGAAGAUAGUGGAGACCUCUAGCGGCACCAAUGCAUAUCUCUAGACGCUGCUUCCAAGAAAGAGGUGGCAGUUUUGCUGAGCCAUAUAGAUGCUUUUUCAGUGGACCUUUUUCAACAUACUCAUAGACAAGUAUCAUUUCUGAAUUUUCUUCACAAAAACCGACUAGUGAAACAAGGUGGCGAUGGCGAAUUUUGGAUAAAAUUGUUAUUUCCGAGUGGAAUUCUGGAAGGCCUUGUCUGGAACCAGGCAUGCCUCUCUUGACAGCAACCUUUACAUUGUCUUUGAGCACUCCCUUGUAGACCAUACCGAACCCACCCGACCCUAUAAUCAAACUCUUAUCAAAAUUGUUUGUUGCUGAUUGUAUUUCUGCAAAAGAGAACUUCAAGCCAAAAUGUCCAUGAGAACCAUGUUCAGAUGUUCUACUAAGUGAACUCCCUCCAAACAUUCGCAGAGGUGUCCAUCCAACACUUUCCACUGACCUUUGUUUCGGUUUCUUCUUCUUGCAUUUGUAAGCAAGUAAUAAAGCAGAUACAACAAAAAAUAAGACCAAAAUUCCUCCAAUAAUUGAACCCAACACCACCCUCAACUUUUUCCUUUUGUGCACAACUUUAGUACUAUCCACAUCAUUGACCAUCUUCAUUACCUCUGCACCAUUCAAUAUGGCAUUCAUCCUUAUAGUACUGCUCAGGUCAGAAGGACCAACACUUACUUCAAUAACACCCGAAUCAUCUGAAUUUGUAACGAAAUCCACAUAGACCGGUGAUGCAAGCUCAUGAAUCGUAAGGGUUGACAAAUCAAGAUCCUUAUAUGCACUGUACCUAUUGAUAUACACAUCAAAGUAGAGCAAGUUCAGAGAAGGACUAACAAUAUCACAGAAAUGCAACCUUAUCAAAUAUGGAACACCGCCAGGAGUCACAGGAAAGUUCCAUGUUAAGUUGAAUCUUGAAGCUAAGAUUGUGUUCUCCUUGUUCAUCUGCUGAGCAGUCAUGUAAACAUAUUCAGGCGCGAUCUCUCGAGUCGCGCCUCCCUUCUGAAAAUUCGGUAUGUGAGUGCUUACUGCAGCCUUAGCUGCAUCCUUAACAACCAGAUAAUCCUCAUCAGGAAUCCAAGUCCUCCAAAGGGUAUCAUUAAAAGGAGUUAUUUUCAAGCCUCCAACAUUAAUCCUAUGAACAGUUUCUAAAACCUGAGAUGAAAGGUUUCUAUACUCCUCCACUCCAGAAGGACCAAUAAACCUUGUUCCAUAAUCUAUGAUGAAAUCUACAGGAGCAGUAAACACCUCCAAAGCAUUGACAAAACCAAAACCUGAAUUACCAACAGGUCUAAACAAAAUUUCAAGCAGGUUUGAUUCUAUCUUCAAAAUAAACUCUUUAAGCAACACAUCAUUUGGUGGCCGGAAUUCACUCAGAACAGAAACCCCAUUAACCAAGACACUAAAUUUAGCAGAUUUCAGAUCAAAACUUGAAGCUUUAAAAGGGAAAAAGUGGAAACGCACCAAGUGAGUACCGUUUCUCUUCAUGCUGAAUCUGUAUUUCUCAGUGCUUGUGAACACUCUGGCUGUGUGGUACAAAACUGGCAAAUUUGGAGGUGAGUUUUGGUUAGUGAGAGAUAUGGAAUCAUCUGCAGAGAGAAAACUGGAACCUGGGUUGGUGGAAUCACUGAUGAAGACUCUGUUGAAGAAGGAAGCAUUGGUGUGUGAUCCACAGUUAAGAAGGAAGUUGUCAGAGGGAGUGAAUGGGGCAGAGAAAGGCAUGAAAAGGAGAAGCAUUAAAAUCAAUGGUGUACGCUUUUGAGACUCCAUGUGAGAAGAGCUUUUGGAUUCUUGAAGAGUGUGAGUAUCAGGGUGAGGAAAAUCCAUGUCAUGAGAAGGAAGAAGGUGCAGAAGUGUGAACAAUUACAAAGGUGAAACAGCAAACAAGACAACAUAGACAGAGAGACAGUGACUUGACUCAGAGUGGAGAUUUGGAAAGGAAAAUAUAAUAAUAUUGUAGUACAAACAUAAAUGGAUUUCGUUACUGAAGUCAAAGGAUUUGCACCUCCUUUUUCAUUUUGCUUUUAGUUGGUAAAUUUGUCUUGAAACUCAUCAUUUUUGGAUGUUUCACACAAAUCUACUAAGAGAGUUUUCCCCUGCCUCGAGUUUAAUAUAGAGUGAUUUUAUUUUAUGCAUGUUUGGUUUCGAUUAUAGCAUUACUAAACAUGAAUUAUUUGUUACUUUUAUUAGAUGUCGAUCAAGUCUAGAGGUAGAUCUAUUUGGAUUUUCCUAACACACUUCAUCAUUUUUUAAGAAAAAUCACUGUCAUUAAGAUUCAUUGAGUUAUAUAAGUAUGAGAUACAAGUUUUGAUUAAUAAAGUGUUGCUUUAGUAGUAAGCAAGUUAGACGUCUUAUAAAGAUGAGAGCAUACAUUUAAAUUCGUGAAAAAUAUUCAUUACAAGAGACAUGCAAUCGUUUUUCAAAUGAAUAACGAUAUCCGUUAAAAAUAAAAAAUAAACAAAUUCUCACAAUAAUUUUAACAAAUAGUAAAAAUGGAAGUGUUAGAUAGAAAAUGUUAAUGAGCACUAUUCCUUAUAAACACACUAUCCCUCACCAAAAAAAUUGUACAGAAAACUGUUUACACACUCUUUUUUAGGCCAGCAUCUUGUGUUUACAUCCCAAAGAACUGUUUGCAUAUCAUACUUAAUUAAUGGGCAUUUGACAAAAUUUCUCAGCUUAGGUAAGAAAUCAUGCACCUUUCAAUCUCAAAAUCAUAAAUUGGCAUCCACAUAUUGUUGGGUGUACGUCUCCCUCAACCCUUAUCUUUUGAUAUAUCAGAAUAUAUCCAUGCGAAUAAGUUUUAGUGAGUUCCAGUUAAAAAUUAAGGCGUAUGCAUCUGGUGCGUGCCAGCUUCCCAAGGUAGUGCCCUGUUAAUUUAUUCUUUGGGUAUGUGACUAUGUGCUGCAUCAUUUCAUGGAAAUUAAAUAUUUAUAAUUUUGUUGCCACAUGUCACAUGGCCUAGGCCAAUAAGUCAAUAACACUCUAAACAUAAUAAUUGUCUUUCUUUCCCUUAACCUUAAGCACAGUCUAUCACUCUAUCUUGUUAGCAAAAUGACUUUCUCUAUCUAUGGCGUUUGCGUAGUCUUCUACUGCCGGCCAUUAUGAUCCACCCGUUGGUUCAGAAUCCCUUUCUCCUCCUUCUCAUAUUUGGCAGCCUCAUGUGCCACUUAGAAAAAUGUUGCAUCAUAUGGGUGAAGGUAGUAUAGGUAUUUCACUGACAUUUAAAAGUUUUUAAAAUUUUAAAUACAACACCAUUUGUAGUAUUUUUGAAUGUGUACCCUCUUAUACUUUGGGCCAUAACAUCUCAUUCAUCACUAGAUCUUCGAUAAACCAAACCUCAUUCCAACCGUAGUUGCAACAUCUACCUCAACCAUCCACAAUGAACUUAACUUCAAAAAAGAAGAGAAACUAACCCUUUUUUAUAGAAUCUUGUUCGGCCUUAAAACUCAAUCACUCUCCUCACUUAGACCUAGCUCUUGGAAUUAACAAAUACAAGAUUAGAGAAGAGGGGAUGGAGCGGUGCACAACACGCACAAGGAGAGAAAAUGUUUCAUGGAAGGACACACACUUAGUGAAUUGGAUAGAGAGAGAGAGAGCUAGAGAGGAGUCCAAAGUUGAGGAGUCGAGCACAUGGUUUCACUACAGCUACAAGAAGUGGUCUCUCCUCAACUUCGAAGACAAAGAGUCCCAACGCUUAGUUGGUGAUACUCUGCCAUGACGAUGCGGUCGAGGGGAGAGGCCACAAUCUGGAAACAAUGCGGUGAGGGAGAAUGUCAUAAUUCAUUUUCUUUUAUUUUUCACUCAAUCUAAACAACUUAAAAAUAAACACUUUUCAUUUAUAUUCUUCUCUCUUAAACAUUUUCACUUGUAUAUAUGCUAAUUUUGACAUAUGCAUCCAAACAAGGCAUUACACUGCAUUUGGUAGCAAAGAGAGAAAGAGUAAAGAAAGAGUUCAAGAGGAAAUUGUAUGAAGUGAGUUCAAGAGAGGAAAGAGUUAUAGAAGUGAUAGCAUAUAAAGCUAUAAAGCGAGUACCAUUUAAUUGCAUGACUUCCCUUAAACAUGUGAAGACAUCUAACUCUUCUAACUUUAAUUUUUUCACAAUUCCAUUUUUUUUUUAAAUAACAAUUCCAAUUUUGUUUUCUCAUCAUACAUAUUUUAGAAAUUACACGCUUUUCAAUUAUACAAGCUACCACAGUUAUGUCGAUUUUUUUGUGUCUUUGUUUUUUUCAAUUGAUUAUAAAACGAGGAAUAGAAAAUUAUUAUUAAAACUGAUAUUAAAAUAUUUAAUAUAAUGUAUGUUCUUAAUAAAUAUAAUCUUAGAAAAAUUUAUCAUGUAUAUUGAUUUAGUAAAAGAAUUUAAUGGAUAUGCACUAUUUUACACUGACAUCAAAUUGAAUUCUACCAAAUAAGUAAAUAUGUUUUUAAUUGAAUGUCAGUGUAACUCUCUCUCAUAUUUUACAUUGACGGCGCAUAUCCAUUAAACUCUUAAACAAGAUACAAAAUCUAUUUUAUUUCACGUCUUUUUUUUCUCCUCUUAUCAUCUUUCAACUCUCUUUCUCUCAUAAACCAAACACAACAUAAUGGUUUCCUUGUUACAAUAAUUCCAGACAAGCAAGCAGCUUAAUUUCAUCUUUUCCAGAAACGCAACACUCUGAAUUCUGGCAUUUUCCUACACCCUUCAUUUUUCCCAAAUUGGGUUGAUAAGUGCCAAUUUUACCUAAUUUCGAUGAGUAAUUUAGGCAUUUAUCCUUAUGAAUUCAUGAUAAAUCUUGAUCAAAUCCUACUUCUUUUGAUUAGAACUUAUUGAUAGGUGAACGUUAGGCUAAGAUGUGCUUAAGUUUGAUUUUAAUCUCAACUUGUAUUGUAGGAUUGAAGAUUCAAGGAAGAGGGCAUGUUUUGGCAAGAAAAAUGGAUUUUGAAGAUGUACUGGGCGCGACAUCGCGGCGGUUUCGGUUCUUCUCAUUCUUCUUCUCUAUUUGUAAAGCUAUCCAUGAAAAUGGAUAGUUAAUCUCUCUUUUGUUGGGAUUUGAUGUAGUUGUAUGAUACUUAUGCUCUCUAUGUGAUUCUUUUCAAUAUAAAGCAUGUUUUUAGUUGUUGAUUUAGUGAUUUUCUCUUGAUCUUCAUGCUAUAUCUUAGAUUGAUCACCUAGGGUAUUUUGUUUGAUUCGACUUGUUAGCGAAAGCUACAACGUUUCGAGUCCGAACUAGUGUUAAUCACAUAAUAAUCCUAAUUGCUAGACAUAGUGUUAGGUUUGUUAGUCACUUAAACACCUAAACUUCAUGAUAAUUAUCUUUCCUAAUCAUGUGAGACAUCAAUGUUUAGGAUUAGAUAGUUAUUGUUAUCCACUUAUGCGAGACAUCAAUGAAGUAGGUUGAACUGGUGUAGAUGAAUCAUAUUCUUAGGCUUGGUUUGUAUUUGAAUCACUAGAACGCACAAAGGUCAUUCAAUGAAAUCUAAUCCCAACAAUUCCUCAUACCUGUUGUUUCUCAAUUAGUUUAUUUUCUUUUCAUUUACUUUCAUGUUCUUAAACAAACAAUCAAACUAUUGUGCAACCAUCAUUAGAGAUUCAAACGUAGAGUGGUAAAAAAAUCAUUAACAUGGGUUACAUUCAUGUUAUUAUGUAUGAACAAAAUAACCCCUUAUGGAUUUCAACUGCUAAAUAAGAAAUUGAAUAUAAUCAGAACCAAUCCGCAAAUACAAAGUCAGAAGUGAAAAAAUUCAAGUUUUUCGUUAAAGAAGGAGAUAAUGUAGACCCACUUCCAUUCCACUAUCUGCAUAAAUGGGUUAGUGCAUUCAUUCAUUGAUGUGGAGAAUCCUAUAUAGAUGCAAUGGUUUAACACUUAACAAUGACACAACACAUAAAAUUCAACAGUCAGAAAAUAUUGAAAGAAGAUUAUAAGCAAGGAAGCACGGGUACUUAAAAAAUGAAGAAGUACUAGUACAGGGUACGUACCCGGUACAGGUACGCGAUGGGUACACAUGGGUUUGUACCCCAUAUGUACCUAAAGUGAUAUCAAACAAAAAAAAAUGGGUACUUUCUGAGUAUGUUUUUGGUAUUCUUUGGAUACUCCAUAAGUGUUUUUUAUACUCUUUUGAGUACUUUGAGUUAUAAUUUCAGUUUCAUAAUGGAAGCUUAUCUCAAUACACAUACACAUUAGUGAUAAUCUUAAAUAUCUUCAAUGUUAAAAUGUUUNNNNNNNNNNNNNNNNNNNNNNNNNNNNNNNNNNNNNNNNNNNNNNNNNNNNNNNNNNNNNNNNNNNNNNNNNNNNNNNNNNNNNNNNNNNNNNNNNNNNNNNNNNNNNNNNNNNNNNNNNNNNNNNNNNNNNNNNNNNNNNNNNNNNNNNNNNNNNNNNNNNNNNNNNNNNNNNNNNNNNNNNNNNNNNNNNNNNNNNNNNNNNNNNNNNNNNNNNNNNNNNNNNNNNNNNNNNNNNNNNNNNNNNNNNNNNNNNNNNNNNNNNNNNNNNNNNNNNNNNNNNNNNNNNNNNNNNNNNNNNNNNNNNNNNNNNNNNNNNNNNNNNNNNNNNNNNNNNNNNNNNNNNNNNNNNNNNNNNNNNNNNNNNNNNNNNNNNNNNNNNNNNNNNNNNNNNNNNNNNNNNNNNNNNNNNNNNNNNNNNNNNNNNNNNNNNNNNNNNNNNNNNNNNNNNNNNNNNNNNNNNNNNNNNNNNNNNNNNNNNNNNNNNNNNNNNNNNNNNNNNNNNNNNNNNNNNNNNNNNNNNNNNNNNNNNNNNNNNNNNNNNNNNNNNNNNNNNNNNNNNNNNNNNNNNNNNNNNNNNNNNNNNNNNNNNNNNNNNNNNNNNNNNNNNNNNNNNNNNNNNNNNNNNNNNNNNNNNNNNNNNNNNNNNNNNNNNNNNNNNNNNNNNNNNNNNNNNNNNNNNNNNNNNNNNNNNNNNNNNNNNNNNNNNNNNNNNNNNNNNNNNNNNNNNNNNNNNNNNNNNNNNNNNNNNNNNNNNNNNNNNNNNNNNNNNNNNNNNNNNNNNNNNNNNNNNNNNNNNNNNNNNNNNNNNNNNNNNNNNNNNNNNNNNNNNNNNNNNNNNNNNNNNNNNNNNNNNNNNNNNNNNNNNNNNNNNNNNNNNNNNNNNNNNNNNNNNNNNNNNNNNNNNNNNNNNNNNNNNNNNNNNNNNNNNNNNNNNNNNNNNNNNNNNNNNNNNNNNNNNNNNNNNNNNNNNNNNNNNNNNNNNNNNNNNNNNNNNNNNGAGCGUAGUAGGCAGCCAUGUCGUCAUUCGGAGCACGAUUGCAGUGGUUCGGAAGCCCUAAGAGUAUUUCAUUUCUCUCUCACAAACUCCUCCGUUUUUUUGGUGAAAAUUGUUGUGCUUUUCAUUUUCUUGACAAUAUUGGGCUGGCCCAUUAGGGAGCUGGUCUUCCUUAUCUGGGCCUGGCCCACUGGGAGUUUUGCAGUGAAAUUAAUUUAACCUACUAAGUCUAGACUAUAGAUUGACCAAAAAAAAAUUCUAGACUAUUGCAAAGGAAAAAGAAAACUGAAUGAAGAGAAAAAUUGGAAGCAAGCAAUUUAUUUUUAUCUUUCUCUUUCAUGAACUUUACAAUUUAUAGUUAGGGUUCAACCCUUGGGGUGUGUAUGUGAGUUCAAUUUUGAGGAGAAGGAAAGGGAAGAUGGAUGCUUGUGAGUAGAGGCAGGCGGAGGAACAUGAGUGGGGCCCAUCGAUGUCACAAUCCUUUCUAUCUUUUAGAUUUUUAUCUUAAUAUUAUGUAUGUAUAUUUUUCUUAUGACCUUUGUAGUCAGCUUAAUAAAAUAGAAUCAAUACUAUGUAUUUUUUUUAUGGCCCACUUCCAAACACGUACACAAGGUUGCUCAAAUAAAUUUAUAAAUUUUUGUAAUUAGAACGUUAUUAUCGUCGCAUUGAUUCUUUUUUACAGUACUCGUUAUGGUAUGUUGGAGUGUUUUUACAUGUGCCCAUAUACCAAUACGUCUAUAAAAAAAAAAGGCAAACUUAAAAAUGUUGGUUGUGUUUUAAACAGCCGCCAUGCCCCCCACAAGUAGCCAAUAAGAUGAUGCUUAGUGUCUCAUGUCUUUGUUUUAAGUUUCAAAUUGUACUCCCUAGACUUCUAAAGUUCUACAUUUUACUCCCUAAACUAUUUCCAAUUUAAUAAAAUUGAAGAAAAAUCUUUCUGCUGCUGCAUCAACCUAAAAAUCCCUUUCUCCUGAAACUACCUAGAUCUUCAUCUUCUUCCUUUCUUCAGCCGUCCCUGUGGUUUCGGCCGCCGUCGUUCAUAAACGUGCCAGCGCUGUUUCUAAUCGUAGUUCAUGGGCAUCGUUAUCUGGUUCACUUCAAGAGUACACUCUGUCGCCGCUGUAGACCCCAAUUCUUUUUUCGUCCUUCAUCGUUUGCAUAAACCAUUUGAACCUUACUCCGCCACAAGCCUUUUUUAUCUGAUAAGAAGCACUUCCGCUGCAAGCCCCUUUUGGGGUUUUAAAAUUAUUCAGAUCUCUAUGAAAUUUCUACUUUGAGAUACAUGAAUUGAUAUUCUGGGUUCAAAUUGAUAUUUUCAUUCUUGGUUUCCAUUCAAUUGGUUGUUCAACAAUUCAGUCUAGCCAAUAUUUUCUGAUAACAAUUCACACGAAACAUGUUAGGCACAUGUGGGAAUUUAUGAUCACCUCUGCUAUACAGUUUCACUCAUGGAGGAUGGGAGAGGAAGAGCACGACAUCACAGACGAAGAUGAACACAGAGGAGAGGAGGAAGGAUUAGAUUAAUAUUUGCCCCAAAUCAACUUGAAAUGUUUAAAAUCAACUAAGGUUAAAAUCAAUUUGAAAAUAAUCAGAAAGUAAACAUUUUCUAAAAAAAAUUGUAUUUUUAACACAUAGUAAAACUUAUAAUAGAGAUAUUUAGAGGAUCAAUUUAAGAACUUUAUAAGUUAAAAUGACAUGGCACAUUUCCACACUUGGCAUUCACUAAUUGAGUAUAAGAGAAACAACAUUAUAACCCCUCUCACCAACCAAGUCAUACAUUAGAAUCACAACACUUCCCAACUACAAAAUGAAUGCUGAAUAUAUAGCAAAUAAAUAAAUAGGAAAAUCAAAAACUAAACAAUGAUAUUAAAUUGUUGGUCACUUAAACAAAUGAUAAAACUGAACAUAUAGAUAGUGUAUGUUUGUAUAUAUUCAAGUUGAUCUAAGAUGAAGGUAGCGUUUGAUAGACAAGUGAGAAUGGAACAUAACAUGAAAUAUGAGUUUCAUUUUGUGUUUGUCAUGUUUGCUUUUAAGAUGGAAUGAAACAAGGCAAAAGGUUUCAGGGAUGAGACACUUUAGUUCCCUGAAAAAUGAUGGAAUGGAAACACUCUCUUAAGAUUUUUACAUGGUAAAAAAUACCUCUAAUUUAUAUUUAAAAUCUUUUGUAUCAAAAUAGUCUAAAAUCACUUCUUAAAAUAAAAAGCAAUUAUUAUAUUCAUAGAUAAAGUUAAAUCCAUUUCUGCUUUAAAAAAAUCACUUAAAUAAGGAAAUAUAUCACUGUCGUUGGUCUCGUGCCUUUUAUAUUGCUCGUGCCAUAUAGCAGAGCUGAAAAAGUAUAUGUGCGUAUACAAAUAAUUAUCUCUUUUGCCAAUACAUUUUUUUUUCCCAGAUUGAUUGUAUGUUAUCAAUGGCGGAAACGAUUGAUAACUAAUGGAGUAGAUGAAUUAUUCAUAUGACACGUCUUAUUUCUCUUCACCAACUUUUUGGGUUUUAGUAUUAUGAAUGAUAAAAUCAUCCUCAUAUUAUGGAGAUCUAAUCAUACCAUAAUAUGUAGUAUAACUUAGAAUAAGCAGUACUCGAGUUCCAUGCUUGAAAUUUUCUAAUGUCAGUUUAAUACACGUUGAAGUAAACAAAUAUUUUGAUGUUUACUUAUGUCAAAUUACAUGUGCAUGACAUGUGUAUAAUUAAUUUGAUUCCAUCUAUAAUUCUGAAAAUUAUUAUAUAUAGAACAAAUUAAAAUGUACUCAAAAUUGAGCAUCCUCGUCAUUCAAAAAAAAAAAAAAAAUUGAGCAUCCUCAACCUACCUUAGUACUCACAAAACAAUGGAGGAGCAAACUCAGUUAAAGUCUGCUUUCCUUCCAUACCCGGUAACAAGUCACAUAAUCCCCCUGGUCGACAUGGCCAGGCUCUUCGCCCUCCACGGCGUAGACGUCACCAUAAUAGCCACCGCACACACCGCCACCACCUUCCAAAAAUCUAUCAACCUCGACUCCAGCCGCGGCCGCUCCCUGGAUCCGUCACUGUCUUCCACGAUCUCCGAGUUGAUUUCAUCGUCACCGACAUGUUCCAUCCUUGGACUGUAGAGGCCGCUGCUAAAUUGGGAAUUCCCAGGAUCAUGUUUCAUGCUGGAAGCUGCAUGGCUUGCUCUGCAGGGCACUCUGUUCAACAAAACACACCUCAUUUGAAUGUUAAAUCAGACACUGAAAAAUUCACCAUACCAGACUUGCCACACGAAUUGAAGAUGACAACUUUGCAGUUACCAGGAUGGAUGAGAACUUCGAAUCAGUACACCAAGUUGAUGAAGGAGAUUGAAGAAUCAGAGAAGAAGGGUUUCACAUUGCUUUUCAACAGCUUCUACGAGCUGGAGAACGAUUACCACGAGCAUUAUAAAAGAGCUAUAGGAACCAAAUGUCUGGGAUUAGGACCCGUUUCGUUGUGGGUUAACCAUGAUGACUCUGAAAAGGCUGCAAGAGGGCAUGAAAAAACAGAGGAAAGAGGAUGGUUGAAAUGGCUUUGUUCCAAACCAGAGGGCUCUGUUUUGUAUGUUAGUUUAGGGAGUUGAACAAGUUCCCUUACUCUCAGCUAGUUGAAAUGGCGCAAGCACUUGAAGAUUCAGGGCAUUGUUUCAUCUGGGUGGUUAGGAAAAACGACGAGGGUGGAAGAGGUGAUAGCUUUCUAGAAGAGUUUGAGAAGAGAAUGAAAGAUAGCAAUCAAGGUUUUUUGAUUUGGGGUUGGGCGCCACAGCUGCUGAUUCUGGAGAAUCCGACGAUGGGAGGAUUGGUAACUCAUGCCGGAUGGAACACGGUGGUGGAAAGUGUGAAUGCAGGGUUGCCGAUGGUGACAUGGCCUCUGUUUGCAGAGCAUUUUUUCAAUGAGAAGCUAGUGGUGGAUGUGUUGGGAAUUGGGGUGCCAGUGGGAGCGAAGGAAUGGAGAAACUGGAACGAGUUCGGGGAUGAGCUUGUGACAAGGGAUGAGAUCGGGAGGGCAAUUGCUUUGUUGAUGGAUGAUGGAGAGAAAAGUGCAGAAAUGAGGAACAGAGCAAGAGCGCUUAGCGAUGCAGCAAAGAGAGCAAUACAAGUUGGUGGAUCUUCUCACAACAAUAUUGUAGAGUUGAUUCAGGAGCUAAAGUCCCUCAAACUUUCCAAUAGUAUGCCAUGAAGUAAUGUAACGAAAAGGUGGUUGCAAUAAAGACCUGAAUGGGAAUUCUAUAACUUGAAUAUAAAGUUAUUGUUGCUCGGGAAAAAAAGGUUAGGGGUUGUCUAAGUAUCCAUGGAUAAAGUUUCCUUAAAUAAUAUGAGUUUAAUUUUAGUGCACGGAUAGUGCAAAGUUUUUUUACACCAUCAACCAAUCAAAUUUUAAAAAUUUGUCAUGUUAAUUAAUUUAAUUAAAUAAAAAUUGCAUCUUUCCCACAUUUACAAAUUCUGAUUGGUUGACAGUGUAAAAUUUUUUUAUAUUGAGUGCAUGAAACUUUUUCUCAAAUAAUAUUUGUUUUAGAUUGAUAAAUGAUAUGUAAGAUAUAUAUACAUAUGAAAAUGUAUAUGCAAAUUUUUAGUCCUAUAUUAUAUUAUGUUGAAUGUUAUUGGCUCACCAAUGAUUAUAUAGUGAUUUUUCUAAAACUUUGCUUAAGAUAUAUAGACAACCUCAAACUUUAGAUAUGUUGUUUGACAUUGGUGCAAAGUCAGCCUUUGAGGAGGCAUAAGUUUGCAAUGUUAGUUUAGGAUGUCAAGGAUCGACCACCUUUGCUGGGAUUGGAAUAUUUAUUUUAUUCUUAAUUUGAGAUAGGUUAAUGUUUGUGUGGAUUUCACGGUGAAGUACCUUUUUUUAUAAGCAAAGAAUAUAUUGAAUAAGCACAAGGGUGUUAACCUAUUACAAAAGGAAGAAGGAAAAGAACAGGAAAAAACAGAUUCAAAGUAUGAGCCAGGACUUUGAAACAGACCCCAGCCAAGUUACUGUAGCCCUAAAUCCAACCCUCAAUGUGAGACAAUACAUAGAAAAUCCCAUCCAAUGUAUCCCCCUUAAAAACACACGAAGAAAACGGGAGGAUUGAGAAAUGAAAUAGAAACAACAUGCAAUGAGGUUGAGGUGAGGUAGUAUCGUGAAUAAGGAUGCAUUCUUGUAAUAACACAGAGGCAAAUUCUUGUAAGAAUGCAUGUGGUGAUGACACAUAAUCGAAAAGCUUCAGGUAAACUAAGGUACACACAUCUUCUAACUUAAACCCUAAUUAGUUAGACUUCAUCCAAUCAUAUCUCUAUUUUCUUUUUCUUUCACAAUCUUGUCCUAUAUCUUAUUUGUUUUAUUGUCUCUAUUUUAGUCAACAGUUGAACCAGGUAACCGAACACCAUGUGAAUGCUGAAUUGCAAGCAAAGCCAUGAAAAACAAAACAAACUAUAUUAUACAACAAUUGAAUCACUGUCAUAAAAUGAUAACAAAUCUUCAGAUGAGAUCAUGAGAUGAGAUCAGCACUCGAGUUCCACGAUGGAAAAAAACAAUUGUCUGAUACAGUAUACAUUGGUUGACUAAACAUAGCUAGAGUAUGCACUCGAGUUCCUCGUGGGAAAUAAACAAUUAUAGUUUUAGUUAACUUUCUAUUAUUUGCUCGGGUUAGCGCCAAAACAUAUGAGAAAAACAGCGAAGAUGAACAUAAAUGUAUGCAAUUGGGGCACCUAGCCUCGUAGAUUUAAGGCAAUCUACCCUGAUAUGCAAAAACAGAGAAAGAACAACACAUAACCAAAUACAAAAUAUACUGGUUUUUCUCACCUCAACCUUGCCAAAACUCGAGUAGUAUCAUGGAGAAGCAAGCUGAGCUGAAGGCAAUAUUCCUUCCAUUUUUGUCAACAAGUCACAUAAUUCCCCUGGUGGACAUGGCCAGACUCUUCGCCCUUCACGGCGUAGAUGUCACCAUCAUCACCACCACACACAAUGCCACCAUGUUCCAGAAAUCCAUUGACCUUGAUUCCAGUCGCGGUCGCUCCAUCAGAACCCAUGUCGUUGAAUUCCCAGCUGACAAAGUGGGUCUUCCAGUGGGGAUUGAAUCAUUCAGUGUCAACACCCCUCGUGAGAUGAACCCCAAAAUCUACAUGGGCUUGGCAAUUCUGCAACCAGAAUUCGAGCGUCUCUUUCACGAUCUUCAAGCUGAUUUCAUUGUCACCGACAUGUUCCACCCUUGGUCUGUAGAUGCUGCUGCUAAGUUGGGAAUUCCCAGGAUCAUGUUUCAUGGUGCAAGCUACCUAGCUCGCUCUGCUGCGCAUUCUGUGGAACAGUACGCAUCCCAUUUGAAUGUGGAUUCAGACACCGAAAAAUUUACCUUACCUGACUUGCCGGACAAGUUGGAGAUGACACGUUUGCAGUUACCAGACUGGCUUAGAUCCCCAAAUCAAUACACAAUGUUGAUGAAGAUGAUUAAAGAAUCAGAGAAGAAGAGUUUUGGGUCAGUGUUCAACAGUUUCUAUGAAUUGGAGAGUGCUUAUUACGAGCAUUACAAGAGAGUCAUGGGAACCAGGAGUUGGGGAUUAGGACCAGUGUCUUUAUGGGUUAACCAAGAUGCUGAGGAUAAAGCUGCAAGAGGGUAUGCAAAGGAAGAAGAUGAGGAAGGAGGGUGUCUGAAAUGGCUCAGUUCCAAGCCAGAGGGCUCUGUUUUGUAUGUCAGUUUUGGGAGCAUGAAUAAGUUUCCUUAUUCUCAGCUUGUUGAAAUUGCGCACGCACUUGAAGGUUCAGGGCAUAAUUUCAUUUGGGUGGUUAGGAAAAAUGAUGAGGGUGGAGAAGAUGGUUGCUUUCUGGAAGAGUUUGAGAAGAGAGUGAGAGAAAGUAACAAAGGUUAUCUGAUUUGGGGUUGGGCACCACAGUUGUUGAUUCUGGAGAGUCCGAAGAUUGGAGGAUUGGUGGCUCACGCCGGUUGGAACACGGUGGUGGAAAGUGUAAAUGCAGGGUUGCCAAUGGUGACAUGGCCUCUAUUUGCAGAGCAUUUCUUCAAUGAGAAGCUGGUGGUGGAUGUGCUGAGAAUCGGGGUUCCUGUGGGAGCAAAGGAAUGGAGAAACUGGAACGAGUUUGGGAAUGAGGCAAUAACACGGGAAGAGAUUGGAAGGGCAAUUGCUUUGUUGAUGGAUGAUGGAAAGGAAGGUGCAGAAAUGAGGGAAAGAGCAAGAGCGCUCAGCGAUGCAGCAAAGAAAGCUGUGCAAGUUGGUGGAUCUUCUCACAACAAUAUUGUAGAGUUGAUUCAAGAACUCAAGUCCCUCACACUUUCCAAAAAUCUGCCAUAAAAUAGUGUGUUGUGUGUGCGUGCCAAAAAUGAUUUUGAAUAAAGUUCAAUUUAACUUCUUCACAUCAGUCAUAUAUACUUAUAAAAACAAAAUGCAUUUCAUUUGAGCAUAGUUCUCUCUUUAGCAAUUGCAUGUUUCUUUCUGAAUUCACGUUCAACGUGGCAAAUCCAAACACAGGCUAAGCAUUCUACUUUCAGAACACUGAAGGUAGUUCUGAUUCGGCGGAUGUGAAAAGCAAUUUAUUUUUGUUCUAGGACAAGAUUUUGGAGAUCCAUUCUCAUCCUUCACAUGUUUGGAAAAAAAUAAAUAAACAGAAAACAGUUUUCAGGGAGAAUCUUGGCUUCAGAUUGAAUUCAAAGUGUUUAUAGAAACACACCUAAUUUUCACAAAUGAAAGGUCGAAGAAAAUUCUAGAUAUAGACAGCACAGAAUGUGAAGGAAGCUACUAAUAUAAUGCUUCAGGAUUCAAUAAUUUCGAAUUGUAGAUAUCGCUAGCAAUAUUGACUGACUGGAAUUACAUUAAAUGCCACUAUGUCAUGGUGCAUGCACCUCAUGAAUUUAGUAUGCGGAGUAACUACCAACUAUAAUGCAUCCUGGUUAAAAUGACCAAGAGAGAAUAUCCAGGCUACCAGACUUUAGAUUUGAGCGAAAAUGGUCAAAAACUCAAAAUUCCACUUUCUUCUGGUAUCCAUAACACAUUCAGGCAUCAGCAAAUAAAUUUACAUGAUAAAUUUCAAAAGCCAACCUAAGCAACCACUACCUCAACAUCACUAUGCCGAGAAUCAAUUAGGGUUGAUUGAUUCAUUCAAAGAGUGCAAGUGUGCAACACCUGGACCAAUUUAAUGAAUACUCUCCCCGCUUCUUUAUAGGGGGAGGAAUCCACAAGGUCAAUCAAGGAGCAAUCACAGCACAGGUCGAUGCUUCAUCAUCACCUGGCUUGGAAGCAAAAUUUUCAGUGAUAAUUUAUGCUGCCACGGGACAUGGAUAAAAGUGUCAAUUGACAAACCAAUAGUCCUUUGCUUGAUCUCCAGAAUGGAAACAGAAAAAUCAGAACUAAAAAAACUCAGAAGCCAUAAUGUCAUAUAGCUAUCCAUUUAAAUAGGAAAUGUACCAGCGAACCAGACACAGCAAUUGUCACCAAUAAGUAUUAUUGGUUGACUUCACAUUGUUAUAUAUUAACAUGUUAUCCAGACCUGAGAGCAAGUAGAAAUAGUUAAAACCAACCACGGAGUCUGCAUAUUUUGGCAGCCAACAAUAGCAUAACAAUUUCAACACAAGAAAUAGCAGGCAAAAUCUACCACACUAGAAUAGUUCCUAAAGUGAACAGAUAUAGCACUAGACAAGAGGUGGGUAUUGCUUUGCCUGCUGCCGGACCCUUCUCUUAUACUCUGUUGCAUCCUGCACGAGAAAUUCUAAUGUGAGGACACAUCUUUAUAAUAAUAAGAAAAAAAACUGACACCCUCAACUAAUUGGCAAUAGAGCUCACCAUUACAUGACACAUACAUAACAUAACCAUUUAUCAGCACCUAUUCUUAUGGCACUAUGUUCACUGACCAAAGAUUUAACUUGCAUAAUGUUUGGUUGGAAGGGAAUUGAGGGGAGGGGAAGAGUUUCCUUUAAGUUAUCUUGUUUGGUUCAAUUGGUAAGAGAGAAGGGGAAUGAUAAAUGUUCUUUCUCAUGUUAGUUUCUUGAAUCUCGAUAAAAGUAAAAUUGUUUUAAAAUCUCUUCCUUCCCUUCGAGAAUCAAACAGCAAAAGGGUUACUCCCCCUCUAUUCCCCUUGACCAAAGAGGAUAAGAUUAAAAAUCCCUCCCCUCCCCUCCUUUGAACCAAACACACCCUUAAGAGCUAAGAUAUUAUUAACAUUUCUUACGGUACAGGAGACAUAUCUAGAAAAUUUAAAAGUAUAAUACAGCCACUACCCACUUUGCCUCGAUUAAUACUGUAAGUUGUUCUUUACUCUUUGAGAAGUAGGAUUUAUCAGGUUAGCUACCUGGAUGAAUAGAUGAUAGCCUUCUGUCUGGGCAGGGUCAGCAGGAUUUGGCUGAUCAAGCAGGUCUUGGAUGCCCACUAGAAUUUGCUUCACAGUUAUAGCUGGUCUCCACCCCUGAUAUUAGAAUGAUUUUCAAAAUCAGUACAUUCAGAAGCAAGUAACAAAAACAGUAUAAUAGUUGUUAACAGUAUAGCGAUUAUCAAAAGAACAACACUUACACUAUCCUCAUUAAGUAUGGACAAGCAAACAGUUCCAGAUGGAUAUACAUUAGGGUGGAAGAAACCCUGAGGGAACUUGCACUUUGGAGGCUUGCUAGGGUAGUCUUCACUGAAGUGCAUCGUCAGGGGGGAAUACCCAUUUUCCCAAUCAGUCUGCAGCCAACGAAUGAAACGCAGAGUAAUUACCAUCAAGAAGAUAUAACAACACCCACUAUUGAACAAGCAGCUCAUUCAUUCACACAUCCAAUCCAAGCCAUGAUCUCAGAAACCGGAAUCCACAAGCGGAAUAAUUAUCAUCAAAUCAAAUGACAAGUAAAUAACAACAGCGCCGAUUGUCCAAAAAAACUGCUCAUUCAUUUUGCAAACAUAAAGAACAUGAUUCAUUAACCUAAGCUUUCAAUGACAAGUUAAACAGUAUUACAGUACUUGUUUCCCUUAAUCUCCCUAUUGUUUCAUGGGUGUAUGGACCUAAUUCGAAGCAGAAGCUUUAAUUGCGCACAUCAGUAACAAUGAUUAGAAUUAAUCUAGGGUUAAAAGUUAACAUACAAGAUAAUUUAAUUCAAUUUUCUACAAAAUCAGGAUAAGCAACAACGCAAGUACGAAUCAAGAGGGAGAAUUAGGGCACAAUUGAAGAGAGAGAGAGAGCGAGGAAGAAGAACGAACCCCAGUUUUGCCAGGAAUAGUGCAAUGCCAGACCAUCAUAUUGACGGUGCCAUCAGGUUGCGUCUCGGGCUUGGCAACGAAACCCUAAAUUGAGAAACGAGAAGACGAUGGCAUAAAAGUGAAAACAAGAAAUUGAGAGGACGAAAGUGUAAAGUUAAAAAAAAGGGGGGAAGAGAUACUCACAUGGGGAUGGUUCUUCCGCCAUGACUUUCUCUCCUCGGCGAGGCGUCCACGAGCAAUACCACCAGACAUGGCUUUCUCUUCCAAAAAAAAUCAAUUUCUCACGAAGAAGAAGAAGAAGAAUAAUCGAUUUCUACAAUAUUCGAUUCGAUAAACAACAACACUGUGAAACCCUAAUGAAUAAGAUGAUUCCACUACCCUGAUUUUCUGCACCCUUUUUUUUUUUUCUCUAGAACCUUCUUUCUUAAUCUAAUAAAUGGAAAGUUGGAAACUAGCACUAACCACGGAUUCAAACAAACAAUGUCUUACUGUCAACGCGUGAGAAUCACGCCACCCACCCUCUCUCUGCCCACACUGUUUCACGUGAUCAAUGCUACUUUUUUUUUUGACGGUGACCAAUGGUCCUUUUCCUCAAAUAAAUAUUUUGAGUUUAAUGGAUAUGCACUGAUAGUGUCAAAUAGUUUUACACAGACAUCUAAUUGAAUUCCGCCAAAUCAGAAAAUAUCUUAUUCUUUUAAUUAAAAUUAAAGUCAAAUGUGAUUAUUUCUCCUAUGUGGCAUGCUUUGAUUAAAUGACUGUGUAAAACUAUUUUACACUGUCAGUGUAUAUCCAUUAAACUCAAAUAUUUUUUAGGAAAAUAUAUCAAAUCAAAUAAACUAUAAUAAACUUCUAAAUUUAAGUUACCAAAAAAAAUUCUAAAUGUAUGUGUAAUUUUUUGUGUCCACUAGGGUGGGCAACUUUCUUUUUGGUCCACCGAUGGACCAAAGAGAUUUUCAGUAAUUUCCAAACAUCAUCCCCAAUCCUUCCCUUUCUCCCCCCACUGCUGCCCCACCCUUCUCGUUUCCCCACUGCCACCUACCUUCCCUCAAUAAGCUGCAAACAUUAAUCUUUUCUAUCUCUUAAGUGUAAACCUCUUUCUCAAUACUUGUAAAUCAAAUAGUUUUCUUCCUCGGUUUUUCAUUUCAAUUCCAAUUCCACUUUUAAACUACUACAAACCCAAAUAAUAUAAUCAGGAUUUUCUUAACCUUCCCAAUCUCAUUGAACCUGAGAAAAUUUCACUGCUUUAUUUGCACAAGAGGAAUUUAACUUAAUCUGGAAAGGAGGAAAAAUCUGGAAGCAAACUAGGUGUUUCAGAUCUGCAAAAAGAGGAAUUUUUCAUAUCUACAAGGAGUGUCGGUGCCAUUUUUCUUCUUCUUCUACCUUACUUAUUACACCUUCCUCCUCCCGCAGAUCUCACGCGCCUGAGGGAGAGGAGGGCGGCGCUGGGGCGUGCGAGCAAGACAGAGGUUGGAGCGACCGGUGGUACACUUGGGUGGUGCGGGUCGCUGGUCACACGCGGGCACAAGUGGUUUUGGAACACCAGAUGGUGUGGCCAGUGAUGGAACUUGAAACCUCACCGCAGCUGGGAGAAGAAGAGCUGGUAAUAGGAGUGGAUGUAGGAAUUGUCAAAUUAUAUUUUUACCCUUUUUAUCAUCAACCAAUCCUAACCAUUCAAUGAAAAAAUAUUCUAAGAUUCUCAAAUCUAAUGGUUGUAAAUGAUGGUCCAUGGGUGGACCAAAAAAAAGGUUGCCCACCCUAGUGGGCACCGUAAUUUUUUUAGUUUAAUAAAGAUAGACAUCAAUUUUACCCAAUAAUUCAAUUGAGUUUCAAAUCUUUGCGGGUUUCGGCUGACCGAAAUGAUAUAAGAUGACGUAAUAAGCUUUGACUAAACCUAAAAGGAGACGUGCAAGCAACAAACAAGCUAGUCGUUGCAAUCAUUCUCAAAUAUUAUUGUUCCCUUUUAUGAGUAGGUAUUUCUGUUUUCCUCCUCAACACAAAAGUAAUCACUCAAUUCACUUUCCCUUUCUCAUAAUUGUAAUCGUGUGAUCAUUGCCCUGGUAAUAAUAAUAUACCACUUAUUCAAGAGGCCUUAGUUUUAUAAAGGAUUUCUCAGGUCUUAUAUAGACAUGUUCACUUGAAAAUUCUUUAAGAUAACUUUGUCAACUUUGUUCUUAGGAUUUUUUUACAAGUUAUUGAUUUUUUUUCCAGUGAUAUUCUUAUAACAAUAGGUCUUGUAAGAAAAUGAGAGUGCAAGAAAAUUGUUGAAGAAGGAGAGCACAUCACUCAUUUUUUUUUUUUAUUUAUGGGUGCAAACACGUUCAAAAAAGUACGACAACACCUCUAAACAUAUAACUGUUUUAGCAAUAAAACUUAUCUCAUUACUCAUACAUGAAUUCAGCUCACUUACCACUAGAUUCCUCAUUCAUGUAUGUGUUGUAAUUUUGUGAGAAAGCAUAAUAUAUUACGUAAUGAUUGUUUUUGCUAAAGUGUGAUAUUGUUUAUACAAGGUUUAUCUCUAUUUCUUUGAUUUAAUUGUAGAUUGUGAUAGCAGUUUAUAACUAAUUCAUAUUGUAAAAAAAACCAAUAAUCAUGAAAUAGUCUUGGCCUUUAGAUAUUUUAUUUUUGUUACACUUGAAAUAAAGCCCUUCAGACUAAUAAUACAAAAAAUCAUUUUAAAUAAGCGAGAAUGCAUAAUAAAGUCAUUUUUAAAUUUGUUUUUAUUCAAUGUAGCAUUCUUUUUUUUUUGUCAAAAUGUAGCAUUCAUCACACCAACAAGAACUAUAAGAAAGCACAAAGGCCAAUACUACAAUUCAGCUGAGCCCAACAUGAGAAAAUCACUAAACUUUUUAAAAAGGGGAACUUCUAUAAGGAAAAAAAAAUAACUUGCCUUACACAAUGCAGAUCAAAACCGUAGUAACCCAUGAAUUCGCUCGCCCAAUUGGGGGCGAUGAGGAUACAAGCGGCCCACAUUUUCUUUGAAGAAACUUAAAUAUUGGAGAUUACUUUUGAGUUUUUUUUUUUUUUUUUUUAAAUUCCUUCAAAGAAAAAUAUUGGAGAUUACUUUUGAGAUUAGACAAAAAAAAAAAAUCUUUUGAGUUUGCAUACACAGAUUACAUUAUCGUUAGUAAAACUUUAUUUGUAGUUUUGCACGGUUAUUCAAUUAAAUUCAGUCACAUUGAGAAAUGAAUUUUUAUUUAAAAUUAAAAUUUAAAAUACGUUAUUCUUCUUUUUAAAUGACAUGUGUGAUUAAUUAUCAAUUUAAAAUUGUUUUUAUUUCUGGUGUAUAUCUAUUAAACUCUUGCAUACACCAUAAACUAAUAUUUUUACAAGUUCAUUGUAGUGGUUAGAUACUUUAUACCCUUAAGCAAGUGAUCACUGUUUGAAAUGUCAGCGCGCUGUCGAUAAUAGGAAUCAAAAUAUUUUAAAAUAAAAUAAGUUAAUCAAGAAGGGCGCACUUUAGAUAAGAAAAUGUAAAAAUAUAAUUGUUUAUUUUGAACUUAAAAACAUCACAAUUUAUUGUAUAUGUUAGCAUAUUCAGGUGAAUAGUAUUGAUUUACUUACCUCCAUUUUUUAUUUCAUACAUCAAUUUAGUGACAUUUAUUUUUAUUUUUUUAUCGGGUUGUCUAAAUGACCUAUGAUAAAGUUUGGGUUAAAUAACUCAACAUCCAAUCACAUUGAAGAUAAAUGAGUUGUAAAUAAAUUAAUAAAUAAAAUAUAGAAAUUUCAACUCACCUAUCUCCAGUGUGAUUGGAUGAUGGGUUAUUUAACCCAAACUUUAUCAUGGGUCAUGGGUCAUUUAGACAACCACUUUUUUAUCACUCUAAAUAUCUACUAUCAUUGAAUAUCUAACAAAGUCUUGUCUACUGUCUAUCCUUCUCUAACCAUUCAUUCCUUUCACCUUCAUUAUUGCAUUUUCAGCAAUUGGGAAUCAGCCCUAAGUAACAAGUAGAUGCUAAGUUGAACACUCCAAUAACAAUUCCAUUCGUUUUUGUUUUGUUUUCUUCAGAUAAUCACUUUAAUAUUAUGAUUACCACCAAGUACAAAAAUGAUACUCACUUGUACUUCAACAAGGAGCGUAAUCGUUGCAGGUACUGAGUCCCCUUCAUAGUGAGCUACUUGUUCAAGAAGUUCCUAAUAUUCUACACAGGUUACUUAGAAACUAGAGUUCAAAUCAACAAGGAAAAGCGACUUUUGGUUUGUAAUUAGAUAUUUGGUCGCUACAUUGUUUGCUUACACAUUCUCUCUUAUCCAAACUCCAACCACCCCGGUACUCUUUCUCUUCCUGCUCUCCCCUCCCUGUCCUCAUUUGGUUCAGCAUAAACUACUCUUCACAAAUUAAACAAUGUGCAUAUUAGGAGUUAACUAAGCAAAUUACCAAACACAUAAUUACCUGGAGAUAAGUAAAACCAAAUUCAAAACCAAAAUAACUACUUCGCUCUCAUCGAAGACACUUAGUGCAAACAUCUAACAUAUAUAUAUCUCGAGAAAUGAAGAGAAAAGAGACAUGAUGAAUGUGAGGUAUGGUAAACAAUAGAGAUAGUGAGAACAUUGGGGUGUAUGUUGAACGUCUGCACUGUUUGAGUCUCAUAUGUAUUACAUGAGUGUACACUACUUGAAAGAUAAGUGAUAUGUGAUGUGACGAAAAAAAAUAGAGAUAGAGAGAAAAAAAUGUUUCAAAGAUGUAUCCAAUAUUUAGUGAUAUAACUAUCUUUAUAAACAUCAUUUUCAGUUCUAGAACGUGGAGUAGUUUUUUUUCCCCUUCAUGUUGCUUAUUCAAUUCUCCCUGUUGCAAUUCCCAUGCUUCUUUAAAUCAAACCUUCUUUCCCACCUCUCUCCCAAGCUAGGGAGGAAAGAAAGAAAGAGAUUCAAAAUUCCAUCAUUUCUUUUCUCCCCAACAUGAAGAAUGGUAACACAAAACUCAUCCUCCUCCACCCUUACAUCCAAAAGCAAGGAACCUCAAAUCGCUUAUGGCUUCUAGCUUUCAUUUCAUUCUUCACCCUUGCCUUCCUUGCCACCUUAAUCUACACAAGAGAGCCCACCUCUGCCAUCCCCGCCGCCGCCUCUGCCUCCUCCCCUGUUUCAGGUUUCAGCAGCACACCUUUACCCUCCAUUGUAAUCAACACUCUCCUCCACUAUGCCUCAAAAUCAAACGACACCUACCACAUGCCUUACUCAGAUAUCAAACCAAUCUCCGACGUGCUCAGAAAGUGCUCCACACCCUGCAAUUUCCUCAUCUUUGGCCUCACCCAAGAGACCCUCCUCUGGAAAGCCCUGAACCACAAUGGCAGAACCGUCUUCAUCGACGAAAACCGCUACUACGCCGCAUAUUUCGAAGAAAAGCACCCAGAGAUUGACGCCUAUGAUGUUCAGUACACCACCAAGAGAAGUGAGAUGAAGGAGCUCAUAGCCAUGGCAAAAGAACAGGUAAAAAAUGAGUGCAGGCCAGUGCAGAAUCUUCUGUUUUCAGAGUGCAGGCUUGGGCUCAAUGACCUUCCCAAUCAUGUAUAUGAGGUGGAUUGGGAUGUCAUCUUGGUGGAUGGACCCCGGGGUGACUGGCCUGAUGCUCCUGGCAGAAUGUCGGCGAUCUUCACCGCGGGCGUUCUCGCCAGGAGCAAGAAGGGUGGGAAUCCAAAGACACAUGUGUUUGUGCAUGACUUCUGUGGAAAAGUUGAGAAGACUUGUGGGAAUGAGUUUUUGUGCAAAGGGAAUUUAGUGGAGGCAACUGGGACUUUGGGACACUAUGUGCUUGAAAAAAUGGAUGAAAGUAGCGUUCAUUAUUGUAAGAAUCACUCAUCAUCUUCAGGAACUGCUUCAUCAUCUUAAUUACUAUCAGCUAGCUUUGUUAAAAAUCAUCCUAUUCCUGAUCAUAAUUGGUCUAUAGUCCAUCGGGGUAUUUAUGAUCCUUUUGAGUUUUGAUUGUUACAUUUGGUUACUUCUUGAGCUUGUAAAAAAUAAUUCUUUCAUUUGGUGGGACUGGAAAUUCUAGUUUCUUCAAUGUACCCAAGCUUCCAAAAUUUCAGAUGAGGAUUCUGAUUACAAAAUAGAAUAAGCUGGUGUAUUAGGUUGUAAAUUUGUAAUGCCAUGGAAAACAAUAUAGGAUAAGGUGUGCAUAUAUGGUACAAUAAUUUGUAAGUAUUCUUUUUUGAGAAAUUAAAUAAACCUUAAUUGUAAUGUGAACAUAUAAUACCGUCAGAUCAAGGAGUUGAAGUAGGUAUACACAAACUAACUGCACAACUUCAUAUACAUCAAUUUAGUGACAGAUACUGAUCAAGAAGAAAAUGGCGUGAGCGACUUUGAAAAAGGAGCUAUAUUUAAUUUGUCACUCUUAGGAGGCAGGUGUGAAUAUGAUUAUUAGUUAAUUGACUCUGCCCUCUCAGUAAUCUCCAUGAAUGUUUUAACUUUUAACCUCUUCCAUCUUGGAUUUGUUAAUUAAAUUAGGCUUAAAUAAGUUUUUCGUCCCUAAUAUUUACGAAAUGCUUGGCAUUGGUCCCUCGCCGGAGUAAAGGUGGGUUUUAGUCCCUAACCUUUGUCAAAAAGUUUGGUUUUGAUCUCUCCGGAGCUCUAGGUCAACGCCGGAGCUCCGGUGGCCCAUGUGGCAUGGCCACGUGGGAUUAGUGAGCUGACAUGGAAUUUGUUUUUCUUUUCAUUUAAAAAACCUAAUUAAUUUUUAAAAAAGAAAAUGUUUAAAAUUCUAAAAAAUAAAAAAAAUAACUUAAUUUAUUUAACUUUAAUCACUAAUCAAAUCUUUAAUUUUAGUCCUAAUUUUUUUAACUCUAAUCCUUCUUCAUCAUCUUCAACCAUCAUCCUCUGCUUAAAAAAGAUCACCUUCACCAUCUUCAUAAAGAAAAGAGAGAGUAAAAGCAAGAAAAUACAAACAACAACACACAGUUACAAGGAAGGAAAUAGCUAAAGGGUAAGGAUGAAAAAGAUCCAAUUACAAAAGCAACCACCCAAACAAGAUUCCCACACACAACCAGCAAACAAAUGCACAAUCCCUCCUGGCACCCAAACCAGAACUUAUCCCUCAGUAAGUGAAGCACACCCACAGUUUGCAACAAGCAAAACGAAAUAGAAUGGGAGUUCAAGCAAUUAAUCACAAGGAGAACAAAACCAUCAAAUUUAGAGAGAGGAAAGAAAAAGAGUGAGUGGUGGGGGAUCAGAACCAGCAAACCCAGAUUGUAACAGAAAACCCAAAUUGAAAUAGCAAACCCAGCAUUCCUAGAUGAAGAAAACCCAUAAACCCAAAUGAAGAUCCCAGAUGAAGAACCCAUCAAACCAUUUUAACCAGCAAACCUAGAAACCCAAGAACUACCAAAACCCCAACUUAGAAAACCCAGAUCGGGAGAGGUAGAGUGAAGAAAAAUGGCACCGAUUUCUUCAACAACCACAACCGAAAUUCAGAAAGAUGAACAUAUUUGAGGAAAAGGCUGGAGGAGGGUACUCGAACAUAUCUGCACUUUCAAUUCCAAAAUCCUAAUUUUCUCUCAUCUCCUAUUCAUUCCCCUUCCAUCCACCAUCGUCGUUUCUCAACAAUUAAUUACCCAUUCAAUCAUUGAGACCAAUAAUUACAGUUCAAGAACUCAAACUUUUUCUGAAGUAGUUCAAUACCCAUCUCUCAAUUUUUCGAAACCAAAUCGCCGUCACACAUGGAGAUGGAAGAUCGAGCCCCUGUCUGUCGAGGUUGUGCCCGUCGGGGUUGAGUUCGUGGUCGCUGGAGAGGAUGAUGAAUUGGAGGAAAGUUGGAGGCUUUUGGGGGUUAGAUCCAUUGGAGGUUGCAGGCUCUGACAGAGAAUGCUGAGAUGAAGAAGAUUCAAGAUUUGUGUUGAAUUUCCCAUUUUUAAUGUAUUUAUUUAAAUAAUAUAUGUAAUUAAUUAGGGAGGUUAAUUAGGCACAUUAAAUAUUGAGAUUUAAUUUUUUUUUAAUAUUUUAAAUGAAAAAUAAAAACUAAUUCCACGUCAGCUCACUAAUCCCACGUGGCCAUGCCACAUGGGCUACUGGAGCUCCGGCGUUGACCCAGAGCUCCGGAGGGACCAAAACCAAACAUUUUGACAAAGGUUAGGGAUUAAAACCCACAUUUACUCCGGCGAGGGACCAAUGCCAAGCAUUUCGUAAAGUUUGUAUUUUAUAAGUUUUUUUACUGUAAACUUACGACAACCCUAACUAUCGGUAUAUUUAAAUGAUUGUGUAAUCAACGACGGUCUAGGUUGUGCGUAACUUGACAAGUAAAAAAAAUGGGCAUCGAUUAUUGCAAUUGAAGCCGUCAAUAAUUUUUAAAAAAUUAAAAUUGUCGGCAGCUAAUAACUUGUUUGCUUUUGAAAAUUAUAUCAUGGAUUAUUAACGAUCAUCCCUAGCCUAUAACAAUUUAUAAGUAUCUUACAAAGAACCAAUAGAAACCUAUAAAUAGGUGUUCGCGAAACCUUAUACUAACAUAUCAAUAGAUAAUAUGUAACCUAUAAAUAAGCAUUUCCGACCCAAAUAUAUUCGAAAUGCAUGUAAUGAUCUGGGCUUAAAACAUAUCAAUAUUGGUCCUUCAGUCUGUUUAUAUAAGUGGGCUAGCUAUAUUGACAAAAAAAUAGGUUGGCGUUUCUUUUUUUAAUUUUUUUUCCAAUGGACCAAAAAGUUCAUAGUUGACUAAAAAAGAAGACAAGAUUGUAGAAAAAAUCUGGUUGACCAAAAGUAGAAGCAAAGAACAAAAAGCUAGCUGAUCUUUGUUAUUAAAUUAAUCGAUAAUUUUUUUAGAAUCAAUAUUUAAACAAAGAAUUAAUCAAUAAAUCUUCACAAAGUAUUUUGAAAAAAAAAUUCCACAAAGUGAAAUCUUAGGAGGCCGAGACUGAAUCUACAUAGCAAUUAACCUCAGCCCUAUACACUUAAGUGAAUAUGUCAUUUUUACCUAUCUUGUCUUAACUCAUAUAUAAUAAAACCUACUUUCCCAAUUUACCCUCAACUUCCCAAUUUCUUCGCAACUUCUCCCCACUCACAUAACCUCUCCGUUCUAUUUACAAAGUGUCUUCCAAACGCACCACCCCCUCCUUGGUCAGUGAUAGUGGGCCUUUAUAUGGUACGCGAAGUCGGUCUGUGAAUUUAUCUAACUCCCAUAAAAUUGAGGUUGGGUGUGCCCUCACAUAACCAAAUCAAUCAUACCAUCCAAUUUCUUGACAACCUAUUUCUUAUAGUAGGUCAACAGAGUCUAUGAAGAAAGUUAGGAAAAAGGGAAUUUUGUGUGAGAGAUCUUUCAACCUUGUCUGGUUUAUUCACAUGGAGAGAAGAGAUAUGUUCUAAAUGUGUGAUCCACUUACUUAUUCAUAACUCUUCAAUUUGAGCAGAAAGUUGAUGACUAUGGCUUAUUUCAUUUUUCCUUAUAUGCCCUUUAAUAUUGAGGUUAAAAAUCGAUAGAAAUGAUUUUGCUUACGGCUAAUAAAUUGUUUAUCUUAUAUGUCAUAUAAAAAUGACAUUUGAUAAAAAAUAAUUUUUUUUUGUCUCUCAGUUUAUCCUCUAAAUUUUUUAUCUUCUCUUUUUGUCAUAAUUCAUUUCAAACAACCUUCAAGUUAUUUUUCCUUAUAUGCCCUGUAUGUAUUUUUCUUUUUCUUUCUUCUCUCUCUUUCUCUCCUAAACCAUACAACGGGUUAAGUUUCAGGUGAUCUCUAAUGUGGACCACUUUUAAAAUAGUCUAAUUUUAGACCACUUUUUUUAAUCUGCUAUAACAGGUCAACACAUCUUUUUUUAAAGAAAUUUAAUAUAUGACAAAUUUUUAAUGAUAUUUUUUCUUUAAAAAAAUAAUGUGUUGACCUUCUAUACUCGGUCAAAGUAGGUGGUGUAAAAUUACACCACCUAAAAAUGGUGCAUAUUAAAUUCUCCCUAACUUUUAUCACUAGGAAAACUAUAUGUUAUGUUAUCAAAGCGUUUAUAACUUUUACUUCUAGUCUAGUACAUGCUCUGAAUUGAACUGGUAAGAAGAAUAUUUCUUUGUUUGCAAGCAUGUGGAGCUGGCAACCCGUGAUUUUGACAGAUUACAGCUUACCACCUGCAUUUUUUCUUCCGUCUUUGAAUUUCUCUUAGCAAAUCAAACAAAGCCCCUGUAUCUUCAUGUAAUUACCUUAAAACAUAGUAAGAAACACCACAGAAUCUCUGUGGUAUAAUUUUGUACACUUCUUCCAAACAUUUCCGUAGAAACUGGUUAUGAUCAGUUGGAGGAAUUUGGAAGCGAACAACAUUGUUUUAUUAUAGUGUAGAGAUAGUUGGCCACAUUCUAAAGGAACACCUAUUGUCAUUUCAUUUGAGUCCAUUGAGUUUGUAACUGAAGCAACCCACCAACCUGGUUGGUGACAUGAAAAUUCUCAUUGCUUUUUUGUUUUCUUUUUUCCGCAAUGUCAAACUGAAAAAGUCUCUUAUUAUUUGCAGCAAAUUAUUUAAUACACCACCACCAACACUUUUGCCGGUGACGCAUGAGUAACACCUGAUGAAUACUAUAUAUCACUGUCAUUGCAUUUGCAGCAAAAUGCAAAUAUAUAUAAGAACAGUUGAUAAUUUAAAUCACAUCUUGCGUUUGAAAUAGUCAUGGUUGAAGUUGGUGAUUUUAUAGAGAAACAAGUUUGAAUAAGGUCAAAUAGAGGCAAAAUUUACACAUCAAAAGGAAAAAGUAAAGCGUAUGAAAUAAUUUUUGGAUGUAAUGUACAAAUAUGGAAAACAAAAAGAGACACGACAUAAUUGCUUCAAUUUAGGCAUUUAACCGCUCUAGCUUAAUUGUAGGUAGCUUUACAAGAUUUUGACAGUUACUGUUUUUUUCUCCCCUCUCCUAAUUUUAGAAAAGCAUUACAAUUUACAUGAAUGUCGUGAAUUAGGAAAAGGAAAAAAAUAAAGGAAUUUCCAUUGUUAUGGUCAUUGAGAAAAAUAUGGGAAGUGAGUAAAAAGUGUAGGAGUAAAGUGCAAUUUUGGUGUGGCAUUACGAAUUAUAGCAAGAAAACAAAUUAUAAAAAAAUCAUUUAGUUACUUUUUGACUUCCUUUGACCUUAGGUCUAUCACCAUCUAUAUGUAAUUGGAGUUACCAAAAUGCUAAUAUUUGUAUCAUAUUUUAGUUGGAUUCGAGUUUAGUUCCGGUCACCAUCACGAAUUAAAUUACAUUUUUCGGUACACAAGUUACUUAUAGAUCACCCACCAAUACAAUUUUCACAAUGACGAAAAAAAUUGAACACACAAUACUUUAAGAGGAAGAGAUUCUUCAUUACUAAUACAAUACAACCGAGUUAAUAAGUAUUGAUGUAUCCUAUAUUAGCUAAGCUACAAGCUCCAGCUUAAUACUACUACUACUAGGCCAGUCUCUUUGUAAAACUUCAUUUUCUUCUGAAUUAAUUAUCCAAACUGAAAGUUGUUAGAACAAUUAAAAAGAGAAGAAGCAAAUUAGAUUAUCCUUAAACCCAAAGUAAUGUUAGAUGAUUAAAUCACAGCACCACCAAACCAACCAAAAUCCUUCCUUUCCCUUCAAAACGUUACAAACUUCAAUUCAAAAUUCAAAGCAAACUCAAUACAUAAACAAUAAAUACUACCUGCAUUUCAAUUCACAAACCUUACACACACACAGAUGAAGCUCUCGGCGUUGCAGCAGAGCUACCUCAACCGCCGCGCCAACAGCUUCAGAGGAGCACCGCAGUUAGAUGGUUCCGGCGACGGCGCCGUCAAGUCGCCGGCAACAAUAUUCUGGCUCGUCCUCCACGGCGUCUGCUGCCUCAUUAGUCUCGUCCUCCGCUUUCCCUUUCCACCGCCACUCAUCUUUUUCNNNNNNNNNNNNNNNNNNNNNNNNNNNNNCCACGUGACGGGCGUGGGGCUCGCGUUGAUGCUGGUGCCGUACGAUCGGGUGUGGAUCGUGGGGGAGGCCGGAGGAGUCACCAAUGAAACCGCUUCCAUUGUUGCCAAGUCUGGGCUCAGAACCAUCCACAUUGGCUUCCAUCAGAAGAUGCCUAUGCGUCUUCAAGCUUUGAGGUCAACUUUUAGUCAUCGAAAUUUCAAUAUCUAUCUGCUUUCACUAUUGAGUAUCAUUCUAGAUUUUCUAGUUAGUGCCUAAGACACAAUCACAAAAUCAGUGUUUUUUUGCUUUGAUGGUUGUCAUUGUCCUUACAUGUAAUGUUUUGUUAUAUGGUGGAACAGAAUUGUGAGGAAAGAGAAGCUGGAUGGAGUUGUGAUGUUUGCUGAUGAUAGUAAUAUGCAUAGUAUGGAGUUGUUUGAUGAGAUUCAGAGGGUGAAAUGGAUUGGUGCUGUUUCGGUUGGGAUACUUCUUCAUUCAGCUGAUGCGGGCGAGUCUUCGUCAGGGGAGGGGGAAGCUUCCCUGAUCCCUGUGCAAGGUCCUGCUUGUAAUGCUACGGAUAAGUUGGUUGGGUGGCACACUUUUAAUUCAUUGAGAUAUACGGGAAGAAGUGCGGUUUAUAUUGAUGACAGGGCGCCUGUGCUGCCCAGAAAGCUUGAGUGGUCUGGGUUUGUGUUGAAUUCCAGGUUGCUUUGGAAAGAUCUUGAUGAUAGACCAGAGUGGAUUAAGGAUCUUGAUGCGGUUGAUGAGGGGAUAGAGAGUCCACUGUCGUUGGUCAAGAGCACCUCUGCGGUAGAGCCACUUGGGAAUUGCGGACGCCAGGUUUUGCUUUGGUGGCUGCGGGUUGAAGCUCGCACUGAUAGCAAAUUCCCUGCUCGGUGAGUUCUCUCCUCUUGAUUUUAGAUAUUCAUUUAUGUUGCUCUAAGUUUCAUUUUCCAACUGAUUUAUAACCUUAGGAAUAGCUGCAUACUUGCAUUGAUACUUGGGCAUCAUGAGAAGUAGACUCAUGUUCUAGGAUGAUUCAUAGUUGUUCACAACAAAAGUCCUAACGAUAGAGCUUAGCUAGUUGGAUGCCCCGAUAGUAGUCGAAAUCAGGGAGGAGGUUGUAUAUCACAAAUCACUAAAUUGCAAUUUAAUCGUAAGAUUUAGCAGAUUUAGCUAUUCUUAAAUAUAUUAACGCAUAUAAAUUCUUAUAUGCAUAUAAAAUAGCAUAUAAAUUAAUAGAAAUGUCAUACAUAAGCACUAUAAAAUUUAGAAAGCAUAAAACAUAAACAUCCAGCUCAAGUUAGGAAAUUUGCGACAUUAAAAUAAAGAAUAGGGAGCUUCAAGCAGAGAAAAGGGAGGAAGAAGAGGCGUCGCAGGGCGUCGCCACCAGUGGCCGUCGUCGCUUCCUGUGGAGCCCUUGGUCGAAGUCGCCUCUGGUUCUGGAGGAGGUGAGACGCAAGUGACUCGUAAUGUCGUAUGAGAAGCUGUCUCAAACUCGUAAAAAUUUUAAGGUUUUUCUCACCUGGUUCCUGCACAAACAGGUCAAAACUCGUUAAAUUUUGAAUCUUCCUAAAUUGUAAAAUCUCAUCAAAUCUCAAUUUUGGUCCAAUUUAGCGAUUUCUGGGUGAUUUAUCAAGAAAGAGAUUUAGCAAGCGAUUUAAAUCGCUCAGGGGUUGCAGAUUGUAAAUAUUUACCAUUUAAAUCGUGAUUUUUCCUACCAUGGAUACGUGUGAUGAGACUUGCGAGAAUCAUGCAGAUAAUCAAACCAUCCUUAUGCAGCACUUGGUACACUCCUUAUUCCUUAUAGAGUUGAUAGACCGAGCGGAUAGCAGAGCUGAUUCAGUCGAUUGGGACCUAGCCACGCACCCCUAUUAAUUGUAAUAAAUGCCCAUUGUGGGGGCGAUAAAUCCAGCCGACCAGUAUAUCAACGUGAUAUAACAGUCCAAUAGUGUUCCAGCUUAAGAUGAUCCAGCUAAGAUGAAGCACCAGCUAAGAUGAUCCAGUCCAAACUGAGAAAAGAAGAAGCUAAGAAAGCAAACUGCUGCAAAAUUGAGGCAGAAUCGUUCUAGAUAUCGUAUACUAGUAUAUUACUAUAGUUGUUAACCAUCUAGUAAUAUUUUUGUGCUGGCUGAGAAACUGAAAGACUCAAUGGCAGUGGCUACUAAGUGUGCUUCCCUUCCCUUUUGUGAAUAUUCGCCUUAUAUAGAUGGAUGAGGGAGGGUUCCCACUUCCCAUUGCAUGCAAGGUUACUGGGUGUAAGUGUUGAAACUCAAAACUGCAAUGCAGGGUUGAGGGAGGGUUCCCACUUCCCAUUGCAUGCAUUUUGGUUGUAUGAUUAUCUGGAGUAUGUUGGGGUGUAGAUUGCAAGCUUUUCAAGUCAUCUGGAUCUGUCUGAACUGAAAGUACCAAAAUUAUCACUAGGAUGUUGGAGACUUGGAGUACUAGAGAGCUACACUCUAUAAUUUCAGCCUGCUUAAUCAAUAUAAAUUGAUUUAAUGAUUGAAUUGAUACUAGGAACACCACUAGCACCAAACUGCAGAAAAAAUGAAUUCCUUUCAGUCCUUGUAUUAUGUAUGAAAUCAAUAGUAAUAAACUAAUAAUCAUGAAUUAACUCUUAGUAGUAAGCUUGUGCAAUAGCUCCCUACCAGAGGUGCCUUUAUUUCCCUAAAUUGGUGAUUUCAUUUCCCAUUAAAUGCCAGCAAUUAAAUGACAUAUCCAUGUAAGUUUCUGCCCUUAGAUGGACCUCUAGAUGAAAGGCCACAUAACGCCAAAUAGAACAACAUGCUGGUGAAGUUAAGUGGAAAUUUGUUGGACGUUGGUUAGUUACUAAUAGAUCAUAGACUUGAGCCAGAUCAUCCCAAUUCCCAAGGGUUGUUAUGAAUGUUUGGAUUAGAAUCUUUGCAUCCUUAUCCUAAAAUAGUGCAUGGAUUUAUGUAUUCUCUAAACUUGUUUAUUGCCAUAUUUUCUGCUCAUAACACUGACUUUAUGAUGCUAUUCCAUGCAGAUGGAUCAUUGAUCCUCCUUUGGACAUCACCGUCCCAUCAAAACGCACUCCAUGGCCAGAUGCUCCUCCUGAGCUCCCAUCGAAUGAAAAAGUGUUCACCGGCACAGAAGAGCAGACGAACAAGCACACUACAAAGAUCAAAACAACCAGAUCCCGACGCAGUAAAAGUAAGAGAAAGCAUGAGACCAAAGUGAUUGGUGUGCAAGUCUCUACACAUUCUGAACAAAACUGAGAUGGGAAUUUGCACAUCUGAGGAAUUUAUUGCCUUGUGUAUACAAAACUGUUGGCCUUUCGCAACAAGAAUUUGGACUUUGAUCAAAUGAAGAAGCUGAUAUCUUACUGAAGAUGCGUAAUUUUUAUGGUUGCCAGCACAUGUGCAUUAGAGUAUGAGAUUUCACCCAUUUUUUCUUUUUACAAUUUUUUCUUCUUUAUGUUGGGGGUGCCAUAUACCCGUUCGCUUGAGAGAUUGAAAGGUAAUGUGAUCUUAGUUUUGCAGCAGUUGCUUGCUGCCUUGCAGGAAGUGUAUUCAAUUUUAUUCCAUGUUAAUAGAUAUUCUUCUCAAUAGUUAUACAUCUUUGAUUCUUUCACACGCAGAUUUUCGUUACUUGUAGAGAGGUAUAUAGUAAUAAAAAACUAAGUCCAGAGGUUCUGGAUCCUACGAAACAAUCCCAAGCAAGUACUAUCCACAACAACGAUAAAUAAAUUUCACGUCUUCUUUUUUUCUUUUGCCCAAAGAGAUACACAAGGUAAAAGAACAACAAAGUAGUCCCUGGCCCAACCACCCUACAUUGUUCUGUUCAGACUUCAGAGUAUGAUCCCUGUGUUUGACAAAAAAAAAACGAGUAUGAUCCCUGUGCUUCGGGCACACAAGAACUGUGUGCAGGAUCAGUGCCAUGUGAUGAAACGACUGAUUGGAGCAAUAGUAUUUUCUUGUCUUCAAUUUCUAACACUUUAUUCUCUUGACAGCUAGCUUGUAUCAACUCAAGAAAAAAUUAUUCCAAAACUUCUUACACAUUAGUUGAAACCGCUAGAAAUGUGUAUUUGAGCCACCUAUUUUUCUCUCUUCUCCUAUAUUGGACAACCUAUAAAUUUAUUCUUUUUACACAUUUCUCUCUCUUCUCUCUCAUAAACCAAAGCGUAAAGAGAGGUGAUAUUAGUUCUCUCAUAACUAGUGUUUUUUACCCAUGCGUUGCACGGCGAUUAAAUUUAUUUGAAAGAUGAAUCAGUAGAAAUAAGUUUUAACUUAGUUUAGACUCUUUUUAGUAUGUAAAAAAAAUAUGGAACCGAACAUAUGAUACAAACAUGUUGAUGAAUGAACAACAUUAAAUAUAUUAAUUUGAUGAGGUUGUAUAAACCUCACACUGUCAACACUUGAAUAGUAAUAAGAACAAAGUUUUUAAGGAAUGCAUUCCAUUGAAAUUGAAAUAAGAUAAACAUAACAAUGACAACGACAUGAACGCUUAUUAGAAGUUGUAGUCCAUGAUUAAUGAUAAAAACUCCAUAACCGAUCUUAUUGUCAAUCAAGUAAAUUUGAGCUAUAGAACCUACAAAGACAACAAAUUAUAUAAGAGUAAUAAUAAUUAACCAANNNNNNNNNNNNNNNNNNNNNNNNNNNNNNNNNNNNNNNNNNNNNNNNNNNNNNNNNNNNNNNNNNNNNNNNNNNNNNNNNNNNNNNNNNNNNNNNNNNNNNNNNNNNNNNNNNNNNNNNNNNNNNNNNNNNNNNNNNNNNNNNNNNNNNNNNNNNNNNNNNNNNNNNNNNNNNNNNNNNNNNNNNNNNNNNNNNNNNNNNNNNNNNNNNNNNNNNNNNNNNNNNNNNNNNNNNNNNNNNNNNNNNNNNNNNNNNNNNNNNNNNNNNNNNNNNNNNNNNNNNNNNNNNNNNNNNNNNNNNNNNNNNNNNNNNNNNNNNNNNNNNNNNNNNNNNNNNNNNNNNNNNNNNNNNNNNNNNNNNNNNNNNNNNNNNNNNNNNNNNNNNNNNNNNNNNNNNNNNNNNNNNNNNNNNNNNNNNNNNNNNNNNNNNNNNNNNNNNNNNNNNNNNNNNNNNNNNNNNNNNNNNNNNNNNNNNNNNNNNNNNNNNNNNNNNNNNNNNNNNNNNNNNNNNNNNNNNNNNNNNNNNNNNNNNNNNNNNNNNNNNNNNNNNNNNNNNNNNNNNNNNNNNNNNNNNNNNNNNNNNNNNNNNNNNNNNNNNNNNNNNNNNNNNNNNNNNNNNNNNNNNNNNNNNNNNNNNNNNNNNNNNNNNNNNNNNNNNNNNNNNNNNNNNNNNNNNNNNNNNNNNNNNNNNNNNNNNNNNNNNNNNNNNNNNNNNNNNNNNNNNNNNNNNNNNNNNNNNNNNNNNNNNNNNNNNNNNNNNNNNNNNNNNNNNNNNNNNNNNNNNNNNNNNNNNNNNNNNNNNNNNNNNNNNNNNNNNNNNNNNNNNNNNNNNNNNNNNNNNNNNNNNNNNNNNNNNNNNNNNNNNNNNNNNNNNNNNNNNNNNNNNNNNNNNNNNNNNNNNNNNNNNNNNNNNNNNNNNNNNNNNNNNNNNNNNNNNNNNNNNNNNNNNNNNNNNNNNNNNNNNNNNNNNNNNNNNNNNNNNNNNNNNNNNNNNNNNNNNNAACCUUCCUCUUUUCUAAAGUAUAUAGAUUUAAAACAUAUCUUUGGUUCCAUGUUUGUAACUAUUGAAAUUAAUUAUCCAUAUUCAUAAUUAAUUUUUUGAAUAUUUGGAGGGUUCCUUCUACCAUUGAUUUUAGCUCAAAAUUCUUGAAUGAGAUAAAAAUCUCAGUUUUUUGGGUUCUUCUUUUAUGGAGACUGGUUGUUAUAACAACACUGUUGAUCCCAAUAAUGCAUCAAUAGAUCAAAAACAAAAUAGACUUAAUACAAAUUCAUGAGCUUGAUUAAUAUGGAUACCAUAAGAGAUGAUAGAUUAGAAGCGAAGAUAUUCUCAUUGUUGUAUACUAGGGUUGGGUUAGAAACACUUUGAUUUAGGGUUGGGUUAGAAACACUUUGAUUUAGUUUGGUUUCCUAGGUUCACUGCGUGAACAACCACAAACAUAAUUUAUUGUGAAAUUUUACAAUUAAAUUCCACAACGUUCUCCCACAAAAAUAUGUUUCUCAUAAAUGUAUAUAUAUUUAAAUCAUUAAUUCAUUUGUUAAGUAACUUUUUUAUCUAAAUAAAUUUUACCAAAAUUAAUUAUAUCUAUAACCAAUUUUAACAACUAAUGCAAAGACAAAUUAAGUUGCCAAUAUGUAGUAGCCUACUAGAGACUUUUUUACGGGAAAGUCAAGAAAAAACAAGAAAAUGGGCAUAUUCAAUUAAGAUGCUAGUUAAUUAGCGAAAUAAAGGUAUUGUCAACGUUGGCAUGAAUAGAUAUCAUAUUUAUUUUUGCUUCAUAAAAGGGGUCCUGGACUCUCAUCCCCGUGCCCUUCUCAUUGCUGAGAAGGUGUUUGGGAAGUUUGCAUUAUUGUUGCAAUUAAAGCAUGUGUUUUGUGAAGCCAACGCGGUGGUAGAUUUGUUUGCUAAGGAUGGGUUGAGUCAAUAUGAAGCUUUGAAGGUUUUUGAGCAGCUCUUUGUUUAGUUCCUCUUAGCUUUGAUUCCUGUAACGCUCUCUUUGAGGGAAUAGUUUCUUUUCUUAUUAUGCCCUGCAUGGAAUAAAAAAAAAGACAUCAAUAAUCAUAUUCACGCUUUAGCUGCUAAAGAAAAUAUUUGAUUGUGCUAAAAAAGAAAAAGUCACACGUCUAAAUAUACACUAAUUAGAAUAGGAAGUACACAAAGACUUGAGCAUCAAAGAAACAUGUUAGAAGUUUUGGAGCUGAGUUUAUCUGUUGCACGAAUAAUUUUGUUCAAUUUACUUGAAAGGAAUUUUAGCUGUAAAUGUGUGAAUACAACAAGUAUUAGUUUGAAGUCUCAUAUUGAUUAAGAAUAAAUAAGUUCAAGAUUUAAGACAAUAUAAGAGACAUAAUUUACAUUUUAAGUAAAGAUUUAGUGUUCAACUCUCGUUUAAGUGCGGUUGAAGUCUUGAAGACUUGUGUUGUUUUUUUUUUUUUUUUUGUCAAAAGAGAAAAGUUUCAUUCAUAGAGGCGGGCCAGACCCAGAAUAAAGCAAGGGAUAAAGCCCCAUCCAAUCAGGCAAUCAGCUAAUCUGCAAUUGCUUAAAGGAUAUGACAAAAAGUCUUUGAUAAAAAUUGACAAAAAAAAAAUAGGGGACAAUAAGACAAAGCUAGCUUAGUUGUCUCGGACAAAGCAAAUGAGAUAUACACAUUUCACUUUCUCUUCUAUCUCAUUUUCACAUAUUUUUCUUUUAAUCCCUCUUCAUUUUUUGUAACAUCACAAAUCAUAUAAUUAAUUUCUCUCUUAUUUUUAUCUAAUCUUACAAAGUGGAGGUGAAAUUAGUAUGUCAACGAAACAUUAUUCUUGUUUUAUCUACUAAUCCCACUAAAGCCGUCGUUCAAUAAUGUUAGCCAAAUUUUCAUUUCUUUCACCUUUUACCUUUUCCCUGUCCCCCACACAUACAUCCUUCUUCAAGCUAAUAAUUUAGCCUUGGCCUUUAGUCUAUUUAAUUUAUUUACUUUGUUUUCUAUAAUUUACCAAAUUAACAUUUUUAAACAAUAACCCAUCACUUUUAAACAAAGAAUAAGUUUUUUUGAAAUCUAAGAAUAAGUUGAUUGAACUGCAAAUGGAUGAACCUAACCCAUAAUCCAAUCUUGUUCCGUACGCACUUUUGACUAUAAAUAUCUUGCCUCCAAGCUCCCAUUUCAACUUGAAGCACCCACUUCGCCAUUGCAACAAUUUCUCUGCUCCUUUACCUUUCAAGGUACUCUUCUUCUCUGUCUCACGCUUUCGUUUUUUUUUUUUAAUUAUAUUUUACAAUCUACUUUGUGCAAUGCCAGGGAAAGUACACCAAAUGAUUAUUAGUUUAGUUUUAAUUUUUUUUUUUUUUUGAAAAUGAAAGAUAUAUUAAUAAUAAGAAAGCCCGAGCUAGCGAAGCAAACCAGGCACAGUACAUUUACAUGCCGCUGAGAAACAACAACCCACCACCAACCCGCAAAAUGGCAAAAGCGUAGUCCCAAGAAAGAGCUUCAUUAAAACCUUACUAUGAAAAACCCAUUGGGAUAAAAACCUAGCAAGGAAAAAGAGUACCACAAUCUUGGGACAGCCAUUUUGCAUCAAGAUACAAUAAGAAUCAGCCCCUCCAAUCAUGAAAAAAUUCCUGGAGUUCAAAGAGAAAAAAAUUGGAAAGUACACUGUUCAAAAGAAUUUUUUAGGCUAAAAAGCAUUUUUGACUCAUGAUGUUUUAAGUUUGUGCAAAUUCAGCCCCUACUCUAUUUUUGUCGACAUUUCUACCGCGCCUCCUUUUUUCAAUUUCACUUGUAAUUUCCACGUGCUAGGUCCAAAAAAUAUUUAAAAAAAAGUCAAAUCAGCUCAUUUCGUUAGUUUUUUAACGUCUGACUGACGGGGGGUAGACGGUGCACUGUUUGAAAACCUGAGGGGGGGGGGUCAAAAGUGCUUUUUAGCCAAUUUUUUAUUGAGAUAUUUAAAAAUUGACAACGUUGCUCACGUGAAAGUGAGUUUUGAAUUAAAAUGUCUCAUUAAUUAGAAUAACAACUUUACUUUAUUAAAUAACUUGGUGGAUGGGGGAAAUGAAUGGAUUUUCAGGGUGAAGGGUCAGGGUUCAAACCCUGGCGAAGAAACUAAUUUACUAAUAAUUAAGAACUAAAAUUUGCCUAUAAAAAAAUAACAGGGUGGGUAGAAACGAAUAAGAUCAAGAGGUAAACCCCAUGAGCCACAAUAAUUUUAAACAUUUAUUUCCUUAAUUUUAAAUAGUGAUCACUAUUAAACCAUUUAUUUCCUUCCAAAGUUAGAAUAUAUUCGUUGCUUUCUUUAUGUUUAGAGAUGACAACGGGUCGGGUUGGUUUUGUCUACCCAAACCCAAACUCCUAUAUCCAAACCCAAGUUUUGAGUGUACCCAAUCCGUUGCAAUCUCAAAUUCACGUUAUAAUCUGGCUCGAUGUAGAGAAUUUAUUUGCAAAAUAAAACGCAGCUUAUAUUAUUUUGUUGCAGAUAAAAUAUUUAUAUCAAAUUUUGCAAAAAGACAUAAGACUUUAAUGUUUACAUAUGAUCGAAUUUUUAACAAAUUAAGACACAGAACCCAUUAAAUUUUGUAUAUAAAAAAUAAAAUAAACCAAUACUCAGCCAAAAUACCAUAAUAUUAAUAUAUAUAUAUAUAUAUAUUUAUGGUUACAAACUCUUAUAUCCAACAUAACUAUAGAGGAUUUCACCCGUCAAAUUGGGUCGGGUUCAAGCGGGUACCCUAAGAUGCGGGUUUCAUUGUCAUCCCUAUUUAUGUCUAUAUAAUAGUUGUAGCUUUUGCAAUUGAAUCAAGCAAAAAAAACCAAUAAAGGUGUUCACGUUCAGUAAUAUUGUUCCUCUCUUCCAUUUCCAUUUUUUCUUCUAGCAGUCUCCAGAAGAAGAAGAAAAUGGAAGUUGUAUUCAACACAGAGCUCUUAAGGGGAAAUGGUGAACAUCUGCAAGAUGAAGAAGCUAGCUCCCCACUAUCUGAUUGGGUGAUCUCCAUCAAGGGAAAACUAGACAAGGCAUGUCAAGAUGACGGAGCAAGUUCAUGGGACAAUUUAUCAAUCUACAAAGUCCCUCAAUACCUUAGAAAUAGUACUGGCGAUGAUAAAGCUUAUGUACCCCAGAUUGUGUCAUUAGGUCCUUACCACCAUGGCAAAGAGCACCUUCGCCAAAUGGAACGCCAUAAAUGGCGCUCCCUUAACCAUGUCCUCAGGCGAACAGGACACGACAUUAGACUCUAUCUCAAUUCCAUGAAAGAGAUAGAAGAUAAAGUCCGCUCCUUCUACGAGGGACCAAUCACUUUAAACAGCAAUGAGUUCGUGGAAAUGUUGGUCCUUGAUGGUUGUUUUGUGUUGGAGGUUUUCAGAGGAUAUUCAUUGGGGUUCGUAGAACUCGGGUAUUUAUCGAACGAUCCUGUUUUCGCAUGGCGUGCAUCAAUAUUCUCCAUAAGCAAAGACUUGAUCAUGCUAGAAAACCAGCUUCCACUUUUCGUACUAGAUCGGAUUCUGGGACUUCAACUUGAUAACCCAGACCAGAAAGGACGCGUUGCUGGUCUAGCUCUCGAGUUAUUCGAUUGGUUAAAGCCAGAAACAGGAACAAUGAGUAAUGAUCAUCCAACAGAAACACAAACAAUAUUGAGUAAUGAUGAUUUAGAUGGUCUUCAUUGCUUGGAUGUCUUCAGGAGAAGUCUCCUACACACAGGACCAAGACCUCAACCAACACCCAAAGAACCACAAACAAUGAGUAAUGAUCCUCCUUCAGAAACUCAAACAAUGAGUAAUGAUGAUUUAGGUGGUUUUCAUUGCUUGGAUGUGUUCAAGAGAAGUCUCUUGCGCCCAGGACCUCAACCAACACCCAGAGAACCACAAACAAUGAGUGAUGAUGAUUUAGGUGGUCUUCAUUGCUUGAAUGUGUUCAGGAGAAGUCUCUUGCGCCCAGGACCUCAACCAACACCCAGUGAAGGGAUCCAACGCUGGUCAAAUCGGCAGCAGACGAUACCUUGUGUCACAGAGCUUAAAGAGGCUGGAAUCAAAUUCAAGAAAGGGAAGACAUAUCGCUUCUUGGAUAUAAAAUUUGAGAGAGGCACCCUGCAAAUACCGCGGCUCUUGGUCCAUGAAGGCACCAAGACUUUGUUCCUCAACCUCAUUGCCUUUGAGCAGUGUCAUCUUGACUGCGGCAGUGACAUCACAAACUAUGCCUUCUUUAUGGACUACUUGAUCAACUCUCCAGAGGAUGUGGGGUACCUUAUUGACCGUGGGAUAAUCGAGCACUGGCUUGGCAAUGAUCUAGAAGUUGCAAACCUUUUUAAUGGCCUAUGCCAAGAGGUUUCGUAUGACAUUGAAGAUAAUUACCUUUCCACAAUUUUAGGUGCUGUGAAUCUGUAUUAUGAGCGUAGAUGGAACAAGUGGUAUGCAAACUUGAGACAGAACUACUUCAGCAAUCCUUGGACAAUUAUCUCUUUAAUUGCUGCUGUUGUCUUGUUGCUACUCACUCUUGCACAAACCUGCUACACUAUAUAUGCUUAUUACAGACCACCUAAGUAACUCGUGAGUGCCCCUGCAAGAUCUUUCAUUUCCUAGCUAGUUCCUACUAAUUACACCCAUGCACCUUAUAGCAUUGAUCAUUUUUCAGUCUAAGAUAUUGAUGUGUGUUUGCACUAGCUUCAAGAAAGAAAGAAAAAAACUAGAAAACAGCUUGGAAGCAUGAAGCCUCAUUAUUUAAUUUGUUUUGGCUCAGAAGAUGCUGGCUUGUGCCUACUACUGUAAUAAAGUUCUUUUAACAAGUGUUCUUUUCUCAUAUUAAAAAUAGAUUUGAUUGUAAAGGAAAAAUAUAGCAUGGCAAUCCUCUUAUACCAUAGUUGGGCCAAACAAAUGAGAUAAUUUACACUACGAGGAUUAUCCACAUUACUGAAAUUUCAAAACAUAUACCUUUCUUCUACCAAGAAAGUAGAUAGUUGAAUUAAGAAAACCCAAUGAGACAUGUAAGAUUAGCACUGUUUCACUUUCAGCUAUCAAAAUCUGUUUUAUAUUCUUUCUACACAUUUUGGCUCUGAUUUGAAUGUUUUAUAAUUAACGAAGUCUUCAUGGAUAUAUCUAGAUCUCUGAAGAUUGUUUGCAGUAGAAUUCGUUUGCAAGUAUUUGAUAUAAAAGAAGGCUUUGAGUAAUUCCCCUGUGAACGUGCUAAGGUAAGAAAUGAUUCAAGCACAAAGAAGCAUGUUGAGUGUGGUCAUUCAAAUUCCUUUUGUUUUGUCAUUGUAACAAACUCACGCGUUUAUUUGAAAAUUUCUAGAUGCUUCUGUUCAAGCACAAAGAAGCUUUUUAAUGAUUAGUGUUUACUCUUUGUCAAUUUUUAACUCUGUAUAAAUUGAUGUUGUUCGUUUAAUUUCUUCCCUACAUUUCCUUUUUGUUGUUAGCUACAUGUAACUUUGUAUGAUUUAUAUUUACACCUGGUUUUUUAAUGGUAACUGGUAAGAAGGAUUACAAUGAUGAUGAAUAUUAUCAAGUGAGGUCAAUCAUUCAUUUGAUUAUUUGAAUGUAAAACUUUUAAUAGACCGAGAACUUUAGAUGAUAAAAAAGUUUGGUUUAAUUGCUUCAACAAGUUUUCUUUUCACAUAUUCAAAAUAAAUUUGACUGGAAAGGGAAAAUAUAGAAUGACAAUCCUCUUAUACCAUCGUUGGGCCAAGACAAUUUAAACUAUGAGAGACCAUUCACAUUGGACAUCGGGAAUCAUCCACAUUGUGCUUUUAAAGAACAAAACACAAGGCAUUUGGACAUUACAUCUUUCACCCAAAGCCAAGUUUUGGAUGAAAGAUGUGAUGUAUGUUCAACUCACUAGUAAUUUGCUCUUUAACCAGGGCCGGUCCCGACAUUUUGGAGGCCCUGGGCCGUUUCAGAGUUAAUUGAUUCUCCAAUUAAUAUCCACUUAUCUAGUGAAUUAGGUAGAAGAACCCAAGGAAAUCUUCCACCUUCCACAUUCCAAUGUUAAUUAAGCUCUUAAAUACAAAAGUACAGAACUGGUCUUAAAUGCAACUACUAAAUUUUUUUUUUUGGGGAAAGUUUAAUGAGAUUUUUUUUUGGCCCCUUCUUUUUAGAGGUCCUGGGCUGUGGGUCUGCCUGCACAGGCCCAGGGCCGGCCUGUCUUUAACCCAAUGUGGAUGAUCCCCAUAAUUUUAAUAGUUUCCUUUGUUUGGCCCAAUAAUCAUAACAUUGUUGAUUACAAUAAUGCCUCAUUAAACAACAAUAUGAAAAGCUGGAGAAAACUCAUGUUUCUCAUAACCUAAUGUUAUGAUCGACCCAACUUUAGAGUGAUCGGAUAAUGGCUCAUAAGUUAGAAAGAGUCUUGAAGUGAAGGAUACUUGAUUAAGAUGGUGAUCAUACAAGAUAAAAAAAAAACAUAAGGAUGAUACACAUUCAUGAGCGUGAUUACUAUGGAUACCAUAAGAGAUGCAUCGAUCAUUGUUGUAUUCUAGGGUUGGGUUAGACAAUACUGACUUAGUUUGGUUUCCUAUGUUCAUUGUGAAAUUUCACAACUAAUUUCAACAACGUUUUCCCACAAAAAAUCAUUUUUCUCAUAAAUAUAUAUAUAUAUAUAUNNNNNNNNNNNNNNNNNNNNNNNNNNNNNNNNNNNNNNNNNNNNNNNNNNNNNNNNNNNNNNNNNNNNNNNNNNNNNNNNNNNNNNNNNNNNNNNNNNNNNNNNNNNNNNNNNNNNNNNNNNNNNNNNNNNNNNNNNNNNNNNNNNNNNNNNNNNNNNNNNNNNNNNNNNNNNNNNNNNNNNNNNNAUAUGUAUCCUGACAAUCUGAAACAAUAUAUUGCUUUGAAGUCAUUUAAAUGAAUAAUUAAGACACGACCAAAGCAUGAAGUCACGACUAACAAAUUUUGAUUUCUUUCACGUUUUCCCCUCUAUUGUGCAUGUCCCUGUCCCCCACCUUACAUCCUUCUUGCAACUAACAAUUUAGUCUGUUUAUUAACAUAAAAACGAAUAGGACCAGGACCAGGAGGUAAACCCCACAAGACACAAUAAUUUUAAACAUGUGCAAUCUGCAGAAUUAUUAAAUUUCACAUGUUCAAGCCCCUUUUAUCCACCCUCUGAAUCUAAUCUAUAUUUGAAGUCUCUUUUCCAAGAUAAUUAAUCAUUCUACAGAUUAGCUGGAAUAAGAAUAAGUUUUACAUAAUAAUAGCACGCUUAAAAGUUGAAAGUUAUCGCGAACCUGCUGCAAUUUGGUUCAAAGGGGUCCCAUAUGAGCUGUUUAAUUUGUUCAAGUCAUAUCCUUCUAGGAAAUAGGUAGGUCCUUUGAUUCCAUAAUCACAAACUACUCAAUUUAUUUGUUUAUGAUUUAACAGCACCCUUCAAAGUUCAAACCAUUGACAAGAAACACAAACAGAAUAGCAGUCUCCAGAAAAGAAGAACAAAAUGGUAGCGGUAUUCAACAAAGAACUCUUGAGUUGGUACCUUAUCACCCUCAAACUCAGACAAACCUUAGAAUCCGGGCGUCCACCAUCUCCUAAUUCAGAAAACCGGUCAAUCGAGUUUCCUCCUCAGCAGCAGCAAAAGCUUCAGCAGGAACCUUCAGAAUCAUUGCAUGUCAUCGUCAAUGAAAAUGGUGAACAUCUGCAAGAGGAAGAAGCUAGCUCCCCAGUAUCUGAUUGGGUGAUCUCCAUCAAGGAAAAACUAGACCAGGCAUGUCAAGAUGAUGUAGCAAGUUCAUGGGCCAAGCUAUCAAUCUACAAAAUCCCCCACUACCUUAGAGAUAGUACUGGCGAUGACAAAGCAUAUGCACCUCAGAUUGUGUCAUUAGGUCCUUACCACCAUGGCAAAAAGCGCCUUCGCCAAAUGGAACGCCAUAAAUGGCGCUCCCUUGACCAUGUCCUCAAGCGAACCAAACACGACAUUAGGCUCUACCUCAACUCCAUGAAAGAGAUAGAAGAAAGAGCUCGCUCCUUCUAUGAGGGACCAAUCAGUUUAAGCAGCAAUGAGUUUGUGGAAAUGUUGGUCCUUGAUGGUUGUUUUGUGCUGGAGCUAUUCAGAGGAGCUACAGAGGGGUUCAAGGAACUCGGGUAUUCAAGGAACGAUCCUAUUUUUGCAAUGCGUGGAUCAAUGCACUCCAUUCAUAGAGACAUGAUCAUGCUAGAAAACCAGCUUCCACUUUUCGUACUAGAUCGGCUUUUGGGACUUCAACUUGGUAACCCAGACCUAAAAGGACUUGUUGCAGGUCUAGCUCUCAGGUUCUUCGACCC